rnacentral:lncRNA from 1 species
UUUUUUUUUCUGUUUAUAUUUCUCAUAAAUUAGAAAAUUUCAAAUUUCAAAAUUUGUUCAGAAUAUCCAAAUAUUUCAUGUUCUUCAAAUUUUGCUCAAUUAUUUAUUUAUUUAUUUGCAUUGUUUCAGAAAAAAAGAAUGUUUAAAGUGUCCUAUUUUUCAUAUUCAUUAAUAAAUGUUAAAAAUCCGGAAAAUGUUCAGAAUUUUCAAAUCUUGUUUUGGUUUCAAUUUUUGUUCAUAUUUUCUAAUCAAUGUACAAAAAUAAAAAAUGUUCACAUUUCAAAAACAAAUCAUAAAUUUGGUAAAAUGUUCACGUUGUCAGAUUUUGUUCUGAUUUUUGGAAGGUAUUCCCAUUUAAAAAAAAUUGUUCACGGAUUUAAAACUGUUUGCUUUUCCAAAUUUUGGUCAUAUUUUUAAAAUGUGCCAGCGUUCUGGAUACGGGGGUACCCAGACUUGCCUGCCUGCGGCCCACGACGUGGCUCCAUUGACGCCCUGGUACGGCCCAGCUUUAGCAUCAACAACUCAAGACCCUCGCGAGGGGUCAAGCCUCGCGAGGCGGACGACGCCAAGACCUUCAAGGGGAUCGGCCUCCCCAGGCUGGCUCCCGAGGAGCGGAGAUUUCUAUGCAAGGUGCACCUCGCGAGGUUCGGUUGACGUGAGCCAUGACGACCAAGGACAGGCGGGCGCCAGUGGGCGCAGAGUACCAGUUUCCUCUUCGGUGCAAGGGAGGCAAGCAACAGGAAUGGAGUCCCGAGAAAUCAACCAAAGAUUUCCAUUCUAAUGCAACAAGACCAAGACCGCCAACACGGCAGGACAGAGGUCACCACCGAGCCCACCGCAGCGUCACAACCAGAGGCUUUUGUAGGCGAAGACCGCUUUAGUCAGGAUAAGAUGUACCUGUUGUCUCCCUUCAAAUUUGGCUGUCGUGGGAUCCCUUCCCACCUACAUAUGGGAAGAGGACGAAGGCCACUAUAAAUAGGACCUAGCCACCACCAUGGGAUGGGAUCGAAUCUAUUCCACCCUCUCCACCUCACCAGCUCACUUGAGCUUAAGAACACGCCUCCUAAGGCUGUUCUCCACUGUACUAGUUCUUCCUAAGCCCCUCGAGGCAAUCCACCACAAAACAGGAGUAGGGUUUUACACCGCAAGAUGGCCCGAACCUGGGUACAUUGUCGUGUCUUUCUUUCCCUUCGAGCUCGACGCGAUAGGCUGUGAGGUUUGCGAAUUGUCAGGCUGGGUAGGUUGAGAUCACUGCAUGCACCCCAGAGUUCGAACCUCUCAAGGGUUUGUGGAACCCGAAAUCCGACAAAAUGUGCCCGUUUUAAAAUUUUCUUCACAAAUUAAAACACGUCCCCUUUUUCAAAAUUUGUCGACAGAUUGAAAUAAUGUUCAGGGAGUUUCAAAUAAUCUUCAUGCAUUCAAAGUUAUUCAUAAUAUAAAAAUAUUCAUGUUUAAAAAGAACUGCACAAAUACAAAAAGAUGUCCAGGGAAAUUUUAAAAAAAUUGGUUUCAUUUUCUGUUCGUUUUUUCUGUUUUCUGGAAUUCAAAUUUAGUUACUGUUUUCUUUAAAUGUGUUCAAAAUUUUGUUGACUCUUUUUGAAAAAUGUGUGUAUUUUGACAUUAUGAGUAAUUUUGAAAGAUAUGAACUUUUGGUGAAAUUUCUUUAUCAUUUUUAGAAAUACUAAUAUUUUUAUUUUGUGAAAAGAAAAGGAAAAAUGAAACCCGAGUGGAAGUCAUGCAUAAAAAAACAAAGAAGAACCAAAGAGUGAAGGAGUUGUGUUUUUUCUUAGAUUUAUCUAUCUCGGUCAACAAGAAAAGAACAAGGUUAUUAGGCAUGCCAGAUAAGCUAUCCCAGAUGGUUUGUGCGCUUACAUACAGUUCGUGAGCUCUAGUUCGAAUCGCGUGUUGGACAUCUAUAUUUUGAAGUUUAAAAGCAAAAAAAACUGUGUUAGCCCAGGAGGAGGGGUGUGCACUACGAAUCGUAUGGCGUAUGCAUUCUACAUAUGACAGUGGUACGAUUUGCAGAAGGUCCAUACUACCCUUUAUAUGUUUUGUGAGGGGAGGGGGGAGGGGGGGUGUACCAAAGUGGGAAUCAAAUAUUUAUCUCUUGUUUCAUGCACUAUAGAUACUAGAUGAUACCCCGCGCGUUGCUGCGGGAAUUUUGUAUCAAAUGAUGUUCAAAAAGUAAGCGUACAUAAAACUAUGGAGUUCAAUGAUAUGAUGGUAUUGGAUGUUUUAGAUACCAAAUAAACGGCCGAUGUCCAACUCAUACUUGCAUAAUCAUAUAAAUAUCAUGUUUCUCUAGGUUUAGAAAGAAUAUACACAUUGUGGAAUAGAUCAAUUGUGUUCCCAUAACAAUGUCCAACACGAAGUAAAUCAAGGCAAGACAAUGAAAAAUUGCAGGUACAGAUGCCGACUUGAGGAAAGAAACGCCUCUAAGGUGAUACGGUGCAGCUGAUAUAUAUGUGGCAUACUUCCUUGUUAUAGCUAGCGUUUGUUAUACUGAACCAUAUAGUAUAUUAGCUAGUUCCAUAUAAAUGUUAUUUGAAAACCCUGAAGUGUAUCAUAAAUUAUUUUUACUCCCACUAAUUUUAAUUCAUGUGUCGUGGUAUAUUCAUCUGAGUGUGUGUAUGCAGAGGAUGAGAUGGCCAAAGUUAUUAUGCAUCUGAGCAUGUGCUGACAUCUGUCAUCAUAUCCGUCUUGCUUGAUUUCUGUUCAAGUGUGGAACCAUGGCAUUUGCAUAGUAAUAAUAAAUCAGUUGCUACGUAUAAUUGUAGCUUGAUGGAAAAUCAAGACAUAUUUGCAUAUUUGUUUUGCGCAUAUUAGGCAGCUCAAAUGUUGCAUGAGUCGCCCCUCAUGUAUGUCUAAGAAAAGGUGCAUAAAAGCAUGGUAAGAUGUAGCCAAGUCCAUAUCGGUGUAUAUGCUAACGUUGCCUAGUCGGAAGAAAGGAACCAAAAUAUAUAUGAGAUACUGUAUUCCAAUGUAGGAUGAUGACGUGAAUAAUAGAGGAACAAACCCCCUUGUACAUGAACACCGCAAUACCAUAACUUGGAAGAAGAAUUUAAGGCUACACAGAGCAUGGAUCCUAAAGCAAAUUGGCUAUGGUCGAUCAAAAUCUCAAGUAAAAUUGCUAUAUGCUUUAUCAGAGUAAGUUCUACACUACCGGCCAUACUCUCCUUUUAGCUUAUGUUUAGUAAAUUGUAAGCAUGCACAUCAUAUUGAAUCAAACUCUGAUGGUCUGAUGUGUAAACAAAUUUAGUCAUUUUUUGCCAUGACAAUAUCAUGUACUCCCUCCGUAAACUAAUAUAAGAGCGUUUAGAUAACUAUUUAGUUAUCUAAACGCUCUUAUAUUAGUUUACGGAGGGAGUAUAAAUCAUUGAAUGAGUAACAUACUGGAUUGCUGGUCGUAUUAUUUCUAGAAAGUUCUUACAACCACUGCUAUUUUCUGUCUACAUCCUUUGAAAUAACAAUGAAGGGACGGGGGAAAGUCCAAAAUAUCAUGGUGAAACGUCUGAACACCGUCAGAAAAACCAAUAACAGGAUCUCUCACCUUAGGAAAUCCCAAAUGCUCGUGAUUACACAUCAGUCAAGAAAAUCCAGAUCAAGUCUUGCUAUGAUGGAAUAGAAUAACAAAACAUGAGUGGGCAUAUAUAGGAACAAAAGAAAGAAAUUCAUUAGGAAAUAGACAAUAUUUUCUAUAUUCUGGUGGUGGAAGAGAGAAUGAGCUCACGGGCUAUUGAUCUUGUCGUGGCCGUGCCGAAAAGCUAGUGAUUGCUGACUCCAUCGUCAGGUCUAGAUGUACCUCACUUAGCAAUGCGGGCUCACAUCAAUUCUCUCCUUGGCAUCCUCACAGCCUUGCUAUCCUUGUGAAGGCGUCUACCUGGAUUCAUAGAAGGCCAGCAAAUGGUUUGGCAAUGGGACUAUGGGAGCCCUACACACAUGACGGGAGCGCCACCACGGGCCCCACUCGGCCGACCCGCCGCCACUUGCUCUGGGGUGGGGAAGGUGACCGGAGGACGCGCCGGCACCGAGCAGGGUUCGCCGCGGCCUUCCCAGACUUAUGCCGAGACACCCGGCGCGCGACCGCAAGUUAAUCGCGGAGAGUAGCCGGUUCCGAUCUCGGCGUGGCGGCAUCCUCCGCGAGGUGCUCUACUUCCCAGUCGGGAGCGCCUACGCUGGGGAAGCUGGAGGCAGGGCGGGGACGGCCACCGGGGGAACUCGUCGCCAGGGAGGGGGCGCCUCUCGCCAUUGCUUACCCUGCCAAAAAAAUAAAUUGCAUGUGCACGCCCAAGCAGUCCAGAGAGAAAUGCAAGACGGGAAGAGCAACUGAAUCGCCGGUGUAGGAAAUCGAUCCGUUUCUGUUGGUAGUGGAAUUUGAUGCAGUUUGGAGAAGAUGAAGAGGAAAGGGUGCUAAGACAUGACGCGCUGCGUUGAGGAAAAACGAUGCGAUGGGGAAUCAUGUGCACAGGUCACAGACGAAAUUCUCCUGAGAAAAAUAAAUAAAUAUUGAUGCUUAUGUGGCGGUGGGUCCUUAGCAAGUAAUAACCGAAGCUUGUGUGGUAAGGGCGUUCUAGUGGUUGGACCCAUAUGUAAGUCAAUAAAAGAAUGAUGACAUGGCUGAUGUGCUUAGGUGGAUAGGCUGCAUGUCAAGAGAAUUAGUUUAGUGGGGAUGAACUAUUUAGGUAUUAUAGAUUAUAGAUUUGCAAGCAGACUCCCCUAGCAGUAGAAGCCACCGGUGCCUCCACCGUUACACCGACUCCGCAUCCCCAUCAUAGGUGUUAGCCACGAAGACCUCCUGAGACGGGUUGUAGCUUCCCGGGCUCUUGGUGUCGAGCCAAAUUUAAGAACCGAGGGUGCAUUUGCCAUGAUAUGCACAAUUAUCUAGAUACACAUACUUUCCUUCUAAAUCCACAUCUGCCAUGAUGUAUAGAGGGUAUUUUCCAUGAUUUCAAAAGACCUUGGCAAAUUCGCUUUACAGAACACGGCAAAUUCACUUUAUGGAUCAUGGCACAUUUUUUUGACAAUGAAAAUUUCUUUCCUCAUCGUCCAUAGCAAAUUCAUCUUAUUGUCCAUGGAAAAUUUACAUUUUUCAAUAAAUUGACAUGUUUCAAAGAACAAAAAUUCCAACACUUGAUUCCUUCUGUGUCCAUGGAAAAUCCAUAAAAAAUCCCAUAUUUUUCAAAAAAAAUCUAACUUAAUGGCCCAUGGAAAAUGUAGUUUACGUCUAUGGGAAAUUCACCUUUUCCGACCAUGCAAAAUUUAUUGUUUGGAACAUGCCAUUUAAAAAAAGAUUAGACCAUCAUAAUUUUGGUUUUCACCAUAAAGUUUUACUAUUUGACCAUGGCAAAGAUUUUCUUUUACAGGCCAUGGACAAAUUUAUUGGUUUCACCCUUGCAGAUUCAUUUUGCUGGUUAGACACUGAUAAAAUUAAUUUUUUAAACCUUGACAGAGUUUAAAAUGAAGGAAAUAUGCCCUAGAGGCAAUAAUAAAGUUAUUAUUUAUUUCCUUAUUUCAUGAUAAAUGUUUAUCAUUCAUGCUAGAAUUGUAUUAACCGGAAACAUGAUACAUGUGUGAAUGCAUAAACAAACAACAUGUCACUAGUAUGCCUCUACUAGACUAGCUUGUUAAUCAAAGAUGGUUAUGUUUCCUGACCAUGAACAAAGAGUUGUUAUUUGAUUAACGAGGUCACAUCAUUAGUAGAAUGAUCUGAUUGACAUGACCCAUUCCAUUAGCUUAGCACACGAUCGUUUAGUAUGUUGCUACUGCUUUUAUCCAUGACUUAUACAUGUUCCUGUAACUAUGAGAUUAUGCAACUCCCGUUUACCGGAGGAACACUUUGGGUGCUACCAAACGUCACAACGUAACUGGGUGAUUAUAAAGGAGUACUACAGGUGUCUCCAAAGGCAGAUGUUGGGUUGGCGUAUUUCGAGAUUAGGUUUUGUCACUCCGAUUGUCGGAGAGGUAUCUCUGGGCCCUCUCGGUAAUGCACAUCACUAAAGCCUUGCAAGCAUUACAACUAAUGAGUUAGUUGUGAGAUGAUGUAUUACGGAACGAGUAAAGAGACUUGCCGGUAACGAGAUUGAACUAGGUAUUGGAUACCGACGAUCGAAUCUCGGGCAAGUAACAUACCGAUGACAAAGGGAACAACGUAUGUUGUUAUGCGGUCUGACCGAUAAAGAUCUUCGUAGAAUAUGUAGGAACCAAUAUGGGCAUCCAGGUCCCGCUGUUGGUUAUUGACCGGAGACGUGUCUCGGUCAUGUCUACAUUGUUCUCGAACCGUAGGGUCCGCACGCUUAAGGUUUCGAUGACAGUUAUUAUGAGUUUAUGUAUUUUGAUGUACCGAAGAAGUUCGGAGUCCCGGAUGUGAUCACGGACAUGACGAGGAGUCUCGAAAUGGUUGAGACAUAAAGAUUGAUAUAUUGGACGGCUAUAUUCGGACACCGGAAAGGUUCCGGAAGUUUCCGGAGAAAACCGGAGUGCCGGAGGGGUUACCGGAACCCCCCGGGGGAAGUUAUGGGCCUUAGUGGGCCAAGAGGGGAGAGAGAGGGGCCGCACCAGGAGGUGGCGCCCCCCCAGGGGAGUCCGAAUAGGACAAGGAGGGGGGGGCGCGGCCCCCCUUUCCCUCUCCCUCUCCCUCUCUUUCCUUCCCCCUUCUCCCUUCCUAGUUGGACUAGGAGAGGGGAGUCCUACUCUAACUAGGAGGAGGACUCCCCCCUCCCUUGGCGCGCCACUAGGGCCGGCCGGCCUCCCCCUUGCUCCUUUAUAUACGGGGGCAGGGGGGCACCCUAGGACACACAAGUUUGAUCUACGGAUCGUUCCUUAGCCGUGUGCGGUGCCCCCUUCCACCAUAUUCCACCUCGGUCAUAUCGUCGCGAAGCUUAGGCGAAGCUCUGCGCCGGUAGAACAUCAAGAUCGUCACCACGCCGUCGUGCUGACGGAACUCUCCCUCGACACUCGGCUGGAUCGGAGUACGAGGGACGUCAUCGAGCUGUACGUGUGUCAAGAACUCGGGGGUGCCGGAGUAACGGCGCCGGGAUCGGUCGGAUCGCGAGGAGAACGUACGACUACUUCCUCUACGUUGUGAUCGCUUCCGCUUCGGGUCUACGAGGGUACGUAGACAACACUCUCCCCUCUCGUUGCUAUGCAUCACCAUGAUCUUGCGUGUGCGUAGGAAAAUUUUGAAAUUACUACGUUCCCCAACAGUGGCAUCCGAGCCUAGGUUUUUAUGGUUUGAUGUUUUGCACGAGUAGAACACAAGUGAGUUGUGGGCGAUACAAGUCAUACUACCUACUAGCAUGUCAUACUUUGGUUCAGCGGUAUUGUGAGAUGAAGCGGCCCAGACCGACAUUACGCGUACGCUUACGCGAGACUGGUUUCACCGCUACGAGCACUCGUUGCUUAAAGGUGACUGGUGGGUGCCUGUCUCUCUCACUUUAGUUGAACCGAGUGUGGCUACGCCCGGUCCUUGAGAAGGUUAAAACGGAGUCUAUUUGACGAAGUAUCGUUGUGGUUUUGAUGCGUAGGUGAGACUGGUUCUUGCUUAAGCCCGUAGCAGCCACGUAAAAUUUGCAACAACAAAGUAGAGGACGUCUAACUUGUUUUUGCAGGGCAUGUUGUGAUGUGAUAUGGUCAAGACGUGAUGCUAUAUUUUUAUUGUAUGAGAUGAUCAUGUUUUGUAACCGAAGUUAUCGGCAACUGGCUGGAGCCAUAUGGUUGUCGCUUUAUUGUAUACAAUGCAAUCGCCCUGUAAUGCUUUACUUUAUCACUAAACGAUAGCGAUAGUCGUAGAAGCAUAAGAUUGGCGAGACGACAACGAUGCUACGAUGGAGAUCAAGGUGUCGCGCCGGUGACGAUGGUGAUCAUGGUGGUGCUGCAGAGAUGGAGAUCACGAAGCACAAGAUGAUGAUGACCAUAUCAUAUCACUUAUAUUGAUUUGCAUGUGAUGUUUAUCCUUUAUGCAUCUUAUCUUGCUUUGAUUGACGGUAGCAUUAUAAGAUGAUCUCUCACUAAAUUAUCAAGAAGUGUUCUCCCCGAGUAUGCACCGUUGCCAAAGUUCGUCGUGCCCAGACACCACGUGAUGAUCGGGUGUGAUAAGCUCUACGUCCAUCUACAACGGGUGCAAGCCAGUUUUGCACACGCAGAAUACUCGGGUUAUACUUGACGAGCCUAGCAUAUGCAGAUAUGGCCUCGGAACACGGAGACCGAAAGGUCGAGCGUGAAUCAUAUAGUAGAUAUGAUCAACAUAAGAUGUUCACCAUUGAAAACUACUCCAUUUCACGUGAUGAUCGGUUAUGGUUUAGUUGAUUUGGAUCACGUGAUCACUUAGAUGACUAGAGAGAUGUCUUUCUAAGUGGGAGUUCUUAAGUAAUAUGAUUAAUUGAACUUAAAUUUAUCAUGAACUUAGUACCUGAUAGUAUCUUGCUUGUUUAUGUUUGAUUGUAGAUAGAUGGCUCGUGCUGUUGUUCCGUUGAAUUUUAAUGCGUUCCUUGAGAAAGCAAAGUUGAAAGAUGAUGGUAGCAAUUACACGGACUGGGUCCGUAACCUGAGGAUUAUCCUCAUUGCUGCACAGAAGAGUUACGUCCUGGAUGCACCGCUGGGUGCCAGGCCUGCUGCUGAUGCAACUGACGACGUUAAGAACGUCUGGCAGAGCAAAGCUGAUGACUACUCUAUAGUUCAGUGUGCCAUGCUUUACGGCUUAGAACCGGGACUUCAACGACGUUUUGAACGUCAUGGAGCAUAUGAGAUGUUCCAGGAGUUGAAGUUAAUAUUCCAACAGAAUGCCCGGAUUGAGAGAUAUGAAGUCUCCAAUAAGUUCUAUAGCUGCAAGAUGGAGGAGAAUAGUUCUGUUAGUGAGCACAUACUCAGAAUGUCUGGGUACUACAAUCACUUGACACAAUUGGGAGUUAAUCUUCCAGAUGAUUGUGUCAUUGACAGAAUUCUUCAAUCACUGCCACCAAGCUACAAAGGCUUCGUGAUGAACUAUAAUAUGCAAGGGUUAGUAAAGACUAUACCUGAGCUCUUCGCAAUGCUAAAGGCUGCGGAGGUAGAAAUCAAGAAGGAGCAUCAAGUGUUGAUGGUCAAUAAGACCACUAGUUUCAAGAAGAAAGGCAAAGGGAAGAAGAAGGGGAACUUCAAGAAGAACAGCAAGCAAGUUGCUGCUCAGGAGAAGAAACCCAAGUCUGGACCUAAGCCUGAAACUGAGUGCUUCUACUGCAAGCAGACUGGUCACUGGAAGCGGAACUGCCCCAAGUAUUUGGCGGAUAAGAAGGAUGGCAAGGUGAACAAAGGUAUAUGUGAUAUACAUGUUAUUGAUGUGUACCUUACUAGAGCUCGCAGUAGCACCUGGGUAUUUGAUACUGGUUCUGUUGCUAAUAUUUGCAACUCGAAACAGGGACUACGGAUUAAGCGAACACUGGCAAAGGACGAGGUGACGAUGCGCGUGGGAAAUGGUUCCAAAGUCGAUGUGAUCGCGGUCGGCACGCUACCUCUACAUCUACCUUCGGGAUUAGUUUUAGACCUAAAUAAUUGUUAUUUGGUGCCUGCGUUGAGCAUGAACAUUAUAUCUGGAUCUUGUUUGAUGCGAGACGGUUAUUCAUUUAAAUCAGAGAAUAAUGGUUGUUCUAUUUAUAUGAGUAAUAUCUUUUAUGGUCAUGCACCCUUGAGGAGUGGUCUAUUUUUGAUGAAUCUCGAUAGUAGUGAUACACAUAUUCAUAAUGUUGAAGCCAAAAGAUGCAGAGUUGAUAAUGAUAGUGCAACUUAUUUGUGGCACUGCCGUUUAGGUCAUAUCGGUGUAAAGCGCAUGAAGAAACUCCGUACUGAUGGACUUUUGGAGUCACUUGAUUAUGAAUCACUUGGCACUUGCGAACCGUGCCUUAUGGGCAAGAUGACUAGAACCCCGUUCUCCGGUACUAUGGAGAGAGCAACAGAUUUGUUGGAAAUCAUACAUAUAGAUGUAUGUGGUCCGAUGAAUGUUGAGGCUCGUGGCGGAUAUCGUUAUUUUCUCACCUUCACAGAUGACUUAAGCAGAUAUGGGUAUAUCUACUUAAUGAAACAUAAGUCUGAAACAUUUGAAAAGUUCAAAGAAUUUCAGAGUGAAGUUGAAAAUCAUCGUAACAAGAAAAUUAAAUUUCUACGAUCUGAUCGUGGAGGUGAAUAUUUGAGUUACGAGUUUGGUCUACAUUUGAAACAAUGCGGAAUAGUUUCGCAACUCACGCCACCCGGAACACCACAGCGUAAUGGUGUGUCCGAACGUCGUAAUCGCACUUUACUAGAUAUGGUGCGAUCUAUGAUGUCUCUUACAGAUUUACCGCUAUCGUUUUGGGGUUAUGCUCUAGAGACGGCCGCAUUCACACUGAAUAGAACACCAUCGAAAUCCGUUGAGACGACACCUUAUGAACUGUGGUUUAGCAAGAAACCAAAGUUGUCGUUUCUUAAAGUUUGGGGAUGCGAUGCUUAUGUGAAAAAGCUUCAACCUGAUAAGCUCGAACCCAAAUCGGAGAAAUGUGUCUUCAUAGGAUACCCAAAGGAGACAGUUGGGUACACCUUCUAUCACAGAUCCGAAGGCAAGACAUUCGUUGCUAAGAAUGGAUCCUUUCUAGAGAAGGAAUUUCUCUCGAAAGAAGUGAGUGGAAGGAAAGUAGAACUUGAUGAGGUAAUAGUACCUUCUCCCUUACUUGAAAGUAGUUCGUCGCAGAAACCGGUUUCUGAGACAUCUACACCAAGUAGUGAGGAAGUUGAUGAUGUUGAUCAUGAAACUUCAGAUCAAGUUACUACAGAACCUCGUAGAUCAACCAGAGUAAGAUCUGCACCAGAGUGGUACGGUAAUCCUGUUCUGGAAAUCAUGCUACUAGAUCAUGAUGAACCUACGAACUAUGAAGAAGCGAUGGUGAGCCCAGAUUCCGCAAAAUGGCUUGAGGCCAUGAAAUCUGAGAUGGGAUCCAUGUAUGAAAACAAAGUAUGGACUUUGGUUGACUUGCCCGAGGGUAGGCAAGCAAUAGAAAACAAGUGGAUCUUCAAGAAGAAGACUGACGCUGACGGUAAUGUUACUGUCUACAAAGCUCGACUUGUCGCAAAGGGUUUUCGACAAGUUCAAGGGAUUGACUACGAUGAGACCUUCUCACCCGUAGCGAUGCUUAAGUCUGUCCGAAUCAUGUUAGCAAUUGCCGCAUUUUAUGAUUAUGAAAUUUGGCAAAUGGAUGUAAAGACUGCAUUCCUGAAUGGAUUUCUGGAAGAAGAGUUGUAUAUGAUGCAACCAGAAGGUUUUGUCGAUCCAAAAGGAGCUAACAAAGUAUGCAAGCUCCAGCGAUCCAUCUAUGGACUGGUGCAAGCAUCUCGGAGUUGGAAUAAACGCUUUGAUAGUGUGAUCAAAGCAUUUGGGUUUGUACAGACUUUUGGAGAAGCCUGUAUUUACAAGAAAGUGAGUGGGAGCUCUAUAGCAUUUCUGAUAUUAUAUGUAGAUGACAUAUUGCUGAUCGGAAAUGAUAUAGAAUUUCUGGAUAGCAUAAAGGGAUACUUGAAUAAGAGUUUUUCAAUGAAAGACCUCGGUGAAGCUGCUUACAUAUUGGGCAUUAAGAUCUAUAGAGAUAGAUCAAGACGCUUAAUUGGACUUUCACAAAGCACAUACCUUGACAAAAUUUUGAAGAAGUUCAAAAUGGAUCAAGCAAAGAAAGGGUUCUUGCCUGUGUUACAAGGUGUGAAGUUGAGUAAGACUCAAUGCCCGACCACUGCAGAAGAUAGAGAGAAAAUGAAAGAUGUUCCCUAUGCUUCAGCCAUAGGCUCUAUCAUGUAUGCAAUGUUGUGUACCAGACCUGAUGUGUGCCUUGCUAUAAGUUUAGCAGGGAGGUACCAAAGUAAUCCAGGAGUGGAUCACUGGACAGCGGUCAAGAACAUCCUGAAAUACCUGAAAAGGACUAAGGAUAUGUUUCUCGUAUAUGGAGGUGACAAAGAGCUCAUCGUAAACGGUUACGUUGAUGCAAGCUUUGACACUGAUCCGGACGAUUCUAAAUCGUAGACCGGAUACGUAUUUACACUAAACGGAGGAGCUGUCAGUUGGUGCAGUUCUAAACAAAGCGUCGUAGCGGGAUCUACAUGUGAAGCGGAGUACAUAGCAGCUUCGGAAGCAGCUAAUGAAGGAGUCUGGAUGAAGGAGUUCAUAUCCGAUCUAGGUGUCAUACCUAGUGCAUCGGGUCCAAUGAAAAUCUUCUGUGACAAUACUGGAGCAAUUGCCUUAGCGAAGGAAUCCAGAUUUCACAAGAGGACCAAGCACAUCAAGAGACGCUUCAAUUCCAUCCGGGACUUAGUCCAGGUGGGAGACAUAGAGAUUUGCAAGAUACAUACGGAUCUGAAUGUUGCAGACCCGUUGACUAAGCCUCUUCCACGAGCAAAACAUGAUCAGCACCAAGACUCCAUGGGUGUUAGAAUCAUUACUAUGUAAUCUAGAUUAUUGACUCUAGUGCACGUGGGAGACUGAAGGAAAUAUGCCCUAGAGGCAAUAAUAAAGUUAUUAUUUAUUUCCUUAUUUCAUGAUAAAUGUUUAUCAUUAAUGCUAGAAUUGUAUUAACCAGAAACAUGAUACAUGUGUGAAUGCAUAAACAAACAACAUGUCACUAGUAUGCCUCUACUAGACUAGCUUGUUAAUCAAAGAUGGUUAUGUUUCCUGACCAUGAACAAAGAGUUGUUAUUUGAUUAACGAGGUCACAUCAUUAGUAGAAUGAUCUGAUUGACAUGACCCAUUCCAUUAGCUUAGCACACGAUCGUUUAGUAUGUUGCUACUGCUUUUAUCCAUGACUUAUACAUGUUCCUGUAACUAUGAGAUUAUGCAACUCCCGUUUACCGGAGGAACACUUUGGGUGCUACCAAACGUCACAACGUAACUAGGUGAUUAUAAAGGAGUACUACAGGUGUCUCCAAAGGCAGAUGUUGGGUUGGCGUAUUUCGAGAUUAGGUUUUGUCACUCCGAUUGUCGGAGAGGUAUCUCUGGGCCCUCUCGGUAAUGCACAUCACUAAAGCCUUGCAAGCAUUACAACUAAUGAGUUAGUUGUGAGAUGAUGUAUUACGGAACGAGUAAAGAGACUUGCCGGUAACGAGAUUGAACUAGGUAUUGGAUACCGACGAUCGAAUCUCGGGGAAGUUAUGGGCCUUAGUGGGCCAAGAGGGGAGAGAGAGGGGCCGCACCAGGAGGUGGCGCCCCCCCCCCCCAGGGGAGUCCGAAUAGGACAAGGAGGGGGGGGGCGCGGCCCCCCUUUCCCUCUCCCUCUCCCUCUCUUUCCUUCCCCCUUCUCCCUUCCUAGUUGGACUAGGAGAGGGGAGUCCUACUCCAACUAGGAGGAGGACUCCCCCCUCCCUUGGCGCGCCACUAGGGCCGGCCGGCCUCCCCCUUGCUCCUUUAUAUACGGGGGCAGGGGGGCACCCUAGGACACACAAGUUUGAUCUACGGAUCGUUCCUUAGCCGUGUGCGGUGCCCCCUUCCACCAUAUUCCACCUCGGUCAUAUCGUCGCGAAGCUUAGGCGAAGCUCUGCGCCGGUAGAACAUCAAGAUCGUCACCACGCCGUCGUGCUGACGGAACUCUCCCUCGACACUCGGCUGGAUCGGAGUACGAGGGACGUCAUCGAGUUGUACGUGUGUCAAGAACUCGGGGGUGCCGGAGUAACGGCGCCGGGAUCGGUCGGAUCGCGAGGAGAACGUACGACUACUUCCUCUACGUUGUGAUCGCUUCCGCUCCGGGUCUACGAGGGUACGUAGACAACACUCUCCCCUCUCGUUGCUAUGCAUCACCAUGAUCUUGCGUGUGCGUAGGAAAAUUUUAAAAUUACUACGUUCCCCAACAUAAAAAACCUGGAUGAUGGCAAAUUCAUACUUCAGAUCAUGGUAGAAUUUUAUUUUUGGGCAUGACAAAUUUACUUUUUAUCCAAGGCAUUUUUUCCAAGCCAUGGGCAAACUCAUUAUUUGGAUCAUGGCAAAUUCAUACUUUUGUCCAUGGCAAAUUAUAUAUUUUUGGAACAUGGCAAAUUCAUACUUUUGUCCAUGGCAAAUUAUAUAUUUUUGGAACAUGGCAAACUUUAUUAAUUUAAUUAUGCCAAACUAAUUGCUUUGUACCAUGGCAAAUUUGUUUUGUUUACAUCAAGGAAACUUUCAUCUCAUACGCCAUCUAAAAUUAUGUUUAUAUAUUGGUUUUUAACUCUUUUCGGAAACAUGUCAAAAUGUUAUUGAAUUGAGCAUGUUAGAUUUUUUUCAGCAUAGCAUGCCAUUUUUUUCUUGACAUGGCAGAAAAAAAUCAUUGGACUUUUUCACAAAUUUUCUUUUCAAUUCUUUUUUAUCUUCUACUUUAUAUAAAACAUGGGCAUCUAUAUGUUGAAAACUUUUUUUUUGGCCAAGUUUUCUUCUUUAUAUUUAAAUUCUGUCAUUUUUUAGUGUCAUAAAUAGUAUGGAUCCAUUUUUUCAACUUGAUGACAUUUUGGAUACGCCCCCCCCACCCCCCUCCAGUGAAUGAUUAGUUUGAUGCAAGCUUCUUUAAAUCUGUUGUUCGGGCGAUAUUGGGGUCCAAGAUCUGAUGGUUGUGCUUCUUGGUUUAAUGAGAGUCUAACAGAUUAAUGGAAAAAUGUUUUAUGAUAUGUGUGGGAUUUUCUAGCAUAUAUUUUCCUAUUUUAACUCAUAUUGGCGAACCAACCUGUGGUUGGAUGGUUAGAGGGACAAUGGUAUCCCCAUCCCACCAGGGUUCGAGUCCUGGUGGAUUUAUUUCAGGAUUUCCGGCGAUGCGCUUUCAAUGGGAGGAGACAUUCCCGUCGACGACGAGGUCCCUACGGUGACUUCAUAAAUCUCAAGAUGAUAUGCCGGCUCAGUAUCUCGAAGAUGCUUAUAGGGGUAGGGUGUGCAUGUGUGCCUUCAUAGGGGUGACUGUAUGCGCGUAUGUAUAAGCACUUGCGUCUGUACCGUGUUAAAAAAAAGCUCAUAUUGUGCUUUUAGUAAUAGAUAGAAUAGAUUGCUAGAUAGACGGAGGCAUACGUGGAGAGAGGCGAUCCAUCCUCUUGUCUGCCUAUUGUAUGGCUGGUAGGUCGUGCUUGUCCACUUGUACUUGUCCCAUUUAUUUGUACCCUGAGAAUUAGAUCGAUCAGCGUGAUUUCAACGCUCGGUCCCGACCGACCUUGGACGAGAUCCAGAUUUAUGGAGGCGGUGACGGCACGCAGGCCCGCCGACGUUAACUACUCCCGUCCCGUGCCUAGUUGCAUGCGACGUCGAUGGGGCUGGCCUAGGGACGUGCACGUCCCACGUUAGCCAACGCGGUCAAACAGAUCAGACUAGCUAGGAAACAACACACACACACCUGACCUAGGCCCGAACGUGUGCACAUACUGGCCAUGCAAUGCUAGCAGCCUAGGAAACCACACACGCUUAAGAUUUGCACGCCCCACGUCCCGAACCCCCUACGCUCCAAACAUCCCUGCUCUCCUCUCAUCACAUCUGAGUAAUAAUAAUAAUAGUAGUAGUACUAGCAGCAGCAGCAGUAAACCGAGGAGAAAGAAGAAUAUACUUAGGGCCUGCUUGGAUGCAAGGGACUAUUUUUAGUCUGACUAAAAAUAGUCUCUUUUAGAGACUAAAGUUUCAAGCACCCCUGACUAAAGAGAGGCUAGAAUUAGUCUUGAGGCUAAAACUUUUUAGUCACAUGAAACCUACUAAAAUAUGUAUUAGCCCUCUCUCCUCAUUUAAUUCCUCUCCUUUAGCACAUGCGAGUUCUGGAUUGGAUGGUUUGAAGGAUAAUAAAUGCUCAAUAACUUCAUUUUAGUCUCUUUAGUACUUGAUCCAAGCAUGGGUGAGGCUAGCAAGUUUUAGUCUCACUACUUUUAGUCAUUGACUAAAACGUAUCCAGACACCCUUACUAAAGCUAAAUAAACAGACAGCGCAGUAGAUGCACACAGUUUUGGCGUCAGGCGCACUGACAGAAGUACUGUUUUACAGGCCAAUAGAGUAAACGCUGGGGACUGAUGGGCCAACCGCAGGACAGAUCCUGGAUGCAUCUCGUCCCGUCUCGUCGUCAUCCAUCCUAGCCAUAGUACGUGUUCAACUGCCUGCCGCGCUGCCCCGUCCGGCCGGCGGGCGCACUGACAGAGACAAAGCUACCGGCAGUGCGACGACGGGGGAAAUCUCACGUGCCGACGUGCCAGCGCCCACGCCGCACGUGCCGCUGGUGGAGCCACAGGGGCCGACUCGUCCUCGCAUCGCGCGCCCCCGCCUACAAAUUAAAGACGCUUUGCUUGCCCACCGAUAGGCGACACCACUGAUCCGCAUCUUAACCAGAUCCUCUCCAGGGCUAGAUUCCAAGCUACGUGCAUAGCAUAGUUGUCUCACUGAGCUAACCAGGGGCGACCUGCAGCGCCUUCAAUCCUUCAUCAAUGGAGAAGAGCGGGGAGGAGAGCAAGGCCCCGCUGCUGGAGCCCUGCAGGCCGGCGGCGGCAGAGCACAAUGCGACCGGCGGGCUGGGGCGGCGGCUGGUGGGGGAGAACCGGAGGCUGUGGGCGGUGGCGGGGCCGUCCAUCUGCACGCGUUUCUCCACCUUCGGGAUCGCCGUCAUCAGCCAGGCCUUCAUCGGCCACAUCGGCCCCACCCAGCUCGCCGCCUUCGCCCUCGUCUCCACCGUCCUCAUGCGCUUCAGCAACGGCAUACUGGUAUCUAUCUCUCCUUCCUUCCAUCAAUCCGUCUGCCAAACAUCUUAUUACCGUAUUGUAGUAAAAAAUAUGGCAUUGCUUGGUUAAUUGUGUCUGCCUGCUUCAGUCUGUUUUUGCCAGUUCCAUCAUAGUACGUAUAACAUAAAUAAACAGGAGCAUGCAUAAUACUCCCUCCGUUUGGAAUUACUUGUCAUCAAAAUGGAUGAAAAUGGAUGUAUCUAGAACUAAAAUAUAUCUAGAUACAUCCAUUUUAAUGACAAGUAUUUCCUGACGGAGGGAGUAAUUAAGAACACUGUUCCUCUUUUCUCUUAUUGGUAAAAAAUAGAGAGUAUAAGUAGCGUGCUUUCAUACGGACGAUCAUGAUACAAACAUGAUAGAGAAAUACAUACGCCAACUGCAUCCUGACCCUUGAUCCCAACAACCACAAAAAAACGUGUCGUGGUCCAUCUUUGGCACAACAAAAGUACAGAUUCUUGUCGACUUGAGAGGAAAAGUUAUAGUUCUUGACUUGUUGUCGUCUGUGUGCUUUCAACUUUUUAAGUCACCGUCAAUGUCAAAAAUGGAACAACCUUUGGAUUAUUCUUUGAGCGAAAACAACCCCAUUGGAUAAUAGUCAUCAUGGGCCUGCAUUUCCCGAGAGAACGUGGCAUGUUAACUUUUCCUACAAACCCCACACUAAUUGCAAGGAAUAUUUGGACGCGUAGUUCAUACAUUUAAUAAUUUUUGUAAAUUAGAAUUUAUUCAUGAAAUUUUAAAGAUGUUAAAAAUACAAAAAAUAAUCAUGAAGUAAUUUUUUCAUGAACUUAAAAGUCUUUUAUGAAUUUCAAAGAAUAUUCGUAUUUUUGUAGAAAAUCCAUAAAUAGAAAACAAAGAAGAGAAGAGAAAUUAAAAAAGAGAAGAAAAAAGGAAUAGGAAAAUGAAAAUAGAAAUAAAAAGCCGACAGAAAAUUAGUAAAACCAACAAGGGAAAACACAUGAAGCAAGAAACAAAAAUCCGCCGAACCUUCCGAAGCUUCCGAAAACCAGAAAACCCUCUCUUACUUGGACAGUUGGACUUGCCCAUUGCAGUGACUCGGCACGCUACUGGUGUUGGGUCCCAGUGUCCCACUCACCAAAUGUUUUUUAGCAGGUCCCACCCANNNNNNNNNNNNNNNNNNNNNNNNNNNNNNNNNNNNNNNNNNNNNNNNNNNNNNNNNNNNNNNNNNNNNNNNNNNNNNNNNNNNNNNNNNNNNNNNNNNNNNNNNNNNNNNNNNNNNNNNNNNNNNNNNNNNNNNNNNNNNNNNNNNNNNNNNNNNNNNNNNNNNNNNNNNNNNNNNNNNNNNNNNNNNNNNNNNNNNNNNNNNNNNNNNNNNNNNNNNNNNNNNNNNNNNNNNNNNNNNNNNNNNNNNNNNNNNNNNNNNNNNNNNNNNNNNNNNNNNNNNNNNNNNNNNNNNNNNNNNNNNNNNNNNNNNNNNNNNNNNNNNNNNNNNNNNNNNNNNNNNNNNNNNNNNNNNNNNNNNNNNNNNNNNNNNNNNNNNNNNNCUACUCAUUAGUUAUUCUGCCAUAUGUCCAGUAAAAACAGGCUAAACCUCAUAGUUUUGCCCCUCCUUAGCUCAUUGCCCCUCCAAAGAUUUUUCCCAAGCUCCGCCACUGGUCCCACGCACCAAUUUUUUUUUGGGAAUUACCUACCAAAUGGGAAAUGCGUUGGUGGACGUGUAGGAAUUUUUUUUUGGCACAAAUGGGCAGCCCAGAAAAGCCCAUGAGGCCAGUGGCCGACCACAACACUUCCAGUCCUCUCCUCCCUCCACCCGCACCGCGUUCGCCACGCCGUCGCCGCUGUCUCCACCAGCACCGCCUCCCCAUUCCAGCCGCCGUCGCCGCCAUGUUUCUGGAAGAGGCCACCGUCGGGAAACGCCGGGGACCGAGCCGAUCCUUGCAGUGCGAGGGCGCCUCCUCUACUAUAUCUCCAAUCCUGCCGAUACUCUCUUCAGCUCCGGCGGCGGCUUCGUCGGCUUUGACGGCAGACGCAGCCGGGGACGGUGUAGGAGGCCUUCGGCAGCAAACUAACGGUAUCUNNNNNNNNNNNNNNNNNNNNNNNNNNNNNNNNNNNNNNNNNNNNNNNNNNNNNNNNNNNNNNNNNNNNNNNNNNNNNNNNNNNNNNNNNNNNNNNNNNNNNNNNNNNNNNNNNNNNNNNNNNNNNNNNNNNNNNNNNNNNNNNNNNNNNNNNNNNNNNNNNNNNNNNNNNNNNNNNNNNNNNNNNNNNNNNNNNNNNNNNNNNNNNNNNNNNNNNNNNNNNNNNNNNNNNNNNNNNNNNNNNNNNNNNNNNNNNNNNNNNNNNNNNNNNNNNNNNNNNNNNNNNNNNNNNNNNNNNNNNNNNNNNNNNNNNNNNNNNNNNNNNNNNNNNNNNNNNNNNNNNNNNNNNNNNNNNNNNNNNNNNNNNNNNNNNNNNNNNNNNNNNNNNNNNNNNNNNNNNNNNNNNNNNNNNNNNNNNNNNNNNNNNNNNNNNNNNNNNNNNNNNNNNNNNNNNNNNNNNNNNNNNNNNNNNNNNNNNNNNNNNNNNNNNNNNNNNNNNNNNNNNNNNNNNNNNNNNNNNNNNNNNNNNNNNNNNNNNNNNNNNNNNNNNNNNNNNNNNNNNNUGCAGCAACUUGGUAACUGAAUGAUGUCGAGCAAGGUUCAGAGUUCAGACACCUCAUUGCAUGCCAUUCCCUAUUAGAGCUUGGUAGUUGCUAACCCUACGAUGAACAUUAUUGAGCAACAUAGAGUUAGAUGACCUCUGAAUCCUUGAUCCUUAAUUCCUUAUCGACCUACUAGCUUCGCCAUUCUCCAUUAACUGAUCACCCUCGAUAUAGCAACAUGUCCACUUACAUCCUGAACUUCAGAGAUUUCACUGCACCAGAAAUAAAUUUCUUGAGAUGAGAAAGAAAAGGAGCUGAUGAUCUUAAUAACUACUUCCUCCGUUCCUAAAUAUUUGUCUUUUUAGAGAUUUCAAAUGGACUACCACAUACUGAUGUAUAUAGACAUAUUUUAGAGUGUAGAUUCACUCAUUUUGCUUUGUAUGUAGUCACUUGUUGAAAUCUCUAGAAAGACAAAUAUUUAGGAAUGGAGGGAGUAAUAAAAUGUGCUUAAACUGAAUGCAGCUGGGCAUGGCGAGCGCACUGGAGACGCUGUGCGGGCAGUCAUACGGGGCGAAGCAGUACCACAUGAUGGGGAUCUCCCUGCAGCGCUCCUGGAUCAUCCUGACCGGCUGCGCCGUGCUCAUGCUCCCCAUCUUCGUCUUCACCGAGCCUCUCCUCGUCUUCAUCGGCCAGGACCCGGCCAUCAGCGCCGUCGCCGGGACCAUCUCGCUCUGGUACAUCCCCGUCAUGUUCGCGUGCGUCUUCAGCUUCACGCUGCAGAUGUACCUGCAAGCGCAGAGCAAGAACAUGAUCAUCACCUACCUCGCGUUUGUCUCCCUCGGCGUCCAUCUCUUCCUGUCCUGGCUCUUGACCGUUCGGCUGGACCUUGGACUCGACGGGAUCCUGACCUCCAUGGUCAUCGCCAUGUGGAUUCCUGUGUUUGGGCAGCUCAUCUUCGUCUUCGGCGGUGGCUGCCCUCUCACAUGGACCGGGUUCUCCUGUGUGGCACUCACGGACCUCGUUCCUGUCCUCAAGCUCUCGCUAUCCUCUGGUGUGAUGCUCUGGUAUGAACAAACUUGAAUUUUCACUGUAUAUGCAGUAUCAGCCCUUUUCAGAAUUUUGGAUGCAUCUAGCCUAGCAAUAAUGCUUGUUUGUUCCUGUUUGCAUUUUCAGUUUGGAAUUGUGGUACAACACCAUAUUGGUGCUCCUAACCGGGUACAUGAGGAAUGCAGAGGUUGCACUCGACGCUCUUUCAAUAUGGUAAUACACACGUACUACUUUAUAUAAUUCAGAGUUCAGUCUCUCAUUGUAUAUCUUUGGUUUUUCCACACUGGCCAGAUCGGUAACUAGCACAUAUGUCAUUUCACUGUUUCGUAUUGUUUCGCUGUCGUGACACAUGAGAAACUAAUUAAUUAAUGUGAUUUUCUAUCUCUGAAAUCUGCAGCCUGAAUAUCAACGGUUGGGAGAUGAUGAUUUCUAUUGGCUUUUUGUCUGCAAUAGGGUAGCUUCUCGAUCUUAGAACUCGCUAUAUAUUAUUCCUAUCAUGUGAUUGAAUAAUUUUUCAGAUUUUUGAUGAUAAUGAUUUUGUGUGUGAUAGAGUGCGUGUUGCAAAUGAGCUUGGAGCUGGAAGUGCAAGAAGGGCCAAGUUCGCCAUCAUAAAUGUCGUCGCCACUUCCUUCUCAAUAGGCCUUGUGUUCUUCAUAUUUUUCCUUUUCUUCCGCGGAAAGCUUUCCUACAUAUUUACCACCAGUGAAGAGGUAGCUGCCGCAGUUGCAAGCCUGUCGCCUCUUCUAGCCUUCUCCAUCUUGUUGAACAGUGUGCAACCAGUGCUAUCAGGUUUGCUUUAGCAUUUGACUGAAUUCUAAAUGCAUAUACAUUACAAUCAUUUCGUCUGGUAACUUUUUUGAAAAAAAGGAAAAAUGUUUGCCUUCUAUACUGAUACAAGACUCUUUUGGUAUACUGAAACUAUAAUCCCGUUUGAUCACCCUCCAGGUGUUGCUAUCGGUGCGGGUUGGCAAAGUAUAGUUGCCUAUGUUAACAUCACAACAUAUUACUUGAUUGGUAUCCCUGUUGGAGCAAUCCUUGGUUAUGUUUUUGGAUAUCAUGUGAAGGUAAGAACAUUAUGUAUCAGUCAAUCAGUUACUAAAAUAAUUAUCCUUGUGCCUCUUGGCUCUAAUAAGUUGUGUCCUAACUCGAUAUCCUUGGUUGUUGCUAUAGGGCGUUUGGGUUGGCAUGCUGCUCGGAACACUGAUCCAAACAAUUGUACUUGUGUUCAUAACAAUCAGGACUGACUGGGAUAAACAGGUUAGCUUUGCUAAUUGUUCGAUCAUUAUUGUACUCAAACGUUGUUAAGUAAAGUCUUCAUAUGUGUAACUUAUUGCGCAGAAAUUCAUAAGUAUAUAUUGUGUGCUAGACUAGAAGGGUGUAGGAGAUAUACUCAAUUAUGGUUUCUAUUCCUUCUGAUUUUUCAGGUAGAGGUUACUCAGGAGAGAUUGAAGAGAUGGUACAUCACGGACGGAAACAAAGGGAAGCCAGAUUCAGGGGGAAGUCCAUGAGACUAAGAAUCUGGCACAUGUAGUGAAUCGCCAUCAGAUAGAGGAACUUGUGUGUCCGGCUUGAUCAGAGUUUGUGGCGCUUCAGAGGAUAACUACAAUUCUUUCAACAUGUCAAGAAUGAACGGAUCGAACAUUAGUAGGCGUAGGCGUGUUGAAGGUUGUUCCUCAAGAUCGAGCAAACGAUGACAGUGAUUCAGGCUCCAUUUUAGAGAAGGAAAAACAUGUUACUCAAGGGACACAUGAAUGGAUCCACCACUGCCUCAGCAUGUAAAAUAUGCCUUGGACUGCUGUGAGGUAGCUGGUGGCACGAGUGUUGUUGCAUGUUGAAAGAUUUUGGCUGUGAUUAGCAAACAUGGUGCUUGUAUAUCGACUGCAUUCGCUUGGCCUUGUCAUCUUGUGUCUUGUUGUGAUCAUCAAACAAUCAGUUUGGUGUAGAUUCUAUCGGUUUAAUUACAAGUCGACAUGAAACUUGUCGCGGUUUAUACAAUAUAGAGGGGAAUGUGAUAGUAGCAAUUGUAUUACUAGCUAGUAGAAGCCUAGAACAGAAAAACAGAGACCGAAAGGCAGGUUGAGCACACCAAUUACAGGGAUCUAUUAUAUGCAGCAAGCCAAUGAAUUAGUACAUGCGCGCAUAGUCCUCUGGCACUUGCUAGCAGCCACCGGCGCCACCACCAGCACAGCCACCGGUACUGCCAGCGCCGCCGCCGCCGUCGUCACAGCCACCGGCGCUGCUAGCCGCGGCAGCAGAAGCAAACAUGGCGCUAGACAUGAAUGAAGCAGGGUCGCUCGCUGGAUUUCCCGCGGACCAAGGCGCGUGUCUCGCUCCCCCGCCGCGUUCCUUCCCGGAGCAGAGGGUGCGGAGGAGGACGGCGAGCAGCAUGACCGCGGCCACGGCGACGAACGCCCCGAUUAUCGUGCCAGCGCCGGGACCGCUCCCGCCGGCGCUGAGGUCGGCCAGAGCCCUUCUUCGCAUCGUGAACGCUUGCAUGCACGCAGCUGGACCCGGACGUGCCGGACGGGCAGAGCUGCCGGACUAUAUGUAGUAGCGUCAUACUAGCUUAGAUCGAGUCAUGCAUGGGGUUACCGUUGAAUUUUCACUCGGAGAAAAACGAUCAAACACGUUGAAAGAAUUAACAUGAGGCUAGCUCUUCGUGCUUGCGUACGUCUUUGCUUCAUGAAAGGUUCUUCGCCGUGUUGAAUGUUGAACGCUGAGUUAUUGCGGUAUGCGCGGCUGACUUGUUGGUUCCAUUUCCACUACUUGAACAGACACAAAAUACAUUGGUAUACUCUGGAAAGGGGAGAAAGUGGUAGCUCCGAGAGGGUGGCCACGGUCAACAUUCAACAAUAUAUGAUUUUCUUUUGCGCGGCAUCAGACUAUAGACACUUUUCAUCCAUCAGACUAGUGGAAGGCCGUCCGAAUCAUAAUUAGGCCCACAGGAGAUUUGUUGACUUGUUUGCUAAUUGAUUGCUUCCUUCCUUAAUUAAAUGCUUCCUUCAUACAACUCCCUCUAUCCCGCUGCGCUGAUCUCUCUAUUACGGUUUACUAGAUGAUACCCCGCGCGUUGCUGCGGGAAUAGUAGUUCAUUUGAUGUGGAGUUUGGCCUGAGUGUUAUUCACAUUACAUGACUCCAGAGGAAAAAAGGCCCAAGGGGGCAUAUUGUUUACUUCAAUGUAAUAUAUCAUUAAACAAAACUAACAAAUUCCAGUGAUCCAUUCCAUCACGAGUGCAUUGCAAUGGAACAAAUAAGGUAGUAAUAAUUAUAAGUGGGGCCAAAAGGAAGAAACCAAAGAGUCCCCUAUCCAGCUUUCUUGUAUUGAUGUGUAACAAAGGAAGGAUGGAAUCAAUCUAAAUAAACACCUUCAAUUUUAUUUGUAGCAUUUCUAUCAACAGUACACGCCUUUAAGGUUUGCAAAUAAGAUGGUUUUGCUUUGAGGACAUGCCAACAAUGGACGGGAAAACAUAAGUAAAAGAGAUGUGUGAAAGCACAAUCUUUUUAUUACUGGAUAAUAUUUAAAAAUUGAUAGUUAGGAAAAUAUGAAGAAAAAAAGGCAGGCCUUUUUUAUAUAAAGGAAGGACCCGAAAGCCGGCUCCAUUGUCUACGGUGGCACAGUUGCAAACUCAGCAAGGGACCCUCUCGUGAAGAAACCAAGGUUGUUACCUUUACACAUAGAGGACUUACAGCCAUGCUAGAAGCACUCUCCUGAAAACACUGAAAAUAUUAUAAGAUCUGCAAGGAGUAUAGCUCUUAUAGAUUAAUUCAUCCGGAAAUGCAACGGUUGUCAAUCCAGUAAGUAUGGCACCACCAAAUUUCCACAAAGUAGACUAAGAAAAUGACUUCCAAUCAAGUGUUAGCUUAAGACAAAAAUGCGGAAACCAUACAUGCUUCAUAGUUUAAUUAUUCGGUAACACUUAUGGUCUUCAUCAUUGUACAGUUUUCAGCAGUCCCAGUAGUGUUUAAGGACUAUGACCUGAAAAUCACCUUUAAACAAAUAAGUAAUUCAGGGAGAAAAGUACAAGCAUUGGAAGAAAAGUUAGUAUAUACAUAUGCCAUCCAUACAUUUUGAUAGAGCUCGCGUUAGACAGGCAUCUGAAAGGAUUUUUUUUCAUAUAUUCUAAUAAAAGCAGCAACUACAUGAAACAAAAGCAACUGAGCUAUAACAGAAUUUCAUGCCAAAAUUCACUAAAGCAAUUUUUUUUGCGAGAAGGGUAUGAUUUUAUUCCUCUGAAAUAGGGUUACAGUCCGCUAAAACAAAAUUAGAAACAUUGUCUGAAACACAGUGCAAGCAAAAAGCGGUGCGACCUCCAGAUCUACUAAUAUUAGCUAAAUUAUGAGCAACACUAUGCCUCCCUGUUACUUUUUGUGCUGCAAUAGGAAAAGCUAGAUAAGUUUAAGAAAUUAAUUAGGCUGUACAUUACAGGAAAAAAAUCAGUAGCGAGCCAACACCUCUAGUACCACUUCCUCUUGAUAAAUGAUUUUCAUGAAAUUUACCAAAUCAAAAAACAACACAGCGCUAAAAUAUGAGUAAGCCAGGAAGCCUACACAGCACUCUUUCUUGUUACAACAUCAUUCUGUUGGAUUUUGCACGCAUAUAUCUCAGUUCUGAUCCAGCACCUACAUGGCCAAAAUACAGAUGUGAAAAUCUCACCAGCAACCUGCUGGAAUUUAGUCUAUAUUGGGGCAGCCCAAUAAUUAUUUCAGAAAUUCCUAAUAAAUCCUAGAGGCCCACUUAGCCCAUUUGUGCAAGGCAAGGGAUACUACUAAAGUUUAGUCCCACAUUGCUAGUUUAGAGGGAGUUGGACCUCUUUAUAAGGGAGGCUCCUUCCCCACUUGUAUGAGCAUGAGAACAAGAGGGACAUCCACGCGCGCUCCUCCUCCGCCGCCCGCCGCGCCGCGCCGCGCCGCGCCUCGCCUCGCCUCGCCUCGCCUCGCCUCGCCGCGGGAAUGAGCCGAGCAUGGGGUUGCGAACAUGGGGUUGUUUGGCGAAAGUCAAUGUUCCAAUUCCAAAGAAGCGGAAACUUGGACCAAAGACUGUGGAUUGUGUUUUCUUGGGAUAUGCUUUUCAUAGCAUUGGCUAUAGAUUCUUGGUUGUAAAAUCUGAGGUACCGGACAUGCACGUUGGUACGAUCAUGGAGUCGAAUGAUGCGACUUUCUUUGAAGAUAUCUUUCCCAUGAAGGAUAUGACUACCUCGUCUAAUCAGAAGAUGCCUAGUUCAUCGAAUCAGGAACCAGUUACAAUUACCGAACUGUAACGUCCUCGAUGCGGCUAUAUCUCCCACGUGUCGAAGCACGACUUAGAGGCAUAACCGCAUUGAAAGCAAUGUCGCAAGUGAGGUAAUCUUCACACAACCCAUGUAAUACAUAAGGGAAAGAGAUACAUAGUUGGCUUACAAUCGCCACUUCACACAAUUACAUGAAUAAAGCAUUACAUCAUACAGAUACAAUCAAGGUCCGACUACGGAACCAAAAUAAAAGAAGAACCCCAAAUGCGACAAAAGGUCCCCGAUCGACCCCAACUGGGCUCCACUACUAAUCAACUAGAACGAAACAACACAAAGGGGCAAGAUCUUCAUCGAGCUCCUCCUUGAGCUUGAUUGCGUCACCUGCUCGGUAACAUAGGUACCUGCAAACUGGUUUUGGAAGUAUCUGGUGAGCCACGAGGACUCAGCAAUCCCAUUACCAUGGGUAUCAAGACUAGCAAAGCUUAAAGGGAAAGGAAGGGGUAAAGUGGUGAGGUUGCAGCAGCGACUAAGCAAAUAUGGUGGCUAACCAACGCAAAUAAGAGCGAGAAGAGAACAAGCGGAACGGUCGUGAAGCUAGCAAUGAUCAAGAGGUGAUCCUGAACACCUACUUACGUCAGACAUAACACAGAAACCGUGUUCACUUCCCGGACUCCGCCGAGAAGAGACCAUCACGGUUACACACUCGGUUGAUGCGUUUUAAUUCGGAUCAAGUGUCAAGUUGUCUACAACCGGACAUUAACAAAUUCCCAUCUGCCACAUAACCGCGGGCACGGCUCUCGAAAGUUUAAAACCCUGCAGGGGUGUCCCAACUUAGCCCAUGACAAGCUCUCGCGAUCAUCGAAGGAAUAGACCUUCACCCAGGAAGACCCGAUCAGUCUCGGAAUCCCGGUACAUCAAGACAUUUCGACAAUGGUAAAACAAGACCAGAAAAGCCGUCCGAUGCGCCGACAAUCCCGAUAGGAGCUGCACAUAUCUCGUUCUCAGGGCAACACCGGAUGAGACAUCCUACGAGUAAAACCAAACCUCGAGUUGCCCCGAGGGGGCCCCGCAGUCUACUCGGUUCGAACCAGCACUUAGACAAGCACUGGCCCGGGGGGGCUGAAAUAAAGAUGACCCUCGAGAGAGCGACUCCCAAGGGAAAAAGAUAGGUGGUGGUGAGGCAAAUGGUAAAAGUCAAUGUUGGGCCUUGCUGGACAAGUUUUAUUCAAAGCGAACUGUCAAGGGGGUCCCAUAAAUCACCCGACCGCGUAAGGGACGCAAAAUCCGGGACAUAACACCGGUAUGACGGAAACUAGGGCGGCAAGAGUGGAACAAAACACCAGGCAUAAGGCCGAGCCUUCCACCCUUUACCAAGUAUAUAGAUGCAUUAAUAAUAUAAGAGAUAUUGUGAUAUCCCAACAUAAACCUGUCCACCAUGGAGAAAUCUUCAACUUCACCUGCAACUAGCAACGCUAUAAGAGGGGCUGAGCAAAGCGGUAACAUAGCCAAACAACGGUUUGCAUAGGAAAGGUGUCAAAGGUUAGGGGUUCAUGGCAAUAUGGGAUGGCUGGACAAACAGGUAAUAGGUAGCACAGCAUAGCGAAAGAACGAGGCAACUAGCAUAGCAAUGAUAGUAGUGAGAUCCAGGGUAGCGGUCAUCUUGCCUGAAAUCCCGCAAGGAAGAAGAACGAGUCCAUGAAGAAGAUGAACGGAUGAAGCCGAACCAAACGUAGACGAACGAAUCCUCACGAACGCAACGAAACAGGAACUAACAAGAAGAAGCACACAACAUAGGUAAACACACCACACAUGAACAAGACAUGAUGCACAACAAGCAUGAUGCAUGACCAAGCUACAUGAAGCUACUCAUGGCAAGAGAUGAUGCAAACAAGAACAACACAUCAAGGCAAGUUUAAAUGAGGCCGGGAACAACAUAUAACAAUUCCGGUAAGUCCUCAUAUGCAAAUUUCAAAAUGGGUCCAGAACUGAAUAAACAUUAUGUUCAAGUUGUUAAACAGCAAGUUAAGAUGCAGCAAGAUGAUCUACACGAAAUUCUAGUCAAGUUACAUAUAAAGUUCAUUAGAUUUGGAGCUACGGGCUAGAAAAUAUGAGCAAAACAAGUUAAACAUGGCAUUGAUGCAAAAUGCACCCACACAUCCAGCAAACAUCUCAAAACAAGGAUGCAACAUGAUAAUAUGAAGCUACAUGCAAAAUCAAGCAAGUUUCAUAUAGAGCACACUCAAAACGGAGCAACGAUGCAACACAUGCACACUAUACAAGUCAUAGCAAUAAUCUGUCCAAAACAACUUCUAGGCAUCUUACAAGCAUCAAAACAAUAUGCUACAGCACCCCAACAUAAUAACAAAAGACAUGGGCACGAAGUACACGUAAAGCAUAACAAAACAUGAACACUGAGCUAUCUCCAGAAACAACUAGAAAAUGCUCAAAACGACAUGGAGAUAUUGCAAGUAAUAACAAUUUCAGACUUUAGCAGAAAUAACAUCAGGUUGCAAUGUUUAGAGCUAUCAAACAACAUGUUACAGGAACUUAUCAUGGCAAACAAAGGCAUGGUAUGAAACUACUAAUAGCAUAUAUCAAAAGACCCUUACUGACCAUAAGCCAAAAAGGCAUCUAAGAAAUGAUGGCACCCAUGUAAACAUAGCAAGUUUUAUUACAGAUUUGAACAUGGCAGAAACAACGAUUAGUAGGCAUGUUCGUGAGCUCGAACCGCUCACUACAGAGCAAUACAUGGCAUGGCAAGGCAACCAACAGUAAGAAGGCAUGUUUAUGAAACUAAGCAUGGCAAGAGCAAGGUCAUAUCAUACACGGAUCAACUACAACGACCUUGUGAAAAUUGAAUCUCAUGCAAACAAUCUGCCAGAAAACAUUUUCAAGCAACUUUGGAGCAAGAAAUGAACAUGUUCCAGCAGGCUAUAAAUGCAACCAAUAGCAUGAAUGGAUAGAGCAUGACAUAUAUAUCAAAACAUGUUUAUAGAGCACCUCCAGAUUAUGCAUAGAUUGAUUAGUGGAAGCAUGUUAACAUAGCAACAAAAUAUAACAGAAUCUGCCAGGAAAACAACAACAGCAACUACCCUACUUUACAAGCUCGAUGCACUCAGCACACAACUCACAAAAAUACAAGGUCAACACCUAUGGAAAGAUGGCAUGUCCUAGUCCAACAUUCAUGUAGAGCUCAUACUCAUAGGAUGCACACAUAAAUCAUGGCAAAAAUGACAAAAGAGCUCGAGCUGAUAAGAUUCUGGAACUAACGAUCUGAAGCCCUCUUCCAACAGCAUUUCGGGCAUCAAGAUGAGCUCAAAUGCAAAUGAUGCAAUGGAAUGAAAUGAUGUACUCGUUGAGACGAACAAUUUGACAUAUUAUACGCGCAAAACGGAGCUACGGACGCGGAGAUGUGAUGCAAUGAAAAUGGCAUGAAAAUUACAGAAACUGAGGACUUAGUCAUUUUUGGAAAAAAAACGGACGAGCGUCAAAUAGCUACGAGGCGCCCAGAGCGGGGAUUAGGGGGCUGCUCACCCUGGGCUCAGCCCACGAAGAGGAAGCAGGCCGGGGUGGAGGCUUGGCGGGCUGGAAGGGAGCUGGGCCCUCCUGGCGCGACUGGGCCGCGGCGCGGCUGCGGCUGGGGAGGCCCACGCGGGAGGCAGGGAGGCGACGAGCGGUGGACGGCGUGGCGCGGCGGCGCGAGGNNNNNNNNNNNNNNNNNNNNNNNNNNNNNNNNNNNNNNNNNNNNNNNNNNNNNNNNNNNNNNNNNNNNNNNNNNNNNNNNNNNNNNNNNNNNNNNNNNNNNNNNNNNNNNNNNNNNNNNNNNNNNNNNNNNNNNNNNNNNNNNNNNNNNNNNNNNNNNNNNNNNNNNNNNNNNNNNNNNNNNNNNNNNNNNNNNNNNNNNNNNNNNNNNNNNNNNNNNNNNNNNNNNNNNNNNNNNNNNNNNNNNNNNNNNNNNNNNNNNNNNNNNNNNNNNNNNNNNNNNNNNNNNNNNNNNNNNNNNNNNNNNNNNNNNNNNNNNNNNNNNNNNNNNNNNNNNNNNNNNNNNNNNNNNNNNNNNNNNNNNNNNNNNNNNNNNNNNNNNNNNNNNNNNNNNNNNNNNNNNNNNNNNNNNNNNNNNNNNNNNNNNNNNNNNNNNNNNNNNNNNNNNNNNNNNNNNNNNNNNNNNNNNNNNNNNNNNNNNNNNNNNNNNNNNNNNNNNNNNNNNNNNNNNNNNNNNNNNNNNNNNNNNNNNNNNNNNNNNNNNNNNNNNNNNNNNNNNNNNNNNNNNNNNNNNNNNNNNNNNNNNNNNNNNNNNNNNNNNNNNNNNNNNNNNNNNNNNNNNNNNNNNNNNNNNNNNNNNNNNNNNNNNNNNNNNNNNNNNNNNNNNNNNNNNNNNNNNNNNNNNNNNNNNNNNNNNNNNNNNNNNNNNNNNNNNNNNNNNNNNNNNNNNNNNNNNNNNNNNNNNNNNNNNNNNNNNNNNNNNNNNNNNNNNNNNNNNNNNNNNNNNNNNNNNNNNNAGGAGAUGGGCUUGGGGGGGCCCGAUCCGGGCCUCGCCGGGCCGGCGGCACGGGCGGCGGCGGGAGACACGUGGCGCGACGCCAGUGGCUGCGGGGGCGGCGGCGAUUUCGUCCGGUGGCGGCGGACGUGUCCGGUGGCGGCGGAGGGAGUUUGCUAGGGUUUGAUCCGCAAAAAUGGAUGGGGAGGACGUUUUUAUAGGCAUAGGGAGCUAGGAGUGUCCAAAUGAGGUGGGGUUUUCGGCCACGCGAUCGUGAUCGAACGACCGAGAGCAUGGAGGGGAGUUUGGUGGGUUUUGGGCCACUUUGGAGGGGUGUUGGGCUGCAACUCAAAGAGGGCUUUACGGUUACCCGGUUAACCGUUGGAGUACCAAACGACCUCCAAAUGGCACGAAACUUGACAGGCGGUCUACCGGUGCUAUACCAAGGCCGCUUGGCAAACCUCGGGCCAUUCCGAGAAAGUUUAAUACCCGCACACGAAAAGAGAGACGAGGGGACGCCGGGGAACAUAGGAGCGCCGGAUUGCAAAACGGACAACGGGGAAAAUGCUCGGAUGCAUGAGACGAACACGUAUGCAAAAUGAAAUGCACAUGAUGACAUGAUAUGAAAUGCAUAUGAUGACAUGGCAAAUGCAACACGCAAGCAAAUGACAUGGCAACGAAGGCGAAUAACUGACGGACACCUGGCGCAUCGGAUCCGGGGUGUUACACGAACCUGCCAUUUCGAUGGAACGCUUUGAAAGUCCCGUGGAGGAGAACAAUGAAGUUCCUAUUAGGAGCAAGAGACAGAGGACUGCAAAGUCCUUUGGUGAUGAUUUUCUUGUGUAUCUCAUAGAUGACACUCCCAGUUCCAUUUCAGAGGCCUAUGCAUCUGAAGAUGCUGACUACUGGAAGGAAGCAGUUCGUAGAGAGAUGGAUUCUAUCUUGGCGAAUGAAACUUGGGAGAUAACUGAUCGUCCUUAUGGGUGCAAACGUAUAGGAUGCAAAUGGGUAUUCAAGAAGAAGCUUAGGCCUGAUGGUACUAUUGAAAAGUACAAGGCUCGGCUCGUGGCUAAGGGUUAUACCCAAAAGGAAGGUGAAGACUUCUUUGAUACUUACUCACCUGUGGCUCGACUGACCACUAUUCGAGUCCUACUUUCACUAGCUGCCUCACAUGGUCUUCUCGUUCAUCAAAUGGAUGUUAAGACUGCUUUCCUAAAUGGAGAGUUGGAUGAGGAAAUUUAUAUGGAACAACCAGAUGGGUUUGUAAUAGAUGGUCAGGAAGGGAAAGUGUGCAAGUUGCUGAAGUCUUUGUAUGGACUCAAGCAAGCACCCAAACAGUGGCAUGAGAAGUUCGAAAGAACUUUAACAGCCGCAGGCUUUGUUGUAAAUGAAGCUGACAAAUGUGUGUACUAUCGCCAUGGUGGGGGCGAGGGAGUUAUGCUUUGCUUGUAUGUUGAUGACAUACUGAUUUUCGGAACAAAUCUGAAUGUUAUUAAGGAGGUUAAGGAUUUCCUAUCUCGUUGUUUUGAGAUGAAGGAUUUAGGAGUGGCUGAUGUCAUUCUGAACAUCAAGUUGUUGAGAGACGAUGAUGGUGGGAUUACAUUGCUUCAAUCUCACUAUGUGGAAAAGAUCUUGAGUCGCUUUGGCUAUAGUGACUGCAAGCCCUCUCCAACACCAUAUGAUGCUAGCGUGCUGCUUCGAAAGAAUCGAAGAAUUGCUAGAGAUCAAUUGAAGUAUUCUCAGAUUAUUGGCUCGCUUAUGUACUUAGCCAGUGCUACAAGACCUGACAUCUCUUUUGCUGUUAGCAAGCUGAGCCGGUUUGUCUCAAAACCGGGAGAUGUGCAUUGGAAAGCUCUAGAGAGAGUUUUGCGUUAUUUGAAAGGCACUGUAAAUUAUGGAAUUCACUACACUGGGCACCCAAAGGUGCUUGAAGGGUAUAGUGACUCAAACUGGAUCUCAGAUGCUGAUGAGAUAAAGGCCACGAGCGGAUAUGUGUUCACUCAUGGAGGUGGCGCUCUUUCUUGGAAGUCUUGCAAGCAGACUAUCUUAACGAGGUCAACUAUGGAAGCAGAGCUCACAGCACUAGAUACAGCUACGGUCGAAGCAGAUUGGCUUCGCCGGCUCUUGAAUGACUUGCCGGUUGUUGAGAAACCUGUACCGGGUGUCCUUAUGAACUGCGACAAUCAAACUGUAAUCACAAAAGUGAGCAGCUCAAAGGAUAACAUGAAGUCAUCAAGACACGUUCAGAGAAGGUUAAAGUCUGUCAGGAAAAUGAAAAACUCCGGAGUUAUUGCGUUGGAUUAUAUCCAAACGUCUAAAAAUCUGGCAGAUCCUUUCACUAAGGGUCUAUCGCGUAAUGUGAUAGAUAAUGCAUCGAGGGAGAUGGGUAUGAGACCCACAAUAUGAGUUGUUCACAGUGGUAACCUAUUCUUUGUGAUAGGAGAUCCCGUGAAUUAGAUGUGGAAGACAAGCUGUGGGUCAACUGAGAAGAGAGUAUUCCUACUAUUCCCAAUACCACUCCAUGAAGAUGCAAUACUCUCCUAAUCUGCAUGGCAGGUUGAUGUAUAUCUUAAUGUGUUCUAAGUGGCUCUUUGAAGCAGAGAUGUUGUCCUGCAGAACAUCUUUUGAAGAACACACCUAUAUGAGUCUGAUUGUCAAACGUCGCAAUCUAUGAGAGUAGGGUUCUCUCUGGUAAACUCAUGAAAGGUCACGGAGUAUGACGCAUAAGCUCCACCCGCGGGGAAGACCCACGGUAGCCACGUAUCGGUCAAGGCUUUAUGUGAAGCUAGAUUCGCAGAAAACUUGCAGUUCAAGGCCCAGUCCACUGUUCAAGUUGCUUACUAGUGUAGCAUAGAGUUCUAGGUGGAAGUUCAACUUAACAGUCUCCACUGCAGUACCGGUAUAUAAAACAGUGUUUUGGAACCAAAGGCAAAUUCUGUAUGCCUCUGGGAUCUGGUGGGGGAUUGCUGGAAUUUAGUCUAUAUUGGGGCAGCCCAAUAAUUAUUUCAGAAAUUCCUAAUAAAUCCUAGAGGCCCACUUAGCCCAUUUGUGCAAGGCAAGGGAUACUACUAAAGUUUAGUCCCACAUUGCUAGUUUAGAGGGAGUUGGACCUCUUUAUAAGGGAGGCUCCUUCCCCACUUGUAUGAGCAUGAGAACAAGAGGGACAUCUGUCGUGGUUCUAAGUCUGACAGUAGAAAUGGGGGUAGGUAAGGGGAGGCGAUGUCCUAGCUAUGGAGUAGUUGUGAAGACAAGUGAUGUACGAGUUCAGGCCCUUCUCGGAGGAAGUAACAGCCCUACGUCUCGGAGCCCUGAGGCGGUCGAGUGGAUUAUGGAUAUGAGUAUUACAAGAAUGCGAACCCCUCUACCUGUGGAGGAGGGUGGCUUAUAUAGAGUGCGCCAGGACCCCAGCCAGCCCACGUAUUGGAGAGGUUAAAGUACAUUAAGUCUGGGGCGUUACUGGUAACGCCCCUCAUAAAGUGUCUUAACUAUCAUUAAGUCUAUUCAAUAGUAAGCCGUUGUGCUGCGGAGUGUCUUCUGACCUUCUGGUGGUCGAGUGAGUCUUCAUGGUCGAGUGAGUCUUCCAUGGUCGAGUCCUUCCAGUCAGUCGAGUGGGUUCCUCUUUGGUCGACUGGAAGAUGAUCUCUUCUGAGAGUGUCCUUGGGUAGGACGUUUAGGUCAGGCCUAUGACCCUACCCUAGGUAUAUGAAUCCAUCAUUAGCCCCCGAAUGGAUUGAGGCUUGAGUGAAGGAGGAGUUGACGUUGUUUCCGAUUGUCUUUUGCGUACCGGCUACGUGUUGUCUUGGAUCAAGAUCUUCUCUGUUGAUAACAAGCAACUUUUCUUCAGUCGACUUGAUCCAUUCUUGUUCUUUGGUCGAGUGACCUUCUUUUACUUUGUUAUUCCCGAGCGACGGAUCCCAGGAAAUCUCGCGCUUGACAGACCGAUCUGUCCCUCGCGGAUCUCGCGGGAUACGAAAUUUGGGGAAGCGCGCGAAGCGGAACGGACUGCGGCGUUCGGAUGGGACAUAACAGGAACGCCUCGAUUUCCGCGCCGCUUUUUCCGCCACGUAUCGUGCAGCGCAACUGUUCGGGAUAUGAUUGGAUUGUUCGGGUCCACCUGUCAUCCACUCGGAAGGGAUGCUAUAAAUGCAACUCGCAGGGGCUUCUGCACAGUACCCUGUUCUUCUUCCUCCGCUCUCUUCGCCUCCGCUCUCCGCAACUGCUGCUGCUCCUGCUACCUCCUCUCCUGCGCAUUCCGCCGGCCACCAUGGGCAAAGAGAAGACGGCGGUGUUGGAGCGCGCGAAGAAGGCGUCGGCGGCGGAGAAGGCGUCGGCGGCUGAGAAGGCGAAGGGGAGAUCUACCGGCCGCGGCGGUUCCUCGUCGAGAUCCAACUUGCCGAAGGGCUGGGUCCAGGGAGAUUGGAUCCAGUCGACCAUCAGGGAGAAGGAUCUCCUCGACAUGGCCAACGACGGGUUGAUCCCCCACGGUGCCGCGAGGCUUCCUGGCCGAGAGUGGCAGCCUCAGCCAGAAGAGGGUGAGUGCGUGCUUCUGGCCACCCAUGUCGACCGAGGUUUUUCGCUGCCGCCGCGUGUCUUCUUUCGGGGUUUUCUGAAUUUCUUCGGAGCCCAGCUCCACCAUUUUACUCCAAACUCCAUCGCAUAUCUUGCUGCGUUUGUGUCUAUGUGCGAAAACUUCCUGGGCUGUCGACCGCACUGGGGUUUGUUCAAGUACAUCUUCACAUGUCGCUCUCAGACUGUGAAGAAGGCAAGCCCUGGUGACGAGAAGACCCAAGUAGUUCAGAUGUGUGGUGGCUUAGGGGUCCAGUUGAGGAAUAAAAGCACCUUCCCAGCUAUGUCUUUUCCCGAGUCGGUCAGGGGCUGGCAGUCGACCUGGUUCUAUUGCCGGAAUGAGACGACGCCGGGGCAGUCGACUGGUCUUCCUGCAUUCACCAUGAGUCGAGUGAACAGACCCUCCUCCCUGAAGGUAGUUCCAGAGGAGAGAACUGAGGUGAAGAUGUUGAUGGACCGCGUGGUGCAGCUGGUUCGGGAUGGCGUGACUGGCAUGGACCUCUUGGAGGUUUUUCUUUGGAGGCGAAUCCAGCCUCUUCAGUUCCGGAGCCACUGCAUGUGGCUGUACUGCGGCACCGAAGACGAGACUCGCGUCCACCCGGAGGCAGUCGACGAUGCCAUAGUGGAAAGAUGGAUGGCUGCGAUCACUGGAAACAAGGACAACCCUCGCGGAUCCCGGAGGAUUUCCCCACUUGACCACAACAGCGUUCCAGAAAAGGUACAUUUGCUCUGUUUUCCAUUGUAUCUUCGUCGAAUGUGUUUCUGUGAUUUGGUCGACUGAGUUCCGUUUUGAUGUUUCCAGGCCCUUACCGAGCUAUACUCGAUGCCCAAUGGCGCUCAAACUCCGACUGAGGAGGGGGAAGCCAGCGGGGGCGAGAGCCAGGAAGAGUGGGAUUCAGACGCUGCAGAAGAUGACGAUGACGACGAUGAUGAUGACGAGGAUGAUGACGACGAGGACGAAGAGGAGGAGGAGGCACCGCCGCGCUCGGAAAGGCGGUCAAAACUUGUGCACGACCCUUCGACUGAACGCGGCAAGGGAGUGGCGACUGCCUCACAGUCGAUCAAACGCCCUCGGACCGCUUCUCCGGUGCCGAAUGAGAAGGCGCCGAAACAGUCGAAAGUGGCUCCGUCGAGGACGACCAAGCCUCUGCCAAAAAUGAAGGUAGCCAUCCCCACCAUUUCAGCGGCUGCGACUUCCGAAACCUCAGGCAAGGCUGAGGACCAUGAGAUGGAGGACGCGGCGACUUCAAAUCCCGGUACUGCAACUUUAAAUCUUGUUCUUGGUCGACUGAUGCAUAAUUUUUGACUUUGACUUUUUCCUGAAGCUCCAACCAAUGACAUUAUCACCCUUCCCGACGACGAUGAUGAGGAUGAGGAACCAUUGAGGGCUAGGCGGAGCAGGAAGGCAUCUACUGGCCAUGCAGCCCAAGGUGUGGUGGCGCCCGAGACCAUUGCGACGGAAGGGGAGGUCGGCACUCGACACACCGUGUCAUUCGCGGUGCCGUUGACGAGUGCACGACCCACUUCGUCGAGUGCUGGGCAGCCAUCGAUCUUCGCCACGCACCACGUCCCGGAGGACCGGGCUAGUGCUGCUAAGGAGGCUAUCCGUCAAGCAGAGAUCAUGAUGGAGCAGGUGAAGAUCGUUCGGGAUGCGAGCCAAGCAGCUUACGACGCCAGCUCCGCCCUUCAGAGCAAUGUUCAGGUCAGUCGACCACUGCCUGUUCUGUUAGGAUAUAUUAUCAAAACUUUUCUUUCUGGAAUUCAUAGCAGUCACCCACUGGGUGUGUUGGUAAAAACUCCGUGUUAGCGGGGGCACGCUGAGUGCACCCGCUGGGUGUAGUCCCCAAGGCUAAGGUCGACUGCUGGCAGUCGGUCUUAGGCUUACUAAGUAGAUAUUGAUCAUCACUCGAAUGGAACGAAUGGGUUUCUGAGAUCAGUGGGGGCACGCUGAGUGCACCCACUGGGUGUAGUCCCCGAGACUGUGGUCGACUACUGGCAGUUGAUUACAGUCUGAAGAAGUUUCGGUCGACUGGUCGACUCGCUCUCUCUUUUUUUUUUGGUCGACUGGUCGACUCUGUCUUGAAUAAGACCAGUGGGGGCACGCUGAGUGCACCCACUAGGUGUAGUCCCCGAGAUUACGGUCGAAUGCUUGCAUUCGACUGUAAUCUUAGAAACGCAUCAUUUUUCUUUAUUCACUCGGAAGUGGAUUAUCUCUGAUAUUUUUGCAAUUGACUCUUCGUAGAAAUCCUGCGAUCUUGCGGCGCGCUAUACUGAACUGGAGCAGAAGCAUAUUCAGCUCGAGUUGGACUUGAAGCUAGUGCAGGAGAAUCUGACGAAGGCAAAGGAGGAGACCAAAGGUAUGUUUGGUGAGAUUUCGACGACUCUUUUCUCCCCUCAUUUGCUUCAAACCUGACUUUGCUGUAAUUUACAGGCAAGGUGAAGGAGGCCCAGAGGAAGAAGGAGCUUGAGCUGUCUGAGAAGAUCAAGCUCGCUGAUGAAAAACUGGCCUCAGUCACCAAGCUCGAACAGGACAACACCAAUCUGAAGGCUGCUCUGGCCAUUGCCAGCAAGGAUGUUGAACGACUGAAGGCUGACAAGACUACUCUGACUGAGAAGAUCAACCAGAUGGCUGGGAAGAAGAACGAGCUGGAAGGCUUCUUGGGUGGUCUUGCUAAAAAAUUGUUCCUUAUGCUUGAAGGUAAUCUUCUUCACUCGACCAAUUCUCCCAACUGUUAUGUUCCCAUUCGACUGUUUUCUUAAUUCAGGAUUUUGUCUUUGCAGAGUUCUGUCGCAACUUUGAAGAAGAAACCAGCCAGCUGGAGACGAACCUUGACCCUGUCAAUUCUCCGGUGAAUGAUGAAACUGCCAUGAACAUCUUCCGACUGGAGUCCCGUAUUGCUGCCGUCGUGGAUUAUCUUGCAAGACUGAAGGUUGCUACAUCCCGCAUCGACUCGACGCUCUGGCCCAGGGAAACACUCCGAAAUGACCUCGAGUCGUUGGUGACUCGACUGAACGCUGUCCCUGACCGAGUGCAAGAGUGGAAGAAGUCUUCAGCUCGAUGUGGCGCGGAUGUCGCCCUGUGUCUGGCACGAGUCCAUUGCAAGGAUGCUCGAGAGGAUAAGCUGGCGGCUCUCCGAGUGGCCAACACCAAAAAGCACGACUUCAGGGCCUUCAUGGAGACUUUCAUUGCUGCUGCUACGCGGAUUGCAGACGGGAUUGACCUUGACGAGUUCGUUGCUCCAUCCAGCCCUCCACAGGAGGGGUAAAAAACUUUCCUUGACCUUAAAUUUGCCUCGGUAUGCCGAGUGGAGUUGUAACCGAUAAAACCUUAACAGGCUUAGCGCCAGAGCACUCUCGGUUCCUUUAGGUAUCGACCUAAAUUUGGAUUGGAUGUUUUGGAUAUGAUUGCUUUUGGCUUGAAUUGCUUCUUUGCAGGUUAACAGCAAGAUGCCCACUGCAGUCGACUUAUUCCUUAGGCGAGCACUGGGCUGCAGCUAAGCCCCCAAGUGAGAGGUUUGCUCUUCACUCGGUAGGAUUUUUUUUACCUUAGGCGAGCACUGGGCUGCAGCUAAGCCCCCGAGUGAGAGGUUUGCUCUUCACUCGGUAGGAUUUUGUUUUACCUUAGGCGAGCACUGGGCUGCAGCUAAGCCCCCGAGUGAGAGGUUUGCUCUUCACUCGGUAGGUUUUCUUUUACCUUAGGCGAGCACUGGGCUGCAGCUAAGCCCCCGAGUGAGAGGUUUGCUCUUCACUCGGUAGGAUUUCUUUUACCUUAGGCGAGCACUGGGCUGCAGCUAAGCCCCCGAGUGAGAGGUUUGCUCUUCACUCGGUAGGAUUUCUUUUACCUUAGGCGAGCACUGGGCUGCAGCUAAGCCCCCGAGUGAGAGGUUUGCUCUUCACUCGGUAGGAUUUCUUUUACCUUAGGCGAGCACUGGGCUGCAGCUAAGCCCCCGAGUGAGAGGUUUGCUCUUCACUCGGUAGGAUUUCUUUUACCUUAGGCGAGCACUGGGCUGCAGCUAAGCCCCCGAGUGAGAGGUUUGUUCUUCACUCGGUAGGAUUUCCAUUGUAUUUGUGACGAAGCUCGGAGGAGAGGGUCGCAGUCGACCUGCACCUCGUCUUCCUUGCGAACGCACAUCAUACUUAUGGUGUAGCUCGGAGGAGAGGGUCGCAGUCGACCUGCCCCUCGUCCUCCUUGCGGGUACGCAUGCUACAAUGGUGUAGUUCGGAGGAGAGGAUCGCAGUCGACCUGCACCUCGUCUUCCUUGCGGGUACACAUUAUACUUAGGCGAGUCCUUGGACUGCAGCUAAGCCUCCGAGUGGGAGUCUGGCUUACCACUCGGUAGGAUUUUUAAUAACUUAGGCGAGCACUGAGCUGCAGCUAAGCCUCCGAGUGGAAGUCUGGCUUACCACUCGGUAGGAUUUCUUAUAUCUUAGGCGAGUACUGGACUGCAGCUAAGCCUCCGAGUGGAAGUCUGGCUUACCACUCGGUAGGACUUCUUAUAUCUUAGGCGAGUACUGGACUGCAGCUAAGCCUCCGAGUGGAAGUCUGGCUUACCACUCGGUAGGAUUUCUUAUAUCUUAGGCGAGUACUGGACUGCAGCUAAGCCUCCGAGUGAAAGUCUGGCUUACCACUCGGUAGGACUUCUUAUAUCUUAGGCGAGUACUGGACUGCAGCUAAGCCUCCGAGUGGAAGUCUGGCUUACCACUCGGUAGGAUUUCUUAUAUCUUAGGCGAGUACUGGACUGCAGCUAAGCCUCCGAGUGGAAGUCUGGCUUACCACUCGGUAGGAUUUUUUGUUACUUAGGCGAAACGGAUUCACAGCUAAGCCUCCGAGUGGAAGUCUGGCUUACCACUCGGUAGGAUUUGUACAAACUUAGGCGAAACGGAUUCGCGACUAAGCCACCCACUGGGGGAAAAUUUUGCUGGACCAAAAAAUAAAAAGUGAUGAAAAUUAUGAAGGAAUUAUUACACUAUUAUUUCAAAGCCCAUGAACUACAGAAGUAUUUUAUUACAACUCUUCCGAGUGAAGAACUUUAAGUGUAAAACGGGCGGAGCAGAUCCGCGUUCCAAGCUCGGGGCUCUUCGAUAUUGUGUUCGACGUUAUAGAGACGAUACGCCCCAUUGUGGAGAAUCUUUGUGACGAUGAAGGGCCCUUCCCAGGAAGGGGCGAGCUUAUGUUGCUUCUGCUGAUCCACUCGAAGGACCAGAUCUCCUUCCUGGAAGGCUCGACCUCUCACAUUUCUGGCGUACAGGCGACGCAAGUCUUGCUGGUAAAUGGUCGAGCGGAUCAGAGCCAUUUCCCUUUCCUCUUCUAGGAGGUCGACUGCAUCCUGACGCGCUUGCUCAGCUUCUGCUUCAUUGUAAAGUUCAAUUCGGGGAGCAUUGUGAAGGAGAUCACUCGGUAAGACUGCUUCUGCUCCAUAGACCAAGAAGAAAGGAGUUCUCCCAGUCGACCGAUUAGGCGUGGUCCGCAAACCCCAAAGCACUGAAGGAAGUUCGUCGACCCAAGCUCCAGCCGCAUGCUUGAGAUCUCGCAUCAAUCGGGGCUUCAGACCCUUGAGGAUUAAUCCGUUGGCUCGUUCUGCCUGUCCGUUCGACUGUGGAUGAGCGACUGAAGCGUAGUCGACUCGUGUGCCUUGGGAGUUGCAGAAAUCCUUGAAUUCUUCCGAGUCAAAAUUCGACCCAUUGUCUGUGAUAAUACUGUGCGGGACUCCAUAUCUGAAUGUCAACCCUCUGACAAAGGAAACAGCAGUACCAGCAUCAAGUUUUUUGAUUGGUUUAGCUUCAAUCCACUUGGUGAACUUGUCGACUACCACCAGUACAUGUGUGAAACCGCUCCGACCUGUUCGCAAGGGACCGAUCAUGUCCAACCCCCAUACUGCGAAAGGCCAGACGAGUGGAAUGGUCUUCAAGGCUGACGCAGGCUUGUGUGACAUAUUGGAGUAGAACUGGCAUCCUUCGCACUUGUCCACUAUUUCUUUCGCCAUCUCAUUUGCUCUUGGCCAGUAAAAUCCGGCUCGGUAUGCUUUGGCUACAAUGGUCCGAGAGGACGCAUGGUGACCACAGGUCCCCGAGUGGAUGUCAUUGAGUAUGACUCGACCUUCUUCUGGCGUUAUGCAUUUUUGUCCGACUCCCGUCGGGCUUUCUCUAUACAACUGCCCAUUGAUAACGGUAAAGGCUUUGGAUCGACGGACGACCUGCCGAGCCUCUUCGUCAUCUUCUGGGAGUUCCUUUCUCAGAAUAUACGCGAUGUAUGGAAUCGUCCAAUCGGGAGUGACCACUAACACUUCCAUGACUAAGUCGACCACUGCUGGGACCUCAACCUCAGUCGAGUCUGUGGCACUCUUGGGUUGUGGAGCUUCCUCUGUGAAGGGAUCUUCUUUAACUGACAGAGUGUGUAUAUGUUCCAAAAACACACCACUCGGAAUGGCUUCUCUUUUGGACCCUAUCUUCGCCAGAUCAUCUGCUGCUUGAUUUUUCAAUCGAGGGAUGUGAUGGAGUUCCAACCCCUCGAACUUCUUUUCCAGCUUCCUCACUGCAUUGCAGUAUCCAGUCAUAGCUGGGCUUCUCACGUCCCACUCUUUCAUCACUUGAUUGACCACUAGAUCUGAGUCGCCAUAGACCAUCAGGCGACGGACGCCGAGUGAGAUGGCCAUGCGCAAUCCAUAUAAGAGGGCCUCGUACUCUGCCUCAUUGUUGGAGGAAUCAAAGUGAAUCUGGAGCACAUACCUAAGCUUAUCUCCUCUGGGGGAAACUAGAACAACCCCAGCACCAGAACCAUUCAGCAUCUUGGAGCCGUCGAAGAACAUGGUCCAAUGCUCCGAGUGAACUUCAGUCGGUUGCUGUUGUUCAAUCCACUCGGCAAGGAAAUCCGCUAUAGCCUGGGACUUAAUGGCUUUCUUUGCCUCGAAUUUGAUAUCAAGGGGAAGAAGUUCAAUCGCCCAUUUUGCCACUCGACCGGUUGCGUCUCUGUUGUGCAGGAUCUCUGAUAAAGGAGCGUCGCUGACGACUGUGAUAGAAUGAUCAGAGAAAUAGUGAGCAACCUUCUUUGUGGUCAUGUAUAUACCAUACACAAGCUUCUGAUAAUGAGGAUAUCUCUGCUUGGAUGGAGUCAAGACUUCAGACAGAUAAUACACCGGGCGCUGAACUUUGAAGGCCUUUCCUUCCUCUUCCCGCUCGACCGUAAGCACAGUACUGACAACUUGUCCAGUGGCUGCGAUGUAAAGCAACAGAGGCUCCUUGCUGAUUGGAGCAGCAAGCACCGGCUGGGUGGAGAGCAGAGCUUUUAGCUCGGCAAACGCUGCGUCAGCUUCUGGAGUCCACUCGAAUUUGUCUGCCUUCUUCAUCAGUUGGUAAAGAGGUAAUGCCUUUUCACCGAGUCGUGAGAUGAAUCGACUUAAAGCGGCCAAGCAUCCAGUAAGCUUCUGGACGUCGUGCACUCGCACAGGGCGUUUCAUUCGGAGAAUGGUGCCGAUCUUCUCUGGGUUAGCGUCGAUCCCUCGUUCGGAAACGAGAAAACCGAGUAAUUUUCCACCAGGAACUCCGAAUGUGCACUUUGACGGAUUGAGCUUGAUAUCGUACCUUCUGAGGUUGGCAAAUGUUUCGGCGAGGUCAGCAAGCAGGUCGGAACCUUUUCGCGACUUAACGACGAUAUCAUCCAUAUACGCUUCCACAUUCCGACUGAUUUGAGUGAGAAGACACUUCUGAAUCAUUCGCAUAAAUGUGGCUCCGGCAUUCUUGAGGCCGAAUGGCAUGGUGAUAUAGCAGAAGCACCCGAAUGGAGUGAUGAAAGCUGUUUUUAUUUCAUCGGGUCCAUACAGACGGAUCUGAUGAUACCCGGAAUAUGCAUCUAGAAAAGACAAUCUCUCACACCCCGCGGUCGAGUCAACAAUUUGAUCUAUGCGGGGGAGAGGAAAAUGAUCCUUCGGGCAGGCCCGAUUGAUGUGCUUAAAAUCAAUGCACAUGCGGAGUGAGUUGUCCUUCUUGGGAAUCAUGACGACAUUAGCGAGCCACUCGGAGUGGUAUAUCUCCCGAAUAAAUCCUGCCGUCAACAGUCGAGCCACUUCUUCACCAAUAGCCUUUCUCUUCUGGACGGCGGACCGCCGAAGAUGCUCUUUGACUGGCUUCGCUGACUUGUCGACUCGGAGGCGAUGCUCAGCCAGUUCCCUGGGAACACCUGGCAUGUCAGCUGGCUUCCAUGCGAAAAUGUCCCAGUUCUCACGGAGGAACUGGAUGAGCGCUUCUUCCUAUUUCGAGUCGAGUGUUGUGGAGAUGUGGGUCGGGGCUGCAUUGGGAUCAGUCGGAUGAAUAUGGACUGGCUUCGUCUCACCAGACGACUGGAAUGCAGACUCUGUUGUUGGCUUCUUGGAUCGUAACAAGUCACUCGGAUCUGCGGUUUGCAUGUAUUCGUCGAAUUCGACCGCUGUCACUUGGGAGUCGGCAAUCUUCGAGCCCUUCUGAAAGCACUCUUCUGCCUUCUUCCGAUCGCCGGUGACAGUGAUCACUCCCUUUGGUCCUGGCAUUUUCAGUUUGAGGUACAUGUAGCAUGGUCGAGCCAUGAAUCGCGCGUAGGCGGGCCUCCCCAAAAUGGCGUGGUAUGCACUCUGAAAAUCCACAACCUCAAAGGUCAACUUUUCUUUGCGAAAGUGCUUGGAAUCACCAAAAACCACGUCCAGGGCUAUUUGGCCGAGUGAGUUGGCCUUCUUCCCUGGUAUGACUCCGUGGAAACUCAUAUUGCUGGCGCUCAAUCGGGACAUCGGAAUGCCCAUCCCUUUCAAUGUAUCCACAUAUAACAAAUUCAGCCCACUACCACCAUCCAUCAGCACUUUUGUCAGUCGAGUGCCUUCGACAACUGGAUCGACCACUAACGCUUGCCGCCCAGGAGUGGCAAUGUGAGUCGGGUGAUCAGAUUGGUCGAAUGUGAUGGGUGUCUGGGACCACUUCACAUAACUUGGCUUUACUGGGGCAACCAUAUUCACCUCCCGGUUGAUGACUUUCAGUCGACUUUUGCUUUCCACAUCCGCGAAGAUCAUCAGAGUGGAGUUGACAUGCGGGUAUUCCUCCUCACUGUCCUCUUUGUCUCCGGCCUUGUCUGGCUCCUUCUCCUUGUCCUUAGACUGUUUUCCCUGAAACUGCUGGAUCAGGAGUCGACACUGACGAGUGGUGUGCUUCGGGUAAAUAAUGUUGCCCUCUUCAUCCUUCUUCGUGUGGAUAUGGCAUGGCAUAUCCAUCACGUCAUUUCCUUCUUUAUCUUUCACUUUCUUCGGAUUCCAGGAUCCUUUGGGCUUCCCCUUGAACUUCCCCUGAGUCACGGCCAGGGCCUCUCCAGGAGCUGCUGGCUCGGCUUUUCGUUUCUGCUUCCGACUGGAAUUUCCCUUCUCCGACUGGCUUGGCUUGUACUUGCCGCUUCGGAGUCGAUCUUCUUCCUCGCCAUUGGCGUAUUUGCUAGCAAUCUCCAUCAUUCGACUCAGGGUCAUGUCCCCGGUUCGACCAAACUUCAGACUCAAUUCUCUAUUUUUGACGCCAUCUUUGAAGGCGCAAACCGCCUGAUGGUCAGACACAUUUUCCACAGUAUGGUGCAAGGUAAUCCACCUCUGAAUGUACUCUCGAAGAGUUUCAUUGGUCUUCUGCACACAAACUUGCAGCUCUGUCAAACCAGCCGGUCGCUUGCAAGUCCCUUCAAAAGUCCUGACGAACACUCGGGACAAAUCUUCCCAAGUAUAUAUACUGCUACGAGGUAACUGAUUCAGCCAUGCUCUGGCAAAACCUUCUAACAUGAGGGGCAAAUGCUUCAUGGCCACCUCAUCAUUCCCACCACCAAUCUGAACAGCCACUCGGUAAUCCUCAAGCCAAGUUUCAGGCUUGGAUUCCCCAGUGAACUUGCUGACUCCUGUUGCCAAUCUGAAAUUGGGGGGGAUCACUGCGGCUCUGAUAGCCCUGCUAAAACACUCCGGACCAGAGACAUGCACUCGACUGCUGGUGGGUGCAUCCCUCUCGGGUCCGCCUCGAUGGGCUCUGUUCUGGUCGACCAAGCCUUGCACGAUAAUGGAUCGCGCGUCAAAGCCUGGUUCCCUGGGGUCGACUGGAACUCUUCGCCCCGUACUGAACUGUCGUCUGUCAUCUUGCCGCCGAGGAGCGUACGACCCUUCCCUCGGAGGGGAAAGGGGCACUCGACGCCUGUCAUCCCGGUCGAAUCGGUCUCCGUGCUGCUCUCGCCGGUUGUCGCGCCCUUCUCGCCGCGGAGGCGAUCUGGGGCUGUGAGCCGACUGGACAGUGUUCGCAGCGACGGAUCGACUGUGAAUCCUGUUGCGCGACUGCGACACGGCUGAGUUCUGGUCUCCUGCCGCUCGGAGUAAAUCUCUGAUCUGCUGCAAGCCUCUCCCAGCUUCCGACUGGGACGGCUGGAUGGACUCUGCUAUGCGAGUUGCAGCUGCUAAAUUCUGAACUGGCGUGCGGUAUACCUGAGUCGGUGGGAAGAGUCGACGUCGACUGGCUUCGGGGAUUCGUUGCCGCGCGCGCUCGUCGAGUGCUCGCUGAAGAUUCUCCAGGCGAGCGCGUUCAGCCACAUUGGCCAAACGUGCUUCCUCCAAGGCACGAGCCUCAGGGGUUUCUCCGGCAAUAGGAGUAUGAAGUGCAUCCAUGUUCCUGCGACGAAGCUCUUCUCUCUGCAGAGAGUCGAGUGUCUCGGGCUGGUACUCUUCGUGUUCUUGCACGGGGUCUCCUCCUCCAGCGGCCCCACCGCCGUGGGCGAAGCCGGGAGGACUGCGAGGGCCGUCGACCAUGAGGAUCUCCGCCGCUGGAUCACUGCUAUCACACUCGGAUGCAGUCUCUACGGAGCCAGUCGACAGAUCGAACAGGCCGUAGAGGGAUUCGUCGGGCUCGAUGGCCGCGACUUGGGCGGUGGCUGUCUGGCGAGCCACCGCGUGUUUCACCCACCGCUGGAGCCUCGACCGACCAGAACGCUUGCGCUGGUGGGAGACUGGGUGGGCGACCGAUAGGGGAGUCGACUGAUACGGGGUCGACGGUUGCCGCAGCAGAACGCCGCGAACACAUGCGCGAAAGUGUGUCGCCCCGCGGACGGGGAGCGCCUCGAUGUCAAGUGGAGCCUCCUGGAGCCAUGCGGAGUCGUCGGCGACAAAAGUGAGAGCACCAAGACGGAUCUCGCGCCCCUCAACCAAAACUCCAGCAGUCAUCGUGAUGAAGGUACUCGGAAGUACUGCAACUCCUCCACAAAUCGCUAAAACACCUGCCCCAAGGUGGGCGCCAACUGUCGUGGUUCUAAGUCUGACAGUAGAAAUGGGGGUAGGUAAGGGGAGGCGAUGUCCUAGCUAUGGAGUAGUUGUGAAGACAAGUGAUGUACGAGUUCAGGCCCUUCUCGGAGGAAGUAACAGCCCUACGUCUCGGAGCCCUGAGGCGGUCAAGUGGAUUAUGGAUAUGAGUAUUACAAGAAUGCGAACCCCUCUACCUGUGGAGGAGGGUGGCUUAUAUAGAGUGCGCCAGGACCCCAGCCAGCCCACGUAUUGGAGAGGUUAAAGUGCAUUAAGUCUGGGGCGUUACUGGUAACGCCCCUCAUAAAGUGUCUUAACUAUCAUUAAGUCUAUUCAAUAGUAAGCCGUUGUGCUGCGGAGUGUCUUCUGACCUUCUGGUGGUCGAGUGAGUCUUCAUGGUCGAGUGAGUCUUCCAUGGUCGAGUCCUUCCAGUCAGUCGAGUGGGUUCCUCUUUGGUCGACUGGAAGAUGAUCUCUUCUGAGAGUGUCCUUGGGUAGGACGUUUAGGUCAGGCCUAUGACCCUACCCUAGGUAUAUGAAUCCAUCAACAUCCACGCGCGCUCCUCCUCCGCCGCCCGCCUCGCCACGCCACGCCUCACCUCGUCACGUCACGUCACGUCGCGCCGCGCCGCGGGUUGCGGGAAUGAGCCGAGCCGAUGUCUAAAUUUUUGCCACGCACUACGGGUAUGCGAAAGGUCACUCGGAAGCUGAAACAUUUUCUGUAGUGGACACUGAAUUCGAACAGCGCGCCUCUUCGGCUGCUGUCUGUUCGUUUCAGCUCCCGACGCAACCUCUCGCCUCCUUCUCUUGCGCCUAUAAAAGGGAGGUCGCUCCUCUCAGAGAGACGCACCAGAAUCUCUUCCUCCUCUCGCCACAAGUUCCUGAGCAUUGCGCUGCUGUUACGUUCUUCCUCAUCCCGGCUUGCGGCGUGCACCGCAGGUCGGGACAGUAGGCCUCCGAAACCGCACUCUUUGAGUCCUGUACGGGAGAAGGGUGAUAAGGUUUUUGGGGAGCGCUCAACGCGACUACUGGCUUCUUCAUCACGGACGAUCUGGUCGCCGACGACGACUUCCCCGACGACGACUUCUUCCCCGACGUCGACAACCUCCUCGACGACAUGGCUGGCAAGGACACCGAUCCCAAGUCCAGUACUGCUGCUGCUGUCGUCCCGUAUGUCAUCUUCUUUCUGUCACAUGUUCUGCCACAGUUACCUCUACUAGUACUUGCCCUACAUAUGUUAAGGUUCUACUUCAUAUAUGCAACUAGUUCUACCGUCUGCUAUAGAUAUGUUUGGCUACGGUUCAUAUAUGCAGAAGCUAUUUACCUUCUCUCUGUCAGAACGCAUGACUUGCUUUAUCUCUAUUAUUUUAGUCAUGUUUUAUCUACUAUUUCUGUUAAUAAAAUCAUUCUGUAAAUUGCUCAUAUUUCCAACAAUCCAAAAACCUUAUUAUAGGCAAUUUACCUCGAAUGGUUUUGCUGCUUCCAUGAGACCUCCUAUGUUUGAGGGUAUCCACUAUAAGAGGUGGCGCGUGAGAGCAGUCUUAUGGUUUCAAACCAUGAGUUGCUAUGACGCCACUCUUGGCAAACCUGAAGGAGAGCAAGAUGCCCAACAGGCACAAGCUUUUCAGAAAAUGGAUACCUUGUUUAAGGCUGCUCUCUUGAGUGUUCUUGGUGAGAACAUAGUUGAUGCUUAUGCGUCAAUUGAUAAUGGAAAAGAUAUGUGGGAUGCACUCGAGGCCAAGUUUGGGGUCUCGGAUGCUGGCACUGAGCUGUACAUCAUGGAGCAAUUCUAUGAUUACAGGAUGACUGAAGAGCGCUCCGUGGUUGAGCAAGCUCAUGAGAUACAGUCGUUUGCUAGAGAACUUGAGCACUUCAGUUGUACGCUACCGGACAAGUUUGUUGCCGGAGGUAUCAUCACUAAGCUUCCUCCUUCAUGGAGGAACUUUGCUACCUUGCUGAAGCAUAAGAGGUAGGAGUUUUCCGUCCCGGAUCUCAUUGGCACUCUUGAUGUGGAAGAAAAGGCGAGAGCAAAGGACACACGUGCUCGAGGUAUUGAGGGAGGAUCUAGUGCCAAUGUGGUACAGAAGCAGAACUUCCAGCCCCACAAGUUCAAGAACAAGGGCAAGUUUGAUGGUAAAGCAAAGUUUGAUGGGAAGAACAAGGCUGUGCAACACACGAACUUCAAGAAGAANNNNNNNNNNAAAGAUCGUGCGGCUGAAGAACGUGCAUUAUGUCCCCUCCGUCAAUAAGAAUCUUGUUAGCGGAUCUCUUCUGUGUAGAGAUGGCUACAAGCUUGUCUUUGAGUCGAAUAAAUUUGUAAUAUCCAAGUAUGGAACCUUUGUCGGUAAAGGCUAUGAGUCAGGAGGCCUGUUUCGUUUAUCCUUAUCAGACGUUUGCAAUAAAGUUGUUAAUCAUAUUUGCAACAAUAGUGAAUCAAAUGUGUGGCAUUCACGACUUUGUCAUGUUAACUUUGGUUGCAUGUCGCGACUAGCGAAGUUGAACUUAAUCCCUAGUUUCACCACCGUUAAGGGAUCUAAGUCUCAAGUGUGUGUGCAAGCUAAGCAACCUCGUAAAUCUCACGUGACUGCGGAGACGAGAAAUCUUGCACCACUAGAACUUAUACAUUCAGAUCUAUGUGAAAUGAAUGGUGUUUUGACAAAAGGUGGAAAGAAAUAUUUCAUGACGUUAAUUGACGACUCCACUAGAUACUGCUGUGUGUAUCUUCUGAAAUCUAAGGAUGAGGCUUUGAACUUUUUCAAGAUCUAUAAAGCUGAAGUGGAAAACCAACUUGAUCGGAAAAUCAAGAGGCUUAGGUCCGACCGUGGUGGAGAGUAUUUUUCCAAUGAAUUUGAUGCUUUUUGUGCGGAANNNNNNNNNNUAUUAGGAGCAAGAGACAGAGGACUGCAAAGUCCUUUGGUGAUGAUUUUCUUGUGUAUCUCAUAGAUGACACUCCCAGUUCCAUUUCAGAGGCCUAUGCAUCUGAAGAUGCUGACUACUGGAAGGAAGCAGUUCGUAGCGAGAUGGAUUCUAUCUUGGCGAAUGAAACUUGGGAGAUAACUGAUCGUCCUUAUGGGUGCAAACCUAUAGGAUGCAAAUGGGUAUUCAAGAAGAAGCUUAGGCCUGAUGGUACUAUUGAAAAGUACAAGGCUCGGCUCGUGGCUAAGGGUUAUACCCAAAAGGAAGGUGAAGACUUCUUUGAUACUUACUCACCUGUGGCUCGACUGACCACUAUUCGAGUCCUACUUUCACUAGCUGCCUCACAUGGUCUUCUCGUUCAUCAAAUGGAUGUUAAGACUGCUUUCCUAAAUGGAGAGUUGGAUGAGGAAAUUUAUAUGGAACAACCAGAUGGGUUUGUAAUAGAUGGUCAGGAAGGGAAAGUGUGCAAGUUGCUGAAGUCUUUGUAUGGACUCAAGCAAGCACCCAAACAGUGGCAUGAGAAGUUCGAAAGAACUUUAACAGCCGCAGGCUUUGUUGUAAACGAAGCUGACAAAUGUGUGUACUAUCGCCAUGGUGGGGGCGAGGGAGUUAUGCUUUGCUUGUAUGUUGAUGACAUACUGAUUUUCGGAACAAAUCUGAAUGUUAUUAAGGAGGUCAAGGAUUUCCUAUCUCGUUGUUUUGAGAUGAAGGAUUUAGGAGUGGCUGAUGUCAUUCUGAACAUCAAGUUGUUGAGAGACGAUGAUGGUGGGAUUACAUUGCUUCAAUCUCACUAUGUGGAAAAGAUCUUGAGUCGCUUCGGCUAUAGUGACUGCAAGCCCUCUCCAACACCAUAUGAUGCUAGCGUGCUGCUUCGAAAGAAUCGAAGAAUUGCUAGAGAUCAAUUGAAGUAUUCUCAGAUUAUUGGCUCGCUUAUGUACUUAGCCAGUGCUACAAGACCUGACAUCUCUUUUGCUGUUAGCAAGCUGAGCCGGUUUGUCUCAAAACCGGGAGAUGUGCAUUGGAAAGCUCUAGAGAGAGUUUUGCGUUAUUUGAAAGCCACUGUAAAUUAUGGAAUUCACUACACUGGGCACCCAAAGGUGCUUGAAGGGUAUAGUGACUCAAACUGGAUCUCAGAUGCUGAUGAGAUAAAGGCCACGAGCGGAUAUGUGUUCACUCAUGGAGGUGGCGCUGUUUCUUGGAAGUCUUGCAAGCAGACCAUCUUAACGAGGUCAACUAUGGAAGCAGAGCUCACAGCACUAGAUACAGCUACGGUCGAAGCAGAUUGGCUUCGCCGGCUCUUGAAUGACUUGCCGGUUGUUGAGAAACCUGUACCGGGUGUCCUUAUGAACUGCGACAAUCAAACUGUAAUCACAAAAGUGAGCAGCUCAAAGGAUAACAUGAUGUCAUCAAGACACGUUCAGAGAAGGUUAAAGUCUGUCAGGAAAAUGAAAAACUCCGGAGUUAUUGCGUUGGAUUAUAUCCAAACGUCUAAAAAUCUGGCAGAUCCUUUCACUAAGGGUCUAUCGCGUAAUGUGAUAGAUAAUGCAUCGAGGGAGAUGGGUAUGAGACCCACAAUAUGAGUUGUUCACAGUGGUAACCUAUUCUUUGUGAUCGGAGAUCCCGUGAAUUAGAUGUGGAAGACAAGCUGUUGGUCAACUGAGAAGAGAGUAUCCCUACUAUUCCCAAUACCACUCCAUGAAGAUGCAAUACUCUCCUAAUCUGCAUGGCAGGUUGAUGUAUAUCUUAAUGUGUUCUAAGUGGCUCUUUGAAGUAGAGAUGUUGUCCUGCAUAACAUCUUUUGAAGAACACACCUAUAUGAGUCUGAUUGUCAAACAUUGCAAUCUAUGAGAGUAGGGUUCUCUCUAGUAAACUCAUGAAAGGUCACGGAGUAUGACGCAUAAGCUCCACCCGCGGGGAAGACCCACGGUAGCCACGUAUCGGUCAAGGCUUUAUGUGAAGCUAGAUUCGCAGAAAACUUGCAGUUCAAGGCCCAGUCCACUGUUCAAGUUGCUUACUAGUGUAGCAUAGAGUUCUAGGUGGAAGUUCAACUUAACAGUCUCCACUGCAGUACCGGUAUAUAAAACAGUGUUUUGGAACCAAAGGCAAAUUCUGUGUGCCUCUGGGAUCUGGUGGGGGAUUGCUGGAAUUUAGUCUAUAUUGGGGCAGCCCAAUAAUUAUUUCAGAAAUUCCUAAUAAAUCCUAGAGGCCCACUUAGCCCAUUUGUGCAAGGCAAGGGAUACUACUAAAGUUUAGUCCCACAUUGCUAGUUUAGAGGGAGUUGGACCUCUUUAUAAGGGAGGCUCCUUCCCCACUUGUAUGAGCAUGAGAACAAGAGGGACAUCCACGCGCGCUCCUCCUCCGCCGCCCGCCUCGCCUCGCCUCGCCUCGCCUCGCCUCGUCACGCCGUGCCGCGGGUUGCGGGAAUGAGCCGAGCCGAUGUCUAAAUUUUUGCCACGCACUACGGGUAUGCGAAAGGUCACUCGGAAGCUGAAACAUUUUCUGUAGUGGACACUGAAUUCGAACAGCGCGCCGCUUCGGCUGCUGUCUGUUCGUUUCGUCUCCCGCAUUCCCUUCAGCUCCCGACGCAACCUCUCGCCUCCUUCUCUUGCGCCUAUAAAAGGGAGGUCGCUCCUCUCAGAGAGACGCACCAGAAUCUCUUGCUCCUCUCGCCACAGGCUUGCGGCGUGCACCGCAGGUCGGGACAGUAGGCCUCCGAAACCGCACUCUUUGAGUCCUGUACGGGAGAAGGGUGAUAAGGUUUUUGGGGAGCGCUCAGCGCGACUACUGGCUUCUUCACCACGGACGAUCCGGUCGCCUCCCCGACGACGACUUCUUCCCCGACGUCGACAACCUCCUCGACGACAUGGCUGGCGAGGACACUGAUCCCAAGUCUAGUACUGCUGCUGCUGUCGUCCCGUAUGUCAUCUUCUUUCUGUCACAUGUUCUGCCACAGUUACCUCUACUAGUACUUGCCCUACAUAUGUUAAGGUUCUACUUUAUAUAUGCAACUAGUUCUACCGUCUGCUAUAGAUAUGUUUGGCUACGGUUCAUAUAUGCAGAAGCUAUUUACCUUCUCUCUGUCAGAACGCAUGACUUGCUUUAUCUCUAUUAUUUUAGUCAUGUUUUAUCUACUAUUUCUAUUAAUAAAAUCAUUCUGUAAAUUGCUCAUAUUUCCAACACAACCUACCCGACAGUGUAAAUAAAUAUUUAGCUUGCAAAACAUUACUCUAGAAAACUCAUUCAGAUCAAAUGCAACCGACCCUUAAAAAUACAUUGUUCGCGUGUUAACAGCUUUUGCAUGAUUUAACUAUAGGUUACAAAAUAAAUGAAGUAAAAUGAAAUGAAAUAUUCUUAUAAAAAUAAUGUUGAACAAAGAAAUCCAGUAAUUAUUCAGCAAGGGCAGGACCGCAAGACGAUCGAUCUGGACGGGCUAACAAUAGUUAAUCUCGUGUGCGCAGAUAAAUCAUAACACCGAGCACAACUGUGCAUGCUUACCUUACAAUUCGGAUCUGAAUCAGUUGGGUUGCAGAUUUCAAGUUGACCACCUCUUGCCUUCAUAGUUACAGCCUGCUGUGAAAAAUUUCCCCUCUCACAAAUUUGUUCCAUAUCGUGCUGCGCGGCAAAAGGGGACAAACAGGGGGGCGGAAACCUUAGAUCAUCACUGGAUCAGAUCAAAUAGGGCCUAGCUAGGCAUGGCCAGAGGGAGGCGGGGAAGGAGGAGACUUACGUGUAGAACAUCAUAAGACCUUUGAUCUGAACUGCGGCUCCAGCUUGCCCUUCUAGAUCCGGCCCUUGCCCUGCCAGCGUCGCCGGUUCUACCGCCAACAGUGGCUGCCAACCUAGAGGAGGGAGAGAGAUAGUGAAUGGGAGAUGGGGCGGUCAGGUUAUGAGGAGGGAGUGAUUCCAGUCGCACCAAGGAUGGCGGUUCGCUUGCAAUUCUCCUUCUGUGGGUCGUGGGGAGGAGUCAACCGAAGGGACAUCAAACACGGGGGAUCAAAUCUUGAACUGUUGCUCCGAGCCAUCUGUGCUUAAUCAAAGGGCUGGAAAAAUUAUGAUGGUGUGGACGCGCGAGAUGACGUGGCACAUCGCUGAUGUGGACAGUGUGCAUGGUGAGAGAAUAGGAAGUAGUGGGGAGCAACUUCUUAAGAAUGAUAGAUUCCUCCUCCGAACAGAAUAUCCUGAAUCUACAACCUACACAUGCACGGUUAGAAUUAAGUUGCUUCCAAAAAUUGCAUGACAUAAUUGCUUCCAGCGACUGAACAAUUUACUUCAACAACAACAAAAUUUAUUCAAUCUAAUUGAAAAUUGUGUUCGGACCUAACCGAAAUUUGUGCCCAUUAUAAUGGUUAUUUACUUCCAACUAAACAAGAGUUUGUUUCUGUCGACUAAAUUUUUUGCUUCCAUUCACUAGUGCAGAACCGGGCUUUAGUGCCGGUUCGUGACGGCCUUUAGUGCCGAUUGGCGAACCGGCACUAAAGAGUGGGGACUAAAGGCCCCCCCCCCUUUAGUACCGGUUCGUCACGAACCGGCGCUAAAGUGCAAACACGUGGCAUGAGCUAGGCCCCGGUGCGUGUUGGACAUUAGUACCGGUUGGUAACACCAACCGGUACUAAAAGUUUGGGUAUUUUUUUUAAUUUUUGCUUUAAUUUUGUGUUUUCAAUUUGGCUUUAUUUUCCAUUUAAUUCUUUUUUGUUUGCUGGUAUUUCACGAUACUAUAAAUUGUACAUGUUAUGCAUAUAUAUAAAUAGAUUUUCUCAUAUGUAGAACCGUAUAUAUAUAUAUAUCAUCGAAUGUCUCACAGCCAACACCAUUAACUAUUCACACAUACACAUGUACAUACAUAUACAAUUUCUCCUACAUGUUGCCUUGGUGCCUUCGGAGCACGAUGACAAGUGGUUCAUGGGGGCGGUAGUGGGUAAUAGUAUUCUCCUUUGGGAUCUAUGACCUGGUCGAGCAAAAAUCCGGCUAUUUCCUCUUGAAGUGCUUGUAGGCGGUCCGAUGGUAGGAGCUUAUCCCGCACCGACCUGAACUGUUAAGAAGGAGAUCAAUAUGCAUGUGUGUUAGUUGUGUGACUAGAUAUCGAUAAUGGUGUGAAUAGUGUUCUGACAAAAACGUACCCAGUCCUGUAUAUCAGAUCUGCUCCUUUCGCACGUCAUCAUGCGAAUGUUCUCACAUACGUAGAAUGCACACAGAUUAUUCCCCGACGCAUGCCUCAGGGCCUUUACGAGAAUGAAAUUGAAUCAGAUAAUGAUUAAUCAAGCAUGAUAAUUAAUUAAUGAUAUUGAAACAAGAAUUAAAGAGAUGGUAGCUAGCUAGUACUACUUAAUUAUUUACCUUGGGUCGACGCCAAAACAACCUUUUUGGCCACGUGCCUGGAGUCACCUUGAUGAACUUUGCCCAUGCCCUUCCCGCCGGCAAAGAAAAUUAAUAAAGGGGUUAUUAAAUAGUUCAUAUCAGGAACUAAUAGUUAAAUGGUUGAAAUUACAUGUUGACUAUCCCCUUCACGAUGGUGUAGUCUUUAUCUUUUUUAGUUAGUGAGUCCAGUAAUUUAACUUUUCCUUCCUCAACUUUAAUGUCUAACAAGACCCAGUGCCAACUGCAUACACACACGUUUGCAUGUCUUAAUUAAGCGGGCAUGUGCAUAAAAUUAAUCAACUACCCGUAAACCGAAUACACUUAAUUAUUAACAUCUAGCUAGCUAGUAAGCAAAAACAGAAUUUGUAGUACAAGACAGUGUGACUCACGGGAAGUUGUAAGGAAGUAGUAUAUCUUUAUUGGUAUUGAGGCGCUUCAAGAACUCUAGCAUGCUUUCCUCUACAGCAGCUUGACAAUGUUCAAUCUCCCAUAUUUCCUGAUUAAUGAUAUUUGGGUCAAUGAACCCAACGCCAUAGCAUCCAGCUUUUUUCGUUUCAUACAUCUUCAUCUUGCAUAUAAUACCACAGAAAAAUAAUAUAGUGAGGAUAAUUACAUGUAAUGAUUGAUCAAAAUUAUCACUACAUAACUAGCUUGAGACUUAAAUUAAAGAAAGAAAUCACUUACAGACAAUAGCAACUGACGAUAGACUUGUCGAGUGCGUCUUGAUUAAAUAACUGAAAUAGUUCUGGCUACUCAAUGGCCAGAGCUUUCUCAUGGUAAUAAUGCUCAUGCUUGACAUUCACCAUGAGGGACUCUCGAUUGGAAAUCUUGGUAAUGUUUAUGUACCAUUGAUGCAAUUGAUACAUUCUCGUUGGGAGGUCCUUGACCUUGUCUGGAUGGACCAAAGGUUUGCCCUGGACAUAUUGCCAUGCUAUUUCCGAUUCUUUAAGCGUAGGCAUGGGCUCGAUUUCGAGGAGUUGUCCAAUAGAGAUAUUGAGAAUUUGAGCCUACAUUGUAUGAUCCUCUGUUAUUACCACAUCGCCAUGCUAGGGAACGCUAACGGUUUGCCCACAAUAAUAUUUGGCGCGCGUACUACUCCUCUCCUGUGUUGUUGGCACAACAAGCGGGGGGAUCGCUUGUGCCGCCUGUUCUCCCAACUGGGGAACGGUUUUCCAGCAUUUUUUUCCAGCUGCUUGUUGGCUCGAGCUUGAGCUCGGUUCCUUCUGUAGUCGUGCUCGAUGUGCCUUCCUGAUUUGGCGCUCAUAGUCUGAGUCAACAGGCUUGGGAGCUGGUUCUCUAGCCAUACGAAUGAAGUGGUCAAUUACUUUCUCAGACACUUUCUCCUUUGGCGGCGGUGCCGGUUUCGGUCCAAAAUGGGCGUCCACUUGGGCUUGCACUAUGGCUGAGUUUUGCUCCUCAGUCAUGUCGUAAGGCCUCUGAGGAAGAGGAGCGAGGCUUGGACCAUAUUUAUAUCGCUUGCCUUCGCCUGUACUUCCUGAACUACCUCGACUCGUACCGCUACGCACCAAAGCUGCGGGAUGUCUCUUCUGCGACUGUUGAGCCGGCGGAGAUGGCUGAUGUGGAGUUGGACCAGGAGAAGUGGCCUGACGAUGUGCCGGACUUGAAGCAAGAGGUGUGGCCUGACACGGUGCCGGACUUGAAACCGGAGAAGUGGCAUGACGCUGUGCCGGGCUUGAAACCGGAGGAAUCAGCUCACACGCUCGGGGACUUGGAGGAGGUGGCUGACUUCAAGGAGGAGUCGUCUCACACGUUCGGGGACUUGGAGGAGCAGGAGUCUGCUGACUCGGUGGUGAACUUCUAGGAGGAGUCGGCAGACGACGCGGUGUCGGUGGACUUCGAAAGAUGAUGCAAUCCUUUCUCCAUAGGAUGAUACGAUGUAUGGCCUCUCCCAGUGUGCGCUCGUCUUCACCUCCAGGAAUGUCAAGCGUUAGCCCCGAAUAUGGGACCACCACUUCAUCAACCAUGACACGAGCAUAGCCCUCUGGAAUCAGGAUGCAAUGGUAGGUUGCUUCGGGGGUAACUGGAAAAGCAACUCCGUUCGCCACCUUCAUGGAUAUGUUCUUCAUUUUGGAGUGUAGCUCGCAGUUAGUGUUCUCUAUGAUCUCAUCGACAGGGUAUGUAUCCAGCAGUGUGUAGCCCGGGGCAGAACCAACGCUGCUUCUCGGCAUGGAUGGGACGGUGCUAUCCAAUGCUGGACGAUCAUCCGCUUGCCGCUGCCGCUGCUGAGACCCCCUUUCCUGGCUAAGUGAGUCGAUCUGCUGUUGCUGCUGCUGAAAUUUGAGUGCCAGGUCCGUGUGCCUUGCUUCUAGGCCUUGAAGGCGUUCUGCGUCCUGCUUCCUCUGCUCCUCCUCCAGCUUCCUUUUCUUCUCCUCCUCCAUCUUCCUUCUUGCAUGGCUCCUGUAGUCCUCGUUCCAUUCUAAAAAGCCCUCAUACCAGGGAAUAACGCCCAUGCCUCGUGUUCUUCCCUGGUGUUCAGGAUUUCCCAGGGCGCGCGUAAGCUCAUCGUUCCCUCUAUUGGGCGUGAACACCCCCCUUCGAGCUUCAUCUAUUGCGUCAAUUAUCUUUUGUUCGGCUCCUUUUAGACUUGCCUUCCGCAAAACUUCGCCUAUCUUCGGGUCCAACGCUCCCCCAUGCGCAUAGAACCAAGUUCUGCACCUGGGGUAGACCUGGGCAAAUGUCGGGCCGGGCCGGGUUUCGGGUCGGGCUUGUAAAAGCCCGAACUUCAUUUCUUAAGCCCGAGCCCGGCCCGAAGCCCGAAAUACUCCCUGAUUUCAAGCCCGAGCCCGGCCCGAAAUCAAGCCCGAAGCCCGAAAGCCCGGCCCGAACGCUAUUUUUUAGUACGUGUACGUGCAAGCCCGGCCCAAAAAAUAGAAAAAGAGAAGCCCGAGCCCGGCCCGAACUACCUUUCGGGCUGCAAAACAAAGCCCGAGCCCCGCCCGAGUGUCAAGCCCAGCCCGGCCUGGCCCGGGUUUUUCGGGCCGGGCUUGGGCCGGGUCGUCGGGCCGGGCUGCCCAUGCCCGGGUUUAACCUGGGGGGCCAGUGCCGGGUAACCGGAGUGACGCCUGCAUCCUCCAUCUCUUGCUCAGACUUAUCCCACUUAGGCACUCCCACCGCGUAGCCACCUGGACCCAGCCUAUGGAACUGCGUCUUUCUUGCGGCAUUUGCCUUGUUUUUCAUCAACCGUUCCUUAGAUAUUUCUGAAUCCUUGAAGGUCAUGAAAUCGUUCCAGUGCUCUCUUUGCUUCUCCAGUAUUCCCGUGAAAUCCGGAGUCUUCCUUUCAUUAGCGAGGUAGUUGGCCCAUACAGUUUUCUUGUGGGUGUUGAAUGCAAUUGCCAUCUUCUUAAGAGCAGCGGCCUUGACUUUCUCCACAUCUGCUUCAGUGAAAUGAUCUGGUAGGGUGAAAUGUUCCAUCAAAGAUUUCACAAGGUCUUUUUUGGCUCUGUCGUCGACCCAAGUAACACCUGGACGUUUAGUCUUUGGCUCUUUCCAUUCUUGAAUGGAGAUCGGGAGUUUGUCCUUCACAAGAACUCCGCACUGACAAGUCCACUUGUUCGCAAUUUUCUUAGGCGUGAGGGGUUCGCCACUAGGUUUGGUGGAUUCGAUGUGGUACUUUACACCAUCCUUCAACAAUCUGCCCCGGCCUCGCUUUGUCUUGCUUUCUGUAGAAGCAGAUUUGCUCGAUCCAGAGGGCCGAAAGAAGAAAGAUCGAUCCGUUAAUAUAUCUUCAAUAAAAAAACAUGUGAUGAUCACCAUGAUGCAUGCUUAAUUAUAUAAACAUACCUCACCGGUAGUCUUUGUUAUUUGAAGAUCAGCAUUGUCUAUGUCAUCACAAACAUUGUCUGUGUCAUAAUCAUAAUCAUAGUUCAUGACUUCAUCAGCCCGGUCGUCGAGAUCGAAUAUCUUUUCAUCACCCUCUCCGGUAUUGUUCAGAUAUUGGGAGCCGUCAUCUGCUUCAUUAAGAUCAUCUAGCCUGUGAGGGUUGCGUAUGAUGUCGAACAAUUCCUCUUCUCUCUCUCUGCCGGUAUUGUCCGCCAUAGCUUUUACUUUACUAAUACAGAAGAAAUAUAAAACAAUUUAGUAUUCAAAUUACAAUGCAUGGAUGCAAUUAAUCAAUAAGGAAAAACUGAAUCUCGAAUACAUCGUCUCGAAUAUAUAAUCUCGAAUACAUCAUCGAUCGUCUUAAUAUAUAUAAUCUCGAAUACAUCGUCUCGGAUAUUAUAUAUCGAAUACAUCACUGGCUAGGUACCUAAUAAAGAUCGAGUACUACAGAAGAAUCUAGGGCGCCACUCGCGGUCCCUGGGGCGCGGGAGGUGCACACCCAAAGAGAAGGAACCAUCACAGGAUCAUAUCUCUGGUCAUCUGCCCAAAGAACCCGCCAAGUAGUGGAGAACCUGACGUCGUCCAUAGCAGCCAUGUAGCGAUGGACGUGCUCAUCUUCCUCCCCGAUACGGCGACGCACCACCUCCGGCGGGGCCGGCUGCCUCUGCACCGAAUGUGGCCCACGCGAACGCCACCAAAGAAGAUCCGGGUCGACGACGGGACCCGAGGUCGGGUUCCUCACCAAGCGGCGCGCCCCUCCAGGUAGCACCUCCCAGUGCCAGCCCGGCGGAGCCCAGUCCCGGACAUGGGUCCCCUCAAGCAGGACGUCGUCGCGAAUGGGUCGACGGCGAGGAUGCGGGCCGGGCAUAUCGUCGAGAACAAAUACUAUAUACCUGCAAAAAGUAACAUUUUUUAAAUGAUUGGAUUGUGAUAACUAAAAUUCUAUAUAUAUGCAAAUUCUAACAAUUUGACAUUAGUCUAAUUCAUCUAACUAAAACUAAUUCUAAAAUUUCCUGAUUAUAUAACUAACAUUUCCAUAACAAUUCUAAUAUUUAUAUAACUAAAAACAGAAAAAUUGCUAACAUUUCUAUAAAUAUUUCUAUAACUAAAAAACAGAAAACAUUUAUAACAUUUCUAUAAAACUNNNNNNNNNNNNNNNNNNNNNNNNNNNNNNNNNNNNNNNNNNNNNNNNNNNNNNNNNNNNNNNNNNNNNNNNNNNNNNNNNNNNNNNNNNNNNNNNNNNNNNNNNNNNNNNNNNNNNNNNNNNNNNNNNNNNNNNNNNNNNNNNNNNNNNNNNNNNNNNNNNNNNNNNNNNNNNNNNNNNNNNNNNNNNNNNNNNNNNNNNNNNNNNNNNNNNNNNNNNNNNNNNNNNNNNNNNNNNNNNNNNNNNNNNNNNNNNNNNNNNNNNNNNNNNNNNNNNNNNNNNNNNNNNNNNNNNNNNNNNNNNNNNNNNNNNNNNGCGGCGACGUCGACGAGGGCGGCGACGGCCGGGGUCGGCGGCGAGGGGCGGGGGCGGCGACGAUUGGGGCAGGGCGGCGCGACGGAGAGAGGAAACAGAGGGAAGAACAGAGGGAAACUGAAUUUUUUUCAAGUGUUGUAUAUAUAGGAUGGACCUUUAGUACCGGUUGGAGCCACCAACCGGUACUAAAGGUCUGUUUUGGUCAGGCCAAGCAGCGGGAAGCGCACCCCUUUAGUACCGAGUGGUGGCUCCAGCCGGUACUAAAGGGGGAGUCUUUAGUACCGGUUGGAGCCACGACCCGGUACUAAAGGGGGUGCGCUGGCUCCAGGCGGUGCUCAAGUUUAGUCCCACCUUGCUAGUCGAGUGGCUACCGCACUGGUUUAUAAGCCCUAGUGCGGUAGCUCUCUCGAGCUCCUCUCCUAACCAGGCCUACUGGGCCUAACUGUCCUCUUCGUCCAGUGGGCCUACUGGGCCUUUGCGGGCCUGCAUCCUGGCCCAACAAAAGGUUGUGUUGCUAGUCGUAUGCAGGCCGCUUUGGCCCAGUAGGCGGGCUUUUUUUUAGAAAAAAAUCACUUUAUUUAUUUUUGUUUUAAAUAUUUUUGAGUUGUUUUUUGUUCUAUUUAGAGUUUCUUUGUGAAUAUUUUUGCUUUAAGUACAAAAAAUUACAAACUUUUUGUUAGUGCCGGUAGUUUUUAAAUUUGAAUAGUUUAAAUUUUGAAUUAUUUGAAAUUUGUGUGAAUCACUAGUUUGUGAAUAACUUAACUUUGAAAAAAGUUUUUUCAGCGAUUUCUUUUUCUUAUGUUUAAUAUUAGUGUGUUUUAUCAUUAUAUUCAAUUUGGUAAUGCUUAGGUUAUUUAAAAAAUGAAAUGCCUUUGUAACAGUUCAGUUUUCGUCGAAAACCCUGAUACUUCGAAAGAGAUUGUCCAUUUUGUACACGAAGUGCAUCCAGUUUUUGCCGUAACCCUCUCUACUUUCUUGCACAUGCUAUUUGUAUGAAAUUAUGAUACCAUACCAACUUUCAACCUUUUCUGAGUUCAUUUGAAAUGUUUUUCAAUUUCAGGGUCAUUUAGCUGGAAAAAAUCAUUAAAUGCAUGAAAAGAAUUUGUUUGCACAUAAAAUUUCUUCGCGUUUCAAAUGCCAAAACACAUAACUACCCUAACUAUUACAGACAUUCCCUCCUGGGUGUGAAACACAGAAGAAAGUGAUGAUAGUGAAGCCGAUCACAUCCCAGAUCUUUCGGUGUGAAACUUUUUCUUCGCUUGUGUCCCUUUGCGCCGUAACCAUGGAAAAUCUUCAUCAUUUAACAGGAUGCUCGUGUCAAUAUUCACUAUGAAUGGAGCAAUUUCAUCAAACUUUUCAUAAUCUUCUGACAUGUCUGUCUUGUCUUCCACUCCCACGAUGUUUCUUUUUCCUGAAAGAACUAUGUGGCGCUUUGGCUCGUCAUAUGAUCCAUUUGCUUCCUUAUCUUUUCUUUUUCUCGGCCUGGAAGACAUGUCUUUCACAUAAAAAACCUGCGCCACAUCAUUGGCUAGGACGAAUGGUUUGUCUGCAUACGCAAGAUUGUUGAGAUCCACUGUUGUCAUUCCGUACUACGGGUCUUCCGUUACCCCACCUCGUGUCAUAUUGACCCAUUUGCACCGAAACAAAGGGACCUUCAAAUCACCUGAUCCAUAGUUAAGUUCCCAUAUGUCCUCUAUGUAACCAUAAUAUCUUUCCUUUCCCGUGUUGGUUGUUGCAUCAAAGCGGACACCACUAUUUUGGUUGGUGCUCUUAUUAUCUUGGGCGAUCGUGUAAAGUGUAUUCCCAUUUAUCCGGUACCCUUUGAAAGUCAUUAUAUUCGAAGAUGGUAACUGGGACAGCGAGUACAUGUCAUUUUGAAUAUCGCCAUCAUUCAGGGCACGUUUCUGCAACCAACCGGCGAAAGUCCUCGUUUGUUCGCGUGUAAUCCAGUCGUCAGACUUCUCCGGGUGUUUGGACUGUAGAGAAUUCUUGUGUUCCUCCAUAUACGGAGCCACCAAGGCAGAAUUCUGUAGAACUGUGUAGUGUGCUUCAGUGAGAGAAUGCCCGUCCAUACAUAUUAUUUGAUACCCUCCUAGCGUGCCUAUUCCUUCCAGUCUGCCCUUAUGUCGUGAUUUAGGAACACCAAUUGGCUUAAGGUCAGGAAUGAAGUCAAUACAAAACUCAAUGACCUCCUCAUUUUCAUGGCUCGUCGAGAUGCUUCCUUCUGGCCUAGCAUGGUUAUGAACAUAUUUCUUCAAGACUCCCAUGAACCUUUCAAAGGGGAACAUAUUGUGUAGAAAUAUAGGACCCAAAACGUUAAUCUCUUCGCAAAGGUGAACUAGGACGUGCGUCAUGAUGUUGAAGAAGGAUGGUGGGAACACCAACUCGAAACUGACAAGACAUUGCACCAAAUCAUUCUGUAACCUUGGUAUGAUUUCUGGAUCGAUUACCUUCUGAGAGAUUGCAUUGAGGAAUGCACAUAGCUUCACAAUGGCUAAUCGAACGUUUUUCGGUAGAAGCCCCCUCAAUGCAACCGGAAGGAGUUGCGUCAUAAUCACGUGGCAGUCAUGAGACUUUAGGUUCUGGAACUUUUUCUCUGCCAUAUUUAUUAUUCCCUUUAUAUUCGACGAGAAGCCAGAAGGUACCUUCAUGCUGAGCAGGCAUUCGAAGAAGAUUUCCUUCUCUUCUUUGGUAAGAGCGUAGCUGGCCUGACCCUGAUGUAUGCCGUAUUUUCCAUGCAUAUGUUGCUGGUCCUCCCGUGCCUCUGGUGUAUCUUUUGUCUUCCCAUACACGCCCAAAAAGCCAAGCAGGGUCACGCAAAGAUUCUUCGUCACGUGCAUCACGUCGAUUGCGGAGCGGACCUCUAGGUCUUUCCAAUAUGGCAGGUCCCAAAAUAUAGAUUUCUUCUUCCACAUGGGUGCACGUCCGUCAGCGUCCUUCGGAACAGGUUUUCCGCCAGGACCCUUUCCAAAGAUUACCUCCAAAUCCUUUACCAUAUCAUGUACAUCAGCACCAGUACGGUGGCGAGGCUUCGUCCGGUGAUCCGCCUCAACUUUGAAAUGCUUGCCUUUCUUUCUUACGGGAUGCCUUGUCGGAAGAAAUCGACGAUGUCCCAGGUACACAUUCUUCCUACAACUAUCCAAAUAUAUACUGUCAGUAUCAUCCAAACAGUGCGUGCAUCCGCGGUAUCCCUUGUUUGUCUGUCCUGAAAGGUUACUGAGAGUAGGCCAAUCAUUGAUGGUCAUGAACAGCAACGCCUUUAGGUCAAAUUCUUCCUGUCCGUGCUCAUCCCACGCACGUACACCUGUUCCAUUCCAUAGCUGUAAUAGUUCUUCAACUAAUGGCCUUAGGUACACAUCAAUGUCGUUGCCGGGUUGCUUAGGGCCUUGGAUGAGCACUGGCAUCAUAAUGAAUUUCUGCUUCAUGCACAACCAUGGAGGAAGGUUAUACAAACAUAGAGUCACAGGCCACGUGCUAUGGUUGCUGCUCUGGUCCCCAAAAGGAUUAAUGCCAUCUGCGCUUAGACCAAACCAUACGUUCCUUAGGUCACCUACAAACUCCUCCCAGUACUUUCUCUCGAUUUUUCUCCACUGCGAACCGUCAGCGGGUACUCUCAACUUUCCGUCUUUCUUACGGUCUUCUGCGUGCCACCGCAUCGCCUUCGCAUGCUCUUUGUUUUGGAACAAACGUUUCAACCAUGGUAUUAUAGGAGCUUACCACAUCACCUUGGCAGGAAUCUUCUUCCUGGGGCACUCGCCCUCGACAUCACCAGGGUCAUCGCGACUGAUCUUAUAACGCAAUGCACCACAUACCGGGCAAGCGUUCAAAUCCUCGUACUCACCGCGGUAGAGGAUGCAGUCAUUAGGGCAUGCAUGUAUCUUUUGCACCUCUAACCCUAGAGGGCAGACAACCUUCUUUGCUUCAUACGUACUCUCGGGCAAUUCUUUGUCCUUUGGAAGCAUAUUCUUUAUCAUUACCAGCAACUUUCCAAAUCCCUUGUCAGAUACACCAUUCUCUGCCUUCCAUUGCAGCAAUUCAAGUGUGGUGCCCAACUUUUUUUGUCAGCUUCGCAAUUCGGGUACAAUAAUUUCUUGUGAUCCUCUAACAUGCGCUACAACUUCGUCCUCUCCAGAUCACUUGCGCAGUUUCUCUUUGCAUCGGCAAUGGCCUGACCUAGAUCAUCAGCGGGCUCAUCUGAUGCCUCUUCUUCAGCUUCUUCCCGCAUUGCCGGCUCAGCUUCUUCCCCCAUUGUUGUAUCAUCGUAUUCAGGGAACCCAUGACCAGGAUAGCCAUCGUCGUACUCUUCUUCUUCAUUGUCUUCCAUCAUAACCCCUAUUUCUCCGUGCUUGGUCCAAACAUUAUAGUGGGGCAUGAAACCAGACUUAAAUAGGUGGAUGUGAAUGAUUUUUUCUGUAGAGUAACUGUGACCAUUCUUACAGCCAGCACAUGGACAAGGCAUAAAACCAUCCGCCCGCUUGUUUGCCUCAGCGGCCUGCAGAAAAGUAUGCACGCCAUUAAUGAACUCGGGAGAGCAUCGGUCAUCAUACAUCCAUUGUCGGCUCAUCUUCAUUACACAACACCAAAUAGACCAAAUUAAUACAAGUUCAUACAUAAAGUUCAUACAUAAAGUUCAUAUACAACACUUAAUUAAAUGCAACAUACAAAUAACUCUCUAGCUAAAAAAUUUAAAUGCAACAACAAAUGCGAUGAAGAUCGCAACUAAGGUAACAAUUGAUCCAACAACAUAAUGAUACCAAGCCACACUAUCAAUGGCAUAUUUUCUAAUCUUUCUAAUCUUCAACCUCAUUUUCUCCAUCUGGAUCUUGUGAUCAUCGACGACAUCGGCAACAUGCAACUCCAAUUCCAUCUUCUCCCCCUCAAUUCUUUUCAAUUUUUCUUUCAAAUACUCGUUUUCUCUUUCAACUAAAUUUAACCUCUCGACAAUAGGGUCGGUUGGAAUUUCCGGUUCACAUACCUCCUAGAUAAAAAUAUCUAUGUCAACUUGAUGGGCAUAAUUUGUCAUAAACACGAAAUGCAACAACUAGUUUUAAAAGAGAAUAUACCACAUCCGAAUUAUAACAAGGACGAGGGCCGACGGGGACGGAUAUCAAAACCAUGGCACUAUGUAUAACAAACAACGUACGUGUAAGAUAAUUAUACGAGUAACUAUAUAUCCAAAUCACACAAACAUUAAUUUGGUAAUGUAAAAUAUUCAUGAACAAGAGCCUCACCACAAGGUGGUGCCUGCGACACGGGACGGUGCGGGCGAUCGACGGUGGUUACGACGGAGAUUUAGAAGGCACUAAGUAAACCACACCUACAUAUGCAAACUAAGUGUUAUUUUGACCUCAAAUUGCAUAUAAAUCAAAUACUAGCAAAUAUAAUUCCUCCCAAAUUAAUCACUAUACAAAGCAUUGCAAGAGCUAAUCUAGCAAUGAGAGUUGAAACGACAAAGUUGCUAACCUUUGUGAUCAUUUGAAUGGAUGGGGCCCUUCAAAUCUUGAUAAAUUUUGGGCAAAAUAUGUGAGGAGCUCGAGGGGAAAGAGGAAGAACAGAGGAGAAGUGAGGGGAAAGGGGAAGAACAGAGUGGCUCGGGUGGAUGAAGGGUUUAUAUACGUCGACCUUUAGUACCGGUUUGUGCCAUGAACCAGUACUAAAGGUGCUGGACGGGCCCCAGACUGACAACACCCUGCCACCACCCUCUUUAGUACCGGUUCGUGGCACGAACCGGUACUAAAGGUUCGCCACGAACUGGUACUAAUGAGGACGGACGGCUAGCCAUUGGAACCGACACUAAUAGACACAUUAGUGCCGGCUCGAAACCAAACCGGCACUAAUGUGUCUCAUAUUAGGUCCGUUUUCUACUAGUGAUUGCAACUUAAUUUUGCUUCUUGCGGCAACAAGAAAAAAUAUUUUUCUGAAACAUAAAUUGUACAUUGUUAUAUAACAAACAAAAGUUUGCUACCAAAGAGAAGGGAAUGUGUUGCUUCCAUGUAACAAAUGCUUAAUACAAUUACAAAUAAAAUUACAUAAGAAAAACUGUUACAAUGUCCACGUGUAAGAUGUCUGGGAAGCAAGGGUAUUGUCUUGGGUUGCAGUGACGCAAUAGGGAAGGGAUGGGCGCAACGUCGCCAAAUAAAAUUGUCGCCACUAUGAUGGAAGCAAGAAAAGGGACACUUCAGCCAGCUAGAAGCGCAAAAUGGCAAUAUCCUGGUCUGUUGAAUGGUUGCAGAAGCUCGAACUCACAUACUACGUCGGCAAGUGCAUUCCUGGGGGAGGGCUUCAGUCAUUAUCUCCGCCCAUGUCUCCAGCACUAGAGCUGCAAGAAAAGCUCGAGGCUCGUGAGCCGCUCGAGAUCGACUCGUAUUUUUGCUCGACUCGAGAUCGACUCGAAAAGAAAUGAGCUGAUUAUGAACAUUUUAUAUAGCUUGAUCGAGAAACGAGCCGAUCUUGAGCCAGCAUUGACUCACUCGAUUUUAGCUUGAUAGCUCGAUAUCAUAUAAGUAUAUUAAAUAACCUUCAUAACAAUCUCCAAGAAUUAGGAUAAUUCAUUUCCAUAUAUGUUAUAUACUAUUUUUUUUCUUUACUUUACCUACUAGCAAACAUGGAAAUUAAUCAUGGAGAAAAUUUAUUCUCAUCACGUGGCCAACCGUGUGUUCAAUAUCAUGUUAUUUUGGUCAAAACUUGAGACCUGGCGCACCUUCGUCUUGUUAUUAAAUACUACUCUUCACUUGAGAAAGGAUGAGUCGAAUUUAUAGUGAUUUUUCUAUUCUGUUGUGGCCUACCUAGCUUUAAAAUUUGUCUUAAAGUGAUUUUAAAAAUCAUCUUAUUUAGCUCGAAACUAGCUCAAGGUCGACUCGAGAUAGUUACAAGAUGAGCAUGAGCCACUUUCUGCAGCUCGACCUUGAGCUUCGCACAUUUUGGGCUCGCUCGAAUUUUAGUAUGAAUUGUGCCGAGCCUAGGCCAACUCGCUCGAACUCGACUCGUUUGCAGCCCUAUCCAGCACCCCCACAGCCGCCCUUAGAUAGAUCUUGGCUAAGGAUGGCAAUGGGUAGGGUAUGGACAGGAUAGAGCAAUACCAUACCCAUACCCGUAUAGUUAGUGGGCACAAAAUUCUACCCAUACCCGUACCCAUGGGCAUGAAACUUUACCCAUACCCAUAUCCGACGGGUACCCGUACCCAUUGGGUACCCAGCGGGUAGAACAAAUAGUAUACAAGUUGUUCACAAUUUUAUGCUCAUUGAUAGCACAAUUGACAAAAAAAUCAAUUAUGUCAUCUCAAUAACAGGUAGAUGAGUAAUUGACCAAUAUCAAAAUUUAGAAAUCAUAACAUACUCUUAAGUCAAUAGGAGUAGAAGAGUCACAUGACAAAUUAAUGACUAAUUGAGGACAACUUAACAUUAGUUCACCAACGGGCAGGGUAUGGGUAUACCCCUGGGUACAAGACUAUUCAUGUACCCUACCCAUGACUUAAUGGAUAGGAUAUGGGUACUACCCGUGGGUAUAAAAGUGUGCCAUACCCUACCCAUGCGGGUACGGUACCCGUGGGGUACCCGUACCCGUGGGUAAAAUUGCCAUCCUUAAUCUUGGCGCCAUUCUGUGGGGAGGCCGGUGCAAGGCUUUUGAGAGAGCAAUUAUGCAAAGUUGACAUCAUGUGACGCAAAACAUGCAGCAGAAGCUUACCUGAGAAAACCAGAGAAUGUUUGAACUAUCAAAACAUGGCAGUGGUAGCACCAAAGAAACAUAUAUGUACUAACAUAUGGGAGCAUGGCAUAUUGCAAUGGUGAAAGUAAUAGUAAGAUCAUUUUUUUUAAAAAAGAAGCGGGUAGAAUGGAAACAAUAUAUGUGGAACUGAGGAAGCAUAUGAAGCACAAUUUAGAAGCCUAGUAGGUAGGGAACAUGAAAAUGUGCUAUCCCAGUAUGGAUCAUCUAAAUUGGAAGUAUAAAAUAUUGAAAAUAAAAAUAACUAAGAUUUGCGAUUUGGGCAGAGUUGCGGCGGAGCAGUGGAUCUGGUGAGGCGAGCUGGCGGCGAGCCGAGCGAGGUUGGGGCAGAGCUCGGGCGGUGCCGGCGAAUGUGGAAGAUGGGGUCGUGCAGGAUUAGCUGGAGGGGAUUAUGCACGGGACUAGUGGGAGCUCGUGUUUUUCUUCUUCUUCUUUUUUUUUACAUUACGAGGCAAACUCUUGCGUCAGAUUUUGAGUGAAUCAACGGCCGUCGAGCGGUCUGACUAUGGCGUCCCUUCAGACUAUAGAUAGGAAGUGUUUUCCAACAAUAUAUAUGGUUUUAGUAAACGAGUUAUCACUCGUCAAACAUUUGUGUUUGCUCUAUGUUUUUUUUUUGAAAGGCGCUUGCCCGGCUUUAGAUGACCGAAGCCCUUAGCGUUUAAAAGACACAGCCAAGGUUCGCGAAGACAUACCCAAGCCUCUAUUUCAGAGGACGUUUUCGCUUCCACGUCUCAUCACUUGGCUGAAAAUGACCCCUAGGUAAUUUUGUAGAUGGCACGUGUAUUAUUUUGGUAAAUGGCCGUGUACAAAUAUAUGGUGGCUGUAGAUUCUCGCUCAAAAUUUUCUCAACGUGUGUAGCUAUUUUGUUGGUGCGGCUAGCGUUUUCUGUUAUACGUGGGCCAGCACGUUCCGUUGACUUCGCAGUCCAGGAUUUCUUCCGCAGUUUCGUGCAUCUGCGGGCUUCCAUCUGUAUUUGGGCUAUGCACGUCUCUUUAUUGGGCUAUAAUCGGUGCCGUCCUACUGCGAGAAGAGAAACAGCGGUGCCGCCUCUAAUUGCUGCCGCUUUUACGGUCUAUUCCAGAGCCUGGUGUUCUUUCUUAUCGGUGCCGCUGCCGUAGUUUCCGCUAGAAAUUCCGCCGCUUACCGCUGCCGCUCUUGCCCUCUCAUAAAUUUACGUCUCAUCGACCUCUGCCAUUGGUGUUUUCGGUGGCGUUUUACCCUAAAAAGCGGUGCCGCUUCGAUGGUCAGGUCUAGAUGUCUCUAGUGUUCCAGCGAAAAAAAAUUUGUCUCUAGUGUUUUUUAUCGGUGCCGCUGUCGCUGCCCAAUCUAGAAAUCUCGCGUCUUAUCGCUACCAGUUACGUCCUCGAAUUUAGGGAGCGUCUUACUUUGCGGUAGCUAUAAAUAGAUCGCCUUCCUUGCGAUAUUAUUGUACUAGGCCUUCUUCCUCCGUGUGGCAUACAUUAACUACUGGCGUGGCUUCUUCUUCCAGUCGUAAUGGCUGGCGGCGUCCGGGUCGGCCUCCUCACUCGCAGGGGGCUGUGGUUGGUCGGCGUGGUGGCUCGGGACGUUCUGCUGCCUCGGCUGUUGUGUCGGCUCGGCCCGUAUAUAUGAACGAUGGUCUGGUGUCUGAUGAUGGUUCGUCCCGUCGGGGUGGCCGCUCUGUACGGUCUUCGGGUUCUGCAUGUGCCCACUUUGUACGGUCUUCUAGUUCUGGAUGCGCGGAGGGUCUUGCGGCACGAUCUGGUUUGCUUGCUUUUUUGUUUUUCCGUUUGUUUGUUAUAAAGUUUUCCUGUAUGCUAAGUGUUUUUGGUUCUGGACUCUGCUGUUGGUGGUUCUUGCAGGCAGCGGAGGGAGGAGAUCGCCGCUGAGCUAACAACUCACGCAUAAAUCGGUUUCAUAACCAGGCUUCUGGAUCAAUCAAUCCUGCUCCUGAACAGUGAAAACCAGCUUGCUUUGUAGAAUACAGACGCCGACGAAGGUCAAUUCACAUGCCGCGCCCCUGCCUCGCCACGCUCACCGCCACAGACGACCCGGCUGACACGAGGCUGGCGUGCGUAGCCGUGCGCCGCAACCCCUCCGCCAAGCUCGAGCAAGUCCGGGCCGUGGUCACCCGCGGCAUCAUGCGAGCGCUCUUGGCAUCGUCUCUACUGCAGCGGAUGGAGACGAAUAGCGGAGGCGGCGCUCGGCAUCCUGGCCGACGUGGCGGCGGCGAGCGCGGUGGGGAGGUGGGAGAUGGUCCCAGGGCGCUGGUGGAGGCCAUGGCAUGGUACGAGAGCGCGGUUAUUUUCUUGCUGAUCGUUGUUGGAUAGUACUUUCAUAUGUGUGAUGUGUUUUAUUUUUGCGGGUGUUCCUUUUGGCAAGACGGAUCGAUCUGUGCAGCAAACUGCUCUUACUGCCGGCCACUGCCGGUUUGGAUUCUGGCAUUUGCUUGCUCCUUGCCUGAUGUUUGCUUCUGCGUAUGCAUGCUGUCUACGUGGUUCAAGUAGUUAAUCAUUGGACUGGUUGGCCACGGGUAAAUUUAGUUACACAAAUUAAGUUACAUUGAUUCGUGCGGGUAUUGGCUGCUGUAUAUGUGCGUGCUUGGCUGCAUGGGACAUGCACGGCCUGUGUAAUUGAUAGCGGCACUCUAGGUUGUACAUGAAUGGUCGUCUGCAUGGGCCAUGCACGUGUCUGUGUAAUUGUUAGGGUCACUCCAGGUUGUACACGAGCGGUUGUGUGCAUGGUCCAUCCGUUAAUGAUCAGCUAAAGGCAGAAGGUUUUAGCAGAAAAAGUGAAGAAGAUAGUUAUCAGGUGCAAGGGACUGCUUACUCCCAUAGGCGGUUUCACUAUUUUCAGAUUAGAUAAGCCAAGGUGGUUUCUAGAUCUUAGUAGGCGAAAUACUAUUGUGGAUUUAGAUACAUUUUUUAGAUGUGGAUCGGAGGUUGGUGUGAUAUUCAUGUCUUCUCUGUUUGGGAUGCAAGUUCAAGUGAAGUCAUUUUUUAUAUCUUUUUUAUGUUCAUUUCGUAUGCAUGGCGAAGUCAUUUAUUGUAUUCCAGAACACACUUUUUUGUGGAAUAUAAGACACUGUAUGAAGUUUUGGUUUCCAGAUUGCCACAUUUUCUUUGAAAUUCCAUUGUAAAUUUAAAAAUUAUACUCUAAAUUAAAUCAGUUUGGAAAUUUGACUGGUAUGAAAUGGUAUUCAAAAAGUAGAUCAGAUGCCUAUACUUUUUUACAUCCACUACUGCUUAUUCGGGCAUGGGCACCUCCUCCAUAUCCUCCUCUCCUUUUGCUGCAUCUAUAAUUGAAGUUCAGAAGAUGUCCUCCUCCACUUUUGAUAUGAUAUUUCUUUGAGUUAUUUUUGCUACAGUGAUAAUGCCCCUUUUGUACAAGAACUGAUGGUUACUGCACACUAAUCCAAAAUCUUAUGAUCUGCAAUUUCUUCAUGAAGCUCGAAGUUCCCAUGUGUCCAUUUUCAGCAUGGAUGAACGACUACCACCCAGUAAAAUUUUUGUCCUCUUUAUAUUUCUUCUUUUUUCCUUUGCUACUUUUAUGACUCCAGAUCUCGUGAUUGUUCAAUACUUUGUUUGUCUUAUUCUGUUUUGCAAUGUUUUAUUGUCAAAUUUUUAUCUGAAUAUUUGUUUUAUUGUCAAAUUUUUAUCUGAAUAUUUUGAAUGAACAUGGUAUUAUUAUUAAUGCUUAUGCUUUAAAAGAUAAGCAACUAGCAAAGAUUCUUAUUUUCAGAAAUUGGCUUCUAUCGAAGUGAGCAGCAUAAGUGGACAGUUUGGUAGAUUUCAGUGGCCAAGAUUGUUUUGCACGAUUUCAGUGGCAAAUUAUAGGAAUUUGCGGAUUUUCCUGACAAAAAAAAUACCCAUUUGAAUUGUUUAGUCCAAGGAGCAUGGAACUGCGGUCGGGCAUAGCAUUAGCAGGUAUGAUGCCAUACAUCCAACCAACCCCUUGUGAACCAUCUAAGACAUAACAAAGACACUGCAUCAACGAAGAAAUAUCUAUAAGCAGACACUACUACCACGUUAGAAAAAAAAUGUUUUCCAAGGAUAAUGUAUCAGUACAUAACGUAUUGGGGGGGCGCGGCGUGCCGCCGCGCGGGUAUGGCUAGUAAAAUCUAGAUACAGCCCAUUUGGGCGGCUCAAAAUCCGCACACGCACACUGAUACAAGCCAGAAGGGCCCUUGGCUCAAAAGCCGAAACGCACACUCAAACUCGGAGCGUCGUAGACGACCAUUCACUCUUCGUCUACUUGAUUUGGUUCCCUUAGUUGUCUAGCGAACCUUCGGAGCCGACCGACUCAAUCAUCAAUGAUCGACGAGUCCUGGAUCUUGCUUAGCGGCUUCAUAGCUGCAUGAGAUAGUCAUUUUGUACAAAACAUGAGCUAGGUGUUCAAUGAAGAUUCCUUCAAUCAAAGCUUUGUUACGGGUUUGCCAAGGGCCCAACCUAGAGCAGUGAGAACUAGCCACGUCAGCCUACAUGUGCUGCCAGACAUUCGUGUGGUAAUGGCGUGAAAGUCAGCAAAACAUGUCGGCGCCCAGCUACACCUAGUAACUUCUCUGAUGCACCCCAAAGGAAUUGUGCCAUGAUGCAAGAGAAGAACAUAUGGCUUCUAUCUUCGACCACACCACAUAAAACCACAUAAAACAAGAACACCUUCUCAUUCGAGAUGGCUUGGUUUGAACGUGAAGAUUUCUUGGACCUCGUUGCCAGGGAAUGGGAUAAGGGUGGUGUUGGUAGGACAGCGGUUGAACGGUGGCAAAAUAAAAUUAGGCACUUAAGAAGUUUCUUACGAGGUUGGGCUAAGCACCUAAGUGGGGCUUAUAAGAUUGAAAAUGAUAGACUCCUUAUUCUUACGCAGGCCCUAGAUACAAAGGUUGAAUCUUCGAUUUUGCUACCCGCCGAGCUCCAGGUUAAAAGCGAGGCCGAGAAGAGGUUGAAAGAACUUCUUCGCGAGGAAGAGUUGAAGUGGGCGUUGCGCGCUAAGGUCCGCAAAGUAAUCCAAGGGGAUGCUAAUACUCAAUUCUUCCACCUGAUUGCGAAUGGCAAGCACCGUAAGAAGCGUAUAUUCCAGCUAGAGCAGGAUGAAGGCACUAUCGUUGGCCAGGAUAAUCUCAAAACAUACAUCACUGAGUAUUAUAGACAGCUAUUCGGACCGCCGGAGGUUAAUUCCGUGUCUUUGGAUGAGUCCAGGACUGAGGAUGUGCCUCAGCUGUCGGUGGCCGAUAAUGAGAUUUUGCUAGCCCCGUUUACGGAGAAGGAGGUGUUUGAUGCUAUUGCACAAAUGAAAAACAAUAAGGCUCCCGGACCGGAUGGGUUUCCGGCUGAGUUUUAUAAAAAGUGCUGGCACGUUAUUAAGGGAGAUCUGUUACCUAUGUUUAACGAUCUUUUCUCGGGACAACUCCACUUGUUUCACUUGAAUUUUGGAACUAUCACAUUACUCCCGAAGAGAGCGGAGGCUGUGCGAAUUGAGCAGUUCAGGCCGAUUUGCCUUCUCAAUGUUAGUUUCAAAAUUUUCACCAAGGUUGGGACGAACAGGCUCUCACAGAUUGCGCUUUCUGUGGUGCAACAGUCCCAAACGGCUUUUAUGCCGGACAGAAACAUUCUUGAAGGGGUGGUUGUCCUGCAUGAAACGCUCCAUGAAAUUCACUCUAAAAAAUUAGAUGGGGUAAUUUUUAAGGUGGAUUUCGAAAAGGCGUACGAUAAGGUUAAGUGGCCGUUCCUUCAGCAGGCAUUGCGUAUGAAAGGUUUUGAUGAUGCCUGGCGCCACCAGGUGGAAUCUUUUACGCAAAAAGGGAGUGUUGGUAUUAAAGUGAAUGACGAUAUAGGUCAUUACUUCCAAACUCACAAGGGCCUCAGGCAAGGAGAUCCAGUGUCCCCUAUCUUAUUCAACAUUGUGGUAGAUAUGUUAGCAAUCUUGAUAGGAAGGGCGAAGGAUAAUGGACAGGUUAGUGGCCUAGUACCUCAUCUGGUUGAUGGAGGUGUAUCUAUCCUUCAAUACGCUGAUGAUACGAUAAUAUUUAUGGAGCAUGAUUUGGCCAAGGCGAGAAAUAUGAAGCUGUUACUAUGCCUCUUUGAACAAUUAUCAGGGUUGAAGAUCAAUUUCCAUAAGAGCGAGUUGUUCUGCUUUGGGAGAGCCAAAGACGAACAAGAGGCUUAUAGGCAAUUGUUUGGGUGUGACUUGGGAAGUCUACCUUUCUCCUACCUUGGCAUUCCGAUUCAUCAUCGUAGGCUAACUAACAGAGAGUGGAAGUGUAUCGAGGAUCGUUUUGAGAAGAAACUGAGCUGCUGGAAGGGUAAGCUCAUGUCAUACGGAGGCCGGUUAAUUUUGAUUAACUCGGUUCUCACAAGUAUGCCUAUGUUCCUCUUAUCAUUCUUUGAGGUUCCAGUGGGAGUUAGGAAAAGACUGGACUUCUAUCGCUCUCGCUUCUUUUGGCAGGGUGAUGAGCACAAGAGAAAAUACCGACUUGCUAAGUGGGAUAUUAUUUGUCGACCCAAAGACCAAGGUGGGCUUGGCAUUGAGAAUCUAGAGGUUAAGAAUAGAUGCCUACUUAGUAAGUGGUUGUGGAAGCUCGCGUCCGGCACUGAAGCAAUGUGGGCGCAAAUCAUUCGCAGCAAGUACCUACACACUAGAACGCUAUCACAGGUAUCAGUUAGGCCGACUGAUUCGCCUUUCUGGAAGGGACUAAUGAAGGUAAAAGUAUUACUGUUCAAUAGGACAAAGGUUGUCCUUGGAAAUGGUGCUACUACGCGUUUCUGGGAGGAUACUUGGCUGGGAGAUUCACCCUUGGCUAUUCAAUAUCCGUCUUUAUAUCGUAUUGCUCAACGACGUGAGGUGUUCGUGGCGACGGUAUUUCAGACUAUCCCCCUUAAUAUUCAGUUUAGACGGUCGUUAGUGGGCAAUCGCUGGGAGGUUUGGCUCCAGUUAGUUAGGAGACUAAUGGAGGUACAACUCUCGGACCAACCUGAUGCAUUACGCUGGAAGUUGACCAAGUCUGGAGCUUUUACAGUGAGGUCAAUGUAUCUUGAUGUUAUUAACUCAAGUUACAUUCCAACAUCCAAAAAGGUAUGGGAUGUUAAAGUUCCUUUGAAAAUAAAAGUGUUUAUGUGGUUUGUUCAUAAACAAGUCAUUCUCACAAAGGACAAUUUGAUAAAGCGUAAUUGGACAGGACCUACUAGGUGUAGUUUCUGUGAUCGGGAUGAGACAAUUAAACAUCUCUUUUUUGAUUGCCCGCUAGCUAAGAUUCUAUGGCAGACGGUGCACAUUGCGUUUAAUAUUACUCCACCCACGACGGUUACCGCUUUAUUUGGGACUUGGCUUAAUGGGAUUGACUCCGCAUUAGCAAGGCAGAUUCGGGUGGGAGUUUGUGCGUUGUUGUGGACCAUCUGGUUGUGCAGAAAUGAUUUGGUUUUUAACAGAGCAUCACGAAUUCAUUUUUUGCAGGUUAUAUUCCGAGCUACAGCUUUGAUCCGUUCGUGGUCAUUACUCACUCCGAUGGAGGCCAGGGAGCAUUUGGUUACUGGGUCUACCCGAUGGAAAAUGGUUGCUCGGGUUAUCUUCAACCGGUUUGGAUGGCGGUCAUGUAAUAGGAUAGGCAAUUAGUUUUCCUAUCUUCUUUACACUGCCGGUUGUGGCUUUUUUAUCUCUGGCUAGUCUGUGUUUCUAGCCUUUCUUUCGUUUAUUUUUUAGACUAUGGAACUUUGUAUGCACGACUUGCUGUUUUCUUUAAUAAGAGGGCCGUAUGCAUCAUUCUUGAUGCAGAGGCCGGGGUACUCCCCUUUUCGGAAAAAAACAUAAAAGCACAUAGUCCAUCCCCAGGAUCGCUUUUGCCCUUCAGUUCCACUUGGGAGGUGAUCUCUAGUAAGUUGCCUUAAGAAAAUCUUGAUCUUGGUGGGAAUCUUUGCCUUCCAGAUAUCCAUCACUUGAAAUUUGGCUACACCUUGAUGCAAAGGGUGAUAUAAGGAUUUGGUUGUGAACUGACCAGAAGGUUCAAGCUUCGAAGUGAAGGCACCUUCUGCCAUCUAGGGAGAUAUCGAGCCUAAUAAUAUGGCUAAUAAUAUUGCCAAUCUCUGCCACUGUGUGCUCCGCUUGUCCCAGGGGUCGUUGGAGUGUGUGUCGCCAUUGGCCAUGCUGCCAUAUAUCACUAAACAUCGCGUCACGAUCUCGGGCGAUGGUGAACAGCUCAGGAAACUCAUGCUAGAGGGGUCUGUCCAAUCCAUUGGUCAAGCCAGAACACGGUGGUUUCUCCAUUCCCUACGUGAUGACCGCGCCAAUGUGGAGUACGUGACGAAUCCCCAUAGUUUUUUAGAAUUGUGAGCCAUGUGCGGUCGAAGCCUUCACAAAGAGGGCUCUCUGCAAAUAUUUAUGGCGAAUGAUAUCUGGCCACGGCCCACCUGCCUUGUUAAGAUCUUGCAAGCCCAUUUGGUCAUCAGACACCAAUUCAUGAGUUUGCUGUUGAUGAUGCCUAAGCCCCCAACCUCCUUGGGGGUGCAUAUGGUGCUCUGUUUUCCAGAAUCCUUCUCCCAAAAAAUUCUGGAUCGAACAUAAUCGAAUUUCGCAUGUACACCAUCUUGUAAUAAAAAGAAGCCCAUGAUGAACAUUGGGAGACUGGACAUACAAGAGUUUAUGAGCGUUGAUUUUCCCCCGGUCGACUAAUGCUUUCCAAUCCAUGGUUCGCGUCGCUUGCCGAACCGGUCCAUGAUAAAUUCAAAGUCUUCGAUUCUUAGAUGACAAUUAUUAAACGACAUCCCUAGGUAUUUGAUAGGAAGGGCCCCGAGCUAGCAGUUCAUCAUGUGGGCAGCACGCAGCUAUUCCUCGAGGUCUCCUCCAGUGAAAAAGCCUCGCUCUUGUCAUAAUUGAUUUUUAGACCCGACAUACACUCAAAGCACACCAGCAAGAAUUUGAGUUUGACAAUGCUGGUGGUGUCGUUUUGUAUCACUAUAAAGUUACAUCGAACUAUAGCCAUACGUGGACUUAUGCACGUAUUUAUUUAGAAGAAAUCCUUGAUAAAGUUAGGCAAUAGUACAUUUCAGUAUAUAAAUUCAAGAGAAAGAGAUUCUACCACAUGCACAUGAUAUCAUGUGCAUUAUCUGCCAUGCACUGAGUUGGACGUUCACACCUCCACCAAUGUAUUCACUAAAUAGUGUUCCUUCCACGUGACACCUUUUUCCAUCAUGCGUGGCAAUGUUUUCCCUAGAUUCCCUCCGCUUGUCCCUUGCCUCGCACACCGCACACACAAUGAGUUUUCUCUCCCACUCACUAUAUAGUACAUGGAUUUUAUUUUUAUUCUGAGACUAUUAAACAACUGUGUAUGUUGAAACAAAUCUUGGACAAAUAUUACGUUUGACCCUGUGUGUCUUUCUUCCGAUGACAUCUUCAAAACAUGCCCAUAUCAAAUAUGCUUUGACAAUCUUGAAACACGACAAAACUUAUAGGAAAUGGCCCGGACCACAAGAAACACGAUGCAACAUUACGGUACACACUGGAACAAGGUAGCACACAAACACAAAAGAAAACAUUAUAAUGGCUCCAAAACGCGAUGAAAUCCAAAAAAUAUGGUGUGAAACACAAAGAAAUUAACACUGUAGUGCACAACUGAACAAGUCAAAAUAAAAUAAAAUAAGGCAACACCGAAGUACAGAAGGAAACAUUAUAGUGCACCCCAAAAUAUGGUGAAACCCAACAAAAUUGGUUGAAGCACACUGACAGAAUAGGACAUUGUGGUGCACACCAGAUUAAGGCAGCACACUAACAGAAAAACAUUAUGGUGCACUCUCACGACGAAACACAAAAAAUUUAGAUAAUUAUUAUUCUUAUAUUGUAGGAAGUUGAAUUUGUGUCUUACAUAUUAGAUGGUGCACUAAAUAAAAACCACUGUCCAUAUGAGUAGUUAAAAAUAUGUGUUGUGAAUAAAUCAUUUUAAAAUAUAUAUUUAAUUUGGUCUUAUUUUAAAUAACUCAUCGGAAUAAACACAAUUGUUUGUACAAAAUAUGAAUCAAGCUUUUGUUAUGAAGAUAUCAGGCAUCUAAUUUUCAAAUGAAACUCAACUAGUUGUGCCUAACUUGGACAGAGAAUCUGGUUUAGUUGAUACUAGCUAGGAUGUUAGGUGAGGAAAUCACAAUGCAUAUCCCAAUGUAGCAUGCGUGGCUCCAUGCAUGAAUGUCCAAGCCACUGAAAAGAUAAGGUUGCAGUAACUAGCUAGUGUUAUAUGGCACUCCUCAAAUCGCAUUUCACCUUUCCAUUUUGGUGUAAUGGGACGAUCAGCACAUGAUCGAUGUCUGUUGUAGUUGUUGUAGGCUAUGUAACAUGCAUCCAAAACAUUUUGGUGCAAUGGGACGAUCGUAACUCACACGCAUCCUGCAGCUGCAUGUGUCAAGCAAAAUAACAAACAUGGACCAUGAGUCCAUGUCCAUGUCUCCGUGAUGAUUAUGAACAUGCGUGUUGAGAUCACAGUGCUGAUGAUAUCUUGAGGUUUCCUUGGUGGCUUUAUGGAUGGAUUCAGUCAGAAAAAACUCCGUCACAACUUUGUUUGUCCAACCGAAUAACAUGCAUCCGGGAGAACCAUUUACUUGAUGUUUGCUUGAACCCAUCAUCACUGAUGCUCAACUAGUCCAUUUGACAAGGCCCUAACUAGUAGCCUUAAUAAUAUAUAACAACAUGAUAACCCGGGGAUUUCAGAUUGUUAGGAACAGAAGAAUUAGCAGUAAAGUUCAUUGCGCACUUGAUAGAGGCAAUGACACAAAAAUAGAUGCAGCACACCGACACAAAAUGAAACAUUAUGGUGCACUCUAAAGCACGAGAAACUGAACAAAAAUAGAUUAAAAAAACAUCCUUAUAUUAUAAAAUAAGAAUUUGUGUGAUACACUUAGAUGGUGCACUCUGAAACAGAGUGAAAAAUAUCUGAAUAAAAACUACUGUCCAUAUGAAUAGUUUUAAAAAAUAUUGCAUUUGGGUUUUGAAGGUUUUUUGAAAAUAUAUUCAAUAUUGGUCUUGUUUUAAAGAUCUCAUACAAAUAAACAAAAUUGUUCAAACCAAAUGUGAAUCAAACUUUUAUUAAAAGGGAUACCAGACAUCUCGUUUUUAAAAGAAAAUCAACUAUAUUUGGGGCUACAUUUGAUGGAGAAUCUGGCUUGGUUGAUACUAGACUAGGACAUGGUAGGAUGUUAGGUGAGAGAAAUCACUAUGCAUAUACCAUUGAAGCAUGCAACGAUGGAUCCAUGCACGAGCGAGGCUCUUCACCUUAUGCACAACAACGGUGGUGCGGUGCUUGCAUAUGAAUGUCCAAGCCACCGAAAAGAUAAGGCAGCAGUAACUAGCUAGUGUUUGCUGGCACUCCUCACAUCGCAUUUCGUCUUUCCAUUUUGGUGCAAUGGGACGAUCAGCACAUGGUACCUGCUGUUGCCGUAGGCUAGCUAGGUAAUAUGGAUCCAAAACAUUUUGGUGCAAUGGGACGAUCAUAACUCACACGCAUCGUGCAGCUGUAUGUAUCAAACAAAAUGACAAACAUGGAUGAUGAUGAUGAAAUGAGUCUUGAGAUCAGAGUGUUGUUGAUAUGUUGGAAGUCACAGCUUUGUUUGUCCAACCGAAUAACAUGCAUCCGGGCAAACCAUUUACUUGAUCUAAUUCUAGCGUUUUGAAGAUAUUUGCUCGAAGCCAUCAUUGCUGAUGCUCAACUAGUCCCUUUGACAAAAGCCCUAACCAGUAGCCUUAAUAAUAUACUAAAUAACAGCAUGAUACACCGGGGGUUUCUGAUCGUUAGGAACAGAAAAGGAAUUACUAGCUACUCCGUAGUAAAUUUCAUUGCACACUUGAUAGAGCCAAUGACACAUGCAUUCUUUGGUCCUAACAUCUUACACUGAUAAAGAGUAGUGAAAUCAUCCCCAGCAUCAGAAGGAAAAUAAAAACAGUGAAAUCAAGCAUGUAACAGUGUCACAUGCAUGCUCUGCAACAUAGAUAAACCAAGCUAAGCUCUUGCGGAGCCAUGAUUGACAGAUCGAGCUCGCAAUCUCAUAAGUACAUAGCAGUACCAAAUGUUUCUUGCAUACUCAUCAAGCUAAUAGACCCAAAUCUAGUGAUCGACUACUACUAAGUAGUAACUGCAGGGAGGGAUCCAUAGUAUAGAGAGUCCCGUAGCAGCUCCGGAUUCCGGCUCAGGCCAUGCCUGCUUAUUCCUGCGCUGCAGCUCCUCUAGCUACCAUCUAGCAACCGCCACAGCCUCCCCCGCCACCGCCACCGCCACAGCCCCCUCCGUCACCGCCCCCUCCGCCGCAACAAGCACCACCGCGGCACCGCCUCCGCUAGAUGAAGCUACAGCUGCCGCAGCAAGAAAGAGGGCGCUAUUACCGUCGGCUGAUGUGGUCCACCGUCCACGACGAACUUGCAGUGGUCGCCGCCGCCCGCGGUGGCGGUGCCCUGCUGGCCUUCUUCUUCUCCGGCCUGUUGCCGCAGAGGAGGACCAUGACAGAUAUGGCCACCACCCCCAGCAGCAGAAGGAGCCACGGCGUCUGCUGCUCCUGCGUGCCCAAGCCCGCAGCAGCAGCGGAGGCCAGAAGAGCUCGCUUCAUUCUGCUAUGGUCCCUCCCUGGCCUCUACCACUGGAUAUCUCUCACGAAUUUGAGUUUGGAUCAAGUGCAGCGCAAGAUUUGAGGAGGAAAACAGAGUAGCGAGGGAGAGAGAGAGAGAGAGGAAGAGGGGAUACUGCAGGAACCCACGGCUCUCUCUGAAACCCCGGCCGUGAAUAAGGAGUCGAGGGCUCGACGCUAUUUUUCUUUUCAUUUUUUUGAGUUGAAGGGCGCGACGCUAGUAAAUUCCUCCUACUUUUUUUUGAGACAAAAUUCCUCAUAGUUGACGCCGACGCCUGCGGUCGUUCGCUGCUGGGUCGCAACCCAAGUUGGCGUUUUGUCAGCUUCCCAGUGGUUUUAUUGAUUUUAUUUUGCGGUUAUCUGUGACUUUUUCACUGUGUGUCCGGUUUUCUAUGGUUUUUUUUCCUUCCUUUUCUUUUCUUUUCUUUUAUUUUUCCAAUUUUCUUUUUUAUCCAUGUCUUUCCUUUUUUAAAUGCAAAUGCAUGGUGAAUAUAUUUUUAAUACACGGUGAUUUUUUCAUACACAUUGAACAUUUUUUUAUAUAUGUUGAGCCUUUUUAAUGCAUGGUGAACUUCUUAAUAUACAAUGAACUUUAUUAUAUAUAGUGAAUUUUCUUAAUAUCUCUUUUGAAAAGUAAAAGGGGUGGAGUAAACCUGUUUUUAUUUUCUUUGCUUUAGUUUUUUUUCUCUAUCUAGAAGUGGAAUAGAAUAAUCCGGUUGAAGGGUAAUGAUCAUAAGUCGACAGAGCAAUAAGCACUAGGGUAUCCACCCGCCCGCCGGUUCGAAUAGCCGGUUUCCUCCCCUUCCGCUCAAGCUAAAGGUUCUGGGCUACGGCUUCCGGUUCGGACACUGAAUAAUGAGAGAAUCGUAGAAGUUAUCGGAAGUACUGAUUUUUUUUCCAAUAUAUGUUGACCAUUUUUUUAAUUAUGAUGAUUUUUACAAUUAUAUGGUGAACUUUUGAAAUAUAAUGUUAUUUUUUAAUAUACAUUGAGGUUUUAUUUUACUAUGCAAUGAACUCUUUUUUAAUGGAUGAUGAAUUUUUAAAAAUAUACGGUAAUCUAUUUUUUAUAUACAAUAACUUUUUAAAUGGAAGGUUUACUCUUCUUAAGACCUAUUGAACAUUUUUAAAUAUUUCUUAAUUUUUUAAAUAUGUUUAUAUAUUAGAUCCGUGAAACAAUAUCCAACAGGCGAGUUCUCAAAAAAUUCAAAUUAAAAACGAACGAUAAAAACAGAAGAAGAAAAACUUGCUCAAGUGAGCUUGCUAUAGUGGGCCACCCCAUUUUGCGCCUUCCUCAAGUGUGGUUCCCCCAUUUGACUCCAACAUGUGUCAACCAGGAGGUCUCGUCGAGGCUAAGUCUUUACGUUGCACAUGUCACUGGGUCAUAGCAGUGAUUGGGUCUACGUAUCCUCUUGGCUCGGGCCGAACCUUUUGGAGUAGAACAGAUGGAAGUAGUCGACACGACAUCCUUCCCCUUGAACGAAGCUCAAAGUAAUCUUCCCAAGAUGCCAGUGAUGUCGACUGUGAAGACCACUUGGCGAGGAAUGUCGAAGUUGCCGCGACAGACAAUAUGGCAUUUCAAUACACAAUACUUGCUCUGGAACUGGAGGCAGUAUGUUAGGAGGUAGUUGCGCUGGCAAGACUGGUUCGGCCAUGGAUGAAGGUGGCAGUAUUUCACGGAGCAGGAAGACAUGGAAGACUGGGUGGAUACAACUUGUCUCUGCGAACUUGAGGUUGUACGAGACAUUAACCAAUUUGACCGAAAUAGUCCAAAUUAUUGAAUAGAAAGUUUAUGGUUAGCAUGUUUAGUGAUGGAGAUUUUAACAUAAGGCUGCAGCUUGAGGUAAACCAAGUUGCCAACUCCAAAAGUGCGGUCGGGGCGUUUCUUGUCCGCUUGUCCCUACUUCCUCUGGUUUGCUAAGAAAAAGUGUUGUUUCAGUAGACUGGCCACUAAUUUUCAUUCUUGCAUCCAUGACGCCAGCUCAGGAACUUCACAUAGUGAAGGAUCUACAACCCCGAAGUGUUUGGAGGACGACCAUAUAAAACUUCAAAAGGUGAGAUCACCAAAGUGGACUUGUACGAGGUAGUGUACCAGUAUGCCGCCAGAUAGAGCCAUUCAAACCACUUGUGCGGGCAGUUGGCGACAAAACAACAUAAAUAAGAUUUGAGGCAUUGAUAAAUCCUCUCUGUGGUGUCAUUCAUCUAUGAAUGAUAAGCAAAGGACAUCAUAAACUUAGUGUCAACAAGCAAAAACAAAUCACGCCACAGGUUGCUUGUAAAGACCCGAUCUCGAUCAAAAACAAUAGCUUGGGGCACCCUUGGAGCUUGGACACAUUCUGCAUGUAAGUGUGUGUGACACUUGUGCAGCUGUGAGAGGAUGCUUCACUGCAACAAAGUGGGCAUACCUAGACAAGUUGUCAACAAUAACCAUAAUGCAGGUGAUAAGUUCCUAUAUAAGUUCUAGUUAACAAAGUGGGUUGGAAGUUCUGGACCUCAGAACACAAAACAAAUCACAGACGAGUAAAUUCGUAUAUCAGUUCUUUAAUCAGCAUGAUAUUCCAUUCCGAAAAAGGGUUUCCCCCCGCUUUGUAUACAAAGCAACCAACCGAACCAUACAUGAAUAGGUGCUGGGGCGGAAGCAGCACAGUCACGCCCAAAAGAAACGACAGAGAAAAGCAAAAGAAACAAAUGCCGAAAACGGCGGAUCAACAAAACGAAGAAGCCUCGCGAUCGCAGCGCCCACCAGAAUCUUCCACUAGACUCCAAGACUCCGAAGCGCCGGCACCUAUCAACACCUUCAAGAAGGAUCGCGACGAUGACGACACUGCUGCUAAGGGUUUCCCCCGGUACACGACGAGGCGAGAGGAAGGGUAGCUCCGACGCCCUCCCGGAAGGUCAGGUGGCACCCACAAGCGCCACCGCGUCGGCGUUGGCCAUGCCAACAGGGGUUUCCCCCGAUCCCAACCCGCACCUCGGGCGCCCCGGAGCCUGCCACCAAACCAACCACCAUCGUGCGCCAAUGCGGUCUUGAGGCCCCCACGCCGUCUCACCACGGCACCACGAAGUGAGGAUAGCACGCCGAAGAAUCAGAGCCGGGACUAGGGCAUCAGCACCAUCGGCACGCGGGAGGGCCCCACCUCCACCGUCCGCGACGGUAGCCGUCCGCGACGCAAUAGCGGGAGCACACCAGGCCCGUGGGCCCACUGGCCCGGCCGAGCCCUCGUGGGCUCGCAAAGCUCCCGCCUUCGCGCUGCUGCCGGCACGCCGGCGGUGCCGCCGCCCCAAUCCGAGCCGCUCUUCCUCCUCACCGCGCCGCAGACAACGAGGCUACGCCCAGGGACCGGCCCGCUAGGACCCAGAUGGGGCCCUAAGGGCCCAGAUCUGGGCCGAGGACGCGCCGCCGGCCACCCUGCGCAACCAGGCCGCCCCGCCGCCAAAGGACGGCGCCACCACCGCGACGGGCCGCCGCCAGCCAUCUCCAGGCCGCCGGGCCGCCGCCAGCCGAGNNNNNNNNNNNNNNNNNNNNNNNNNNNNNNNNNNNNNNNNNNNNNNNNNNNNNNNNNNNNNNNNNNNNNNNNNNNNNNNNNNNNNNNNNNNNNNNNNNNNNNNNNNNNNNNNNNNNNNNNNNNNNNNNNNNNNNNNNNNNNNNNNNNNNNNNNNNNNNNNNNNNNNNNNNNNNNNNNNNNNNNNNNNNNNNNNNNNNNNNNNNNNNNNNNNNNNNNNNNNNNNNNNNNNNNNNNNNNNNNNNNNNNNNNNNNNNNNNNNNNNNNNNNNNNNNNNNNNNNNNNNNNNNNNNNNNNNNNNNNNNNNNNNNNNNNNNNNNNNNNNNNNNNNNNNNNNNNNNNNNNNNNNNNNNNNNNNNNNNNNNNNNNNNNNNNNNNNNNNNNNNNNNNNNNNNNNNNNNNNNNNNNNNNNNNNNNNNNNNNNNNNNNNNNNNNNNNNNNNNNNNNNNNNNNNNNNNNNNNNNNNNNNNNNNNNNNNNNNNNNNNNNNNNNNNNNNNNNNCGGCCAGAUCCGGGGGCGCCGGCGGCGGCGGCGGGGGGGAGGGGCACGGGGGAGGAGGAAGGAGAGGCGAGCGGGGGGAGCCGCCCCGGCCGCCCCCCGGGGAGGCGGCGCGGGCGCGGGGUCGGGGGAGGGGAGGGGAGGGAUCGUGCCACGUAUUCUCACGCAGAGCUUUUACAAUCUCUUCCGCAUGAUAUUCCAUUCGCUAAGUUGAUCGGCAAUGCAUACUACAGUGAUAGCCAAGUGACAACUUUCCCUACUAAAGUUGUCUCAUUCUGGCGGAAAGACCAUUGCUCUAUACCCAAUGAAUUUAAGGCUAGGACCAUUUGAGUUUCAAAAAAAAAAGGCUAGGACCAUUUGCAAUAUAUAAAAAGGUAACAUUGUUAAGUUACGAUACGACAAAUGGCAUGAUGACAAGUUUCUGGUAAUAUAUCCUCAGCUAUUUUCAUUUGCGAAAGACUUUGGUUAUGCACAUGUAUAUGUUAUGACUGAUUUAUAUGACAUAUUCCAUCUUCCAAUGUCUUCGAGUGUUGUUCAUCAAAGUUUGGAGCUACGAGAGCUGCUAAUUAGCAUCUAUGAUACUUAUGUUACUGGUACUUGGAAUUCUACUGGUCUAGCAAUAAUACUCCACCAAAAGGAUAUGCAUUAAACUAGUUGGAUAUGGAAAUAAGCCACCCACCCCUCUGCUUAGGCAGACAAUAUGAUUUCGAGAUCCAUUGGAAAAGCUUAGGAGAUCGCCACGGCCCAGGGAUCGGUCGUCCCAUUUUUUCCGUUACCUAUGUGCGCACACUAGCGACCCAGGAGUAAAAUCAGGAACCAAACGGGUGGAGGAAAAACAAAACUUAUAAUUUGGAAACCACUCAAAAGCUUACACACCUAAUNNNNNNNNNNNNNNNNNNNNNNNNNNNNNNNNNNNNNNNNNNNNNNNNNNNNNNNNNNNNNNNNNNNNNNNNNNNNNNNNNNNNNNNNNNNNNNNNNNNNNNNNNNNNNNNNNNNNNNNNNNNNNNNNNNNNNNNNNNNNNNNNNNNNNNNNNNNNNNNNNNNNNNNNNNNNNNNNNNNNNNNNNNNNNNNNNNNNNNNNNNNNNNNNNNNNNNNNNNNNNNNNNNNNNNNNNNNNNNNNNNNNNNNNNNNNNNNNNNNNNNNNNNNNNNNNNNNNNNNNNNNNNNNNNNNNUUUGGAUUUUGGACUUCAAAUCUAUGUAACCAAAGAUAAUCAUAAACUGAAAAUAAAAGACAAUGUGUAUGUAUCAUACCUAUAGUACAUAGAUGUGAGAAAACACGAUUUUUUACUUCAAAUUGUUUUUUUUUUGCUUUUUCUGUACAACUAGUGGUAAUUGAGAUACAUUGAACACUACAAAAUAACACGAUAAUUUCACUCUUUGUAUUUUUAUUAGUUUUAAUCAUCCAGUUUAUAAUUCUUAGACAAUAUCUCUAUAACUCUCCCUCUCAUGAUUUUUCUUUCCAUCUCUUUAGCACCACACUUAAAUUUCAAUUUUGAAACAGUAAUCAUCAUUAGCAAAGAGAUGGAAAAUUUUGUCAAAUUUAUAUCAUUUAUCAAUCAUGUAAUCAGCACCUAAAACUAAUAUGUUGCCUUAUGUGCUCGCUAAUAGUGGGACAUUUAUCGGUGCCCAAUCUUCAAUUUUCAAGUCGCUGGUUUACAUGAAUGUGCUCUUAUGAUGAUGGCACAUGCGUAUCUAUUUUACUAUGUGUUUUGUUAACGAAUUUGCAGGCUGUUUGUGAUAAAAUUGUGCAUUGUACGCAUGCACGAUGGGCAAUACUCCCUCCGUUCAUGAUGUAUUAAGUUUGAUCAAACCAUGAUCUAAGGUUUCUGCACCAUCACCCCUACUAUGAUGGCAGAUCAUCGUGCGGGGAGGCCCCUACUAGUGUUCGUCCUACCUAUAGGAGCUGUACUUUUUCCCCGUCUCGAUGUUGUAGGAAGAAACCCCUACUAGUGUUAUGCUCUAAACCUUUUGUAGUGCAGAUUUGAGACGCCCAUCACUAGUAACUCAUCAUUGGCGAUUGGUGACCAAUUACGGGCAACAUAGCAAUGAUGGGUGGUCGAGAAGUGCCCGGUGGCCUUAUUAGUGACAGGUGAUCUGAAAGUGCCCAGUGGCCUUAACAGUGACAUGGUCCGACACUUGCGCCUGUCACUGGUGUUAUUUUGAGUUUUGAACAAUAAAUAAUGCAUAUUUAAUCUUAGUCAGGAAACAAAUUUAAUUCCAUUUCGCCAAAACAACACAAAAAAUAAUUUGAUUCCAUUUCAUCGUAACAACACAAAUAUAACCUUCAUUAGAUGCAUUCCUUUUCAUAAGAAAAUACAAAAAUUUACAUUAUUUCUUUGGAGGAGAUAUACAUGACUAGACUAGCUUAGCGGGUCGAAGGAAUGGGGAUGAGAUGAAAUCUUGCCCUAAACCUCGACAGAUCGAAGCAAAGGGUAUUUUUGUAAUCCUAACCUCGUCGAAAGAAGGAAAGGAGUAGGGUAUAUAUGGUGAAAAACACACCACCAAAGCAUAACACCCCCUCCCCCGCGCACGCGCAAAUGGAAGACCAAGAAAUGACAUCACCUCCAAAUAAUGAAUCAUGCUAUUUGUCAGCCUAUUUGGAGGAGGUGUAGGACCAAGAGCUGACAAACCCUAAUAAACCCCAACAGUUAGCCAUUGUGAGAGGCGUGUCCUGGUAUAGUCAUAAUUCCAGUAGGUUGACACAAGCGUUGAUCACAUCUUCAUCUCCCUCGGACCACCGGAUGUUUACCUAUAACAGCGUAAACACAUCAAACAUUUUUUUGAAUAAGAACAACAAAACGUAUCAGGUAUCUUCUAUUAAUAUAUAUCUUUACUAAAACAUUUGUUUGUAGAUAUACUAUUAAUUACCAUUAGCAUUAAAGUAUCUUUAUUCAAAUAGUAUCUUACAACGUUAGUCUGAGGUAUAUUUACUAAUACAAUAGCUUAUAGAUUUAGUAUUAAGUUUCUUUACUAAAAAAUACUCCCUCCGUCCCAUAAUAUAAGAGCGUUUUUGAAACAACACUAGUGCCAAAAACGCUCUUAUAUUAUGGGACGGAGGGAGUAGCUUAUAUCUUAUACUGAGUAUCUUUAAUAAAAUCGAAUCAAGUUUAGUUAUUUAUUGAAUUAUAGCUUAUAGCAAAUGUAACUAUCACUAUUGUUUUGCACCAAUGGGCGAGACAAGUGAUAUACUUCUUUCCCUCCCACACCACACACACACAAUGAACUCUCUCCCACUCACUAGUACAUGGAUAUAUUUUCAUUCUUACAUUUGAAACAACUGUAUACAUUGAAAUAAAUCUCAAAUAAAUAUUACGCUUGAACGUGUGUCUUUAUUUGGAUGAUAUCCUCAAAAUAAGCCUAAUAUCGAAUAUGCUUUUGACAAUUUUGAAACACGGCGAAACUUAUAGGAAAUGACCCGAAGCACAAGAAACACAAUGCAACAUUAUGGUACACACUAGAAAACAUUAUAAUGGCUCCAAAACACAAUGAAAUCCAAAAGCAUUGUGUGAAACACAAUGAAACAUUGUGGUGCCAACUGAAGAAGUCAGAAAAUUAAGGCGACACAGAAGUACACAACCAAAUAUUACAAUACACCCCAAAAUACGGUGAAACCCAACCAAAUUGGUUGAAGCAUACCGAAAGACAAUGAGGCGUUGUAGUACACACCAGAUUAAGGCAGCACACCGACACAAAAUGAAACAUUAUGGUGCGCUCUAAAACAUGAUGAAACCCAGGGAAAAAGAGAUAAUCUAUCACUCUUAUAUUAUAGGAAGUUGAAUUUGUGUGUUACAUGUUAGACGGUGCACUAAAUAUAAACCACUGUCCAUAUGAAUAGUUAAAAAAAUAGUGCAUUUUUGUUGUGCAUAAAUUAUUUUAUUAAAUAUUUAAUUUUGGUAUUGUUUCAAGACAAUUGUUGAACAAAAAUGUGAAUCAAGCUUAGCUUUUGUUACAAAAGAUAUCAUGCAUCUAAUUUUCAAAUGAAAUUCAAGUAGUUGUGGGCUGUGGCUACCUUAGAGAGAGAAUCUGGCUUGGUUGAUACUAGCUAGGAAAUAUAAUAGCAGAUGGUAGAAUGUUAGGUGAGAGAAAGCACUAUGCAUAUGCCAAGGAAGCAUGCAACGGUGGAUCCAUGCACGAACCAGUCUCUCCACCUUAAUUAUGCACAACAACGGUGGUGGGGCACUUCCAUAUGAAUGUCCAAGCCACUGAAAAGAUAAGGCUGCAGUAACUAGCUAGUGUUUGCUGGCACUUCUCACAUCGCAUUUCAUCUUUCCAUUUUGGUGCAAUGGGACGAUCAGCACAUGAGGCCUGUUGUUGCUGUAGGCUAGGUAACAUGCAUCAAAAACAUUUUGGUGCAAUGGGACGAUCAUAACUCACAUGCAUCCUACAGUUGCAUCUAUCAAACAAAAUAACAAACAUGGACCGUGAGUCCAUGUCCAUGUCUCCAUGAUGAUGAUGAACAUGAGUGUUCACAUCACAGUGUUGAUGAUAUCUUGAGGACAAAACUUUAUUCAUCCAAUCAGGUAGAUACAUACUAUCUGGAUUAGGUGACCUAUUCCUCAACUCCCCCUAUCCCUUGGCGGCUAGGGCAAGCUCUUCCCUCCAGACCUUGGUGGAGAGCCCGUCGAUUUGCCUAAUAUCGGCCUGCUGCCUCGGCGGACGAUUGCGGAGAGGGGAAUCCCGGUGGCUCCACCCUGGUUAGUAGUUUAGGUUAGGGGUUUUCAGUCCUCACAGCUGCGGCACUUGGGCGGAUGGCAGCGCUUCUUCGAGUUUGUCUUUGGGGCUUCGAUCCUCCUCCACUUCUUCUUUCUGGACGUAGUCGACGGAGCUCUGGUGUAGAUUCUUAUUGUUUCCUUGGGGUGGUGAGGUUAGUGUUUCUCAUCGUGUGACGAGAUUUGAUGUCAGGUACUUCAAAUCUAUUCCCGCGUUCAACGGCGACAACUGCGGCUCCUGAGCACUUGUCCUUAGGGGAACGGUCCCAAACACUUCUUGGCUGUCAUCUACAAGGUCAAGCCAGCUUUCCUAGGGGAGCGGCGAUAGAGGCGCGUCCGCGGCUCGUUCUGGCAACGGUAGUGAUCGUUCAGUGGUCUUAAAAUCUCAAUGUAUUUUUUUUACUAUGUUUGAGGUGCUUUGUACUUCCAAUAAACUUUGAUGAUAGAUCGGGGUCAUUUUCGCAACAAAAAAUAUAUAUUCAUCCAACCGGAUAACAUGCAUCCGAGGGAACCAUUUACUUUAUCUAAUUCUAGCGUUGAACAUAAUUACUUGAAGCCAUCAUUACAUAAUUACUUGACAUCACUAUGGAUACUCCCUCCGUCCCAAAAUACUGGCCAGGGACGAUGCGGGCGAUGCGGGCGACAUCCGGGACGGCCGCGUCGGGCCGGCCGCUGGCGACCUCCGCCGUGGGUUGCGCCGGAGGUAGGUUUUGGGCACUCGCGGAUGCAGAUCCUGAGGACGACGACGACGACGACCUCGCCGGAGGGUCCCCGCAAGCCUACUCGCCGACGCCUUCAUCGGUGAUCUGCGAGGCUUUUGAUCCUGGGUAUUCGGAAGAAGAAGUGGCGGCCAUUGUCGACGACAUUGUUCCGGUUGACGAUCCUGCGCGACAAGGUUUGGGACGGGAGGACAAGGUCGAGAUCGUGCGACGUAUGGUUCACCGGCGGACGACGGCGGGGGCUAUUCGGCCAUGGAAGGGCCCGAUCCCGAAGGUAUGUCUCCCGAAACCUACUUUGUCUGAUUUCAUUACGGAGGACUCCUGGAUUGUGGUCAAGAAGAGAAGGCCGCGGCGAAGAUCGGCGGCGAGGCUGCCGGCGCCGGCGGACGGCAGAAACGGCGACGUCCGACGUGAUCGGAUCGCGCGUUUGAAAUUGUUGUUUCAUGGGCUGCAACCGAACGAGGGGUCGGCCGGCCCAAUCGCUGCACCUAUGGGCCAAACUUGUAAUGUCCAGGUGGGUUCGGGACUAGCUGGGUUGUGUACCCAGGCAAAACCGGCCCAUCUUGGAGAGCUGGAGUUAGUUUCGGGUCGAGGGGAUUCACAUGCACGUUCGUCGAUCCACGAGCGCGCUAGGGUUCGCCGCCGGGGUCUCUGUGGUUUCCCCUCGGCUCUAGUUCGGAGGAUCAGGAGGGUUUCUGCGACUGCUGCUGCCUGUAUGCCGCCCAAGGGUCCGCCGCCGGCAAGGGGGGCGCCGACCACGGCGAAGGCGCCCGCGAGAGCUGCGCCUGGCGGGCCGGCUGUUGUUGGGGCUGGCGCAGUUGCGGCUGCAGCACCGGCAGCGGCUGCACCACCGGCAGCAGCUGCAACUCCGGCAGUGGCUGCAGCACCGGCUGCGGUUCAAGCACCGGCGGCAGCUGCUCCGGUCGCUGCCAGGGCGGGGGUGCCGCCUACUCAUGCGGGCGCACCACAGCCGCACCGUCCCUGGCCUAGGCAAAUGGCUGCUGGUCAGGGUGGCGCUCCUAACGGGGUUGCCGGCCGUGGUGGUGCCGCCUUUGGUGCUGCCGGCCGUGGGACGGGUGCUUUCGCGGGAGAUCACCGCAAUCCUCCCCGUGGUCAAUGGGGAGAUGAUGGCUACGACGCGUAUGGUCAGGGACUGCACCGAGGUUCGUCGUCCACAGGUGGUGGGCGAGGUUAUGCUUGGAAUGAUCAGGGUCAUGCUGGCCAGGGUUUUCAGGGACCGCCGGGGAAUUUCGUCGAGGGCGCGGUUGGCCCCAGCCGCUUCCGAGGGCGCUUCCGUGGUGGGCGAGGACGCUUCCGGGGUGGACGUGGUGGGCGUACUUUGCCCGGUGCCGACUCGGACCUUUCUGACAUGGCCACUGAUGAGGCGUCUCUGAACCAGACGGUGGUGGAGACGGCUAAAGCUCUUGCUGAUGUGGUUGUCCCGAUGGUACCACAGUCGGAGGAUGCUACGUCUGAUAAAGGCUCAGAGAAGGCCGGAGGUGACAAGCUGUCUAAGUGGGCGGCUAAGAAGAAGAAAUUAGUUUGUUUCCGCUGUGGGGAGACGGGUCACUUCAUGGUGGACUGUUCUGCUGAGUUAUGUGAGAUUUGUCGGAAACCUAAGCAUGUGGGGGCUGAGUGUCCGCUUCUUCUCGGGCCCAAAACGACGCUUAAUAUCUACGGGCUAUGUUGCUCUGAGUUGAUGUUCUUUGAGUCACCAAGUGUGGCUUCGAUGACUCCGGUAGUUGAAACCUCCUUCCCUGGGGUGGUCAAAGUGGUCACCGGACCGCUCACCGAAGCCCAGAUUAUUCAGCAGUUACGGGAGUUGGCUCCAGGAAAUUUCAACUGGUCCUUGUUGAAGCUUUCUGAUAAUUCUUAUAAAGUGGAUUUUCCAUCUAAAGAGGAUCAGAAGAGGAUCCUCAAGUUUGGCAUGAGUCGAGUUACUGGAACUAGCUUUGUGUUGCAGUUUGAUGAGUGGAAGAAGAAGGAGCCGCAGGGCACAUCACUGACUCAGAUCUGGGUUCGCUUUUCGGGGGCACCGUCCGAACCAUUGGAUGAUUUUUUUGUCACGUGGAGCUUGGGGUCCUUGCUCGGUAAGACUGAGCAGGUGGACAUGCCUUUUACUCGUGCUCACGGUGUUGCUCGUCUGUUGAUUAGCGUGGCCAACAUUCAGUUCUUGCCAGAUGUGGUCAGAUGGUGUUAUGAGGGGUUUGCUUACAUGUUGAAUGUCGAGUAUGAGGACCCGGACUUGUUUCAGGAUUUUGAGGAGUUGCUACCUAUGGAUACCUCUGAGGGGGGUGGCGCUUCUGGGCACCGGGGAGAGGAUGCACCCGGUGACGGUGACAGGGAUUCCAGGCCCGUGGAAUCGCCUAAACCAACUGAGUCUGCUAGGGGGAAAACUACGGGCUCGGCACCAUCCAAUAUGCUUCAGCUUGGUUCUGUUGGGGCUUUCUCUGCACCUUCGCGUCUUUGGAGUGAUCGUGUGGAGUUGGAUGAUCCGUCUGAGCACGUGCCACCGGUGAUGCCGGAGGAUUUGACGACUUUGGAGGACAGACUGACUGUUCAGGAGGUGCUUCCUUCUCCGUCACCACCUGUUCCGCGGCUGGACUUGACUAUUCUGGACGACUCGGUGGAGCUAGCCAGGAGUAUGGUCAGGACCAGCGCUGCUCUUUCGCUCACCUCGGCCCGGAAGGCCGUGGACGGGUCCAGCAGGCAUGAGGUAUGUGUGCCGCUUUCGCCGUCCUUGCCAGCAUCAGAUGUAGCUUCUGACUUGCGUGGGUCGGGUGCUGGUUGCUUGCAGGUGUUUUCGCCGGCCGACACGGCUAGGGAGGCGUCGACGCCGCUUCUCGCAGCCGUUGGUGCGUCCGGACUGGGGGUACAUGCCUCACCGGCCCCCACAGCGUUGGGAGGGCUGGGUGGGGCCUCUGCAGAUUCUGCCCACGCUUCGGUGCGCGGCGGCCGGGCCGCUCCGGAGCCGGCGACUGCUGGCGGAUCGCCGGUGUUCACGCGGCAGGCAGUAACGUCGGUUACUACUUCUGCGCCGGUGACGGCGGCUCAGGGCGUCGCUGUGGGGGGAGGGGCAGGUGGUCUCUCCCUGUGCAGGGCUUCUCGCGAUGAGGUCAUCGCUUUUGGUGGCAUCCCGGACCCUGUCUCCCAGGGGAGGCGGAUCAGCGGGCGGUUGCAGGAGCAGCCGGACGUCGACGACAUUCAACUACGGUGCUCUGUGAGAGCGGCCAAGUUGCAGGACGUCGAAACCACCACUGGUAUGUCAGUCAUUAAGUCAAAUUCCAUUUUGCAUUUCACUGACAAUGAGAUCAUUAAUAAUGCAAAUCAGCUAGGAAUUUCACUUGGUAAUAAUGAUAGUCAGAUUGCUAAAUCAGUCAACGACAUUCUUGAUUUAGAAGCUGAGCGUGCGGUAGAUAUGAUUCGUCACAUAGCUGCGGUUAAACCAAUGAAUGAUUCGGAGAUUGAUGCGCUUGGGGUGAGGGUCCUAGAUGGUAUGUGUGCCGAUCUUGACCCUGAUGGUCUCGAGGCGGAGGAAGACUCACAUCCUGAUACUUCUCUCCAUGUUGAUGAGCAUUUAGAGAUGGAUGCUGAGGAUGAGGGUCAUAUCCCGGUGGUUGAUAUAGUCAAGCCUAAGCGGACAUGGAAAAUAAAGGUUUAUCCAGUCUCCGCAGUGCGUAGGAGUGCUAGGAUUCGUACUGCCAAAAAAUUUCAUGAUGACUUAUGAGAGGCAUUUUCUGGAAUAGCAGAGGUCUUAGAGACUUGGCUAAAAGGAGGUUUCUGGCGGAUGCUUCUCUGGAACAUCAUUUGGAUUUCAUUGCUUUGUCCGAGACUGGAAGAAGUAAUUUCACUAAUCAAUUUCUCGCCACUUUGUCUAGGGGGGUAGAUUUUGAUUGGCACUGCCUCCCACCUCGAGGAAGAUCCGGCGGGGUUUUACUUGGGGUUAAGUGUGAAACAUUGGAGGUAAGGAGCGUAGUUAUGGGCGAGUUCGCUGUCAAGUUUCGGGUUAGGUCUAAGGCAGAUGGGUUUGAUUGGGCUUUGGUGGCAGUCUACGGGGCUGCUCAACCCGAACUCAAACCAGAUUUCUUGGCUGAUCUGGUGCGCAUCUGUGCUAAUGAACAGUUACCUCUCUUAGUGGGAGGGGAUUUUAACAUAAUCCGAAGAAAAGAGGAUAAGAAUGAUGCCAAUUUUGAUGGUCGAUGGCCCUUUAUGUUCAAUACUAUCAUUGAGAGUUUGGAUCUCAGAGAGAUCGAACUCUCGGGUAGGAAAUUCACUUGGGCUAAUUCGUUACCGGUUCCGACUUUUGAGAAACUAGACCGAGUGAUAGCUAGUGUCGAGUGGGAACAGAAGUUUCCACUGGUAACGGUACAGGCUUUGACUCGAGGUGUCUCGGAUCAUACACCGCUGUUAGUUGAUUCCGGAGUUCAAAAUUUCGUGGGUAACAAGAAUUUCUUCUCGUUCGAAUUGGCUUGGUUCGAACGAGAAGGCUUCCUAGAGUUGUUAGCUACAGAGUGGGCUAGGGACUCUGGAGGUAGGACACCUAUCGACAAAUGGCAAUCCAAGAUUCGUCAUCUCCGUCGUUUCCUUCGGGGUUGGGCUAAACACACGCAUGGGAUCUAUAAGGUGGAGAAGGACAGACUCCUCCUUAUCAUUCAAAAUUUCGAAGCUAAAGCGGAAACAUCUAUCUUAGAUUCCACUGAGUUGGCAACAAAGAUAGAUGCGGAGAUGAAGCUUAAAAAGCUUCUCCGUGAGGAGGAAUUGAAGUGGGCUUUGCGAGCCAAGGUUCGCAAAAUCGUAGAAGGCGAGGAUAACACUCAAUUCUUUCACAUGAUUGCGAAUGGAAAGCAUCGGAAGAAGAGAAUUUUUCAAUUAGAACAAGAUGAAGGAACCAUAGUUGGUCAGGAUAAUCUCAAAGAAUACAUUACAAAUUAUUACAAGCAGUUGUUUGGUAACCCGGUAGAGACUUUUGUGGCGUUGGAUGAGUCUAGGGUUGAGGAUGUGCCUCAACUUGAGACCGCCGAGAACGAGCUAUUGACUGCUCCUUUUUCGGAGAAAGAGGUGUUUGAGGCUAUUUCUCAAAUGGAGAACAACAAGGCUCCAGGUCCGGAUGGGUUUCCGGCGGAGUUCUACAAGAAGUGUUGGCAUUUUAUCAAGGGUGACUUAAUGCCCAUGUUUCACGAGUUCUUUGAGGGUCAGCUACAAUUGUUCAAGCUGAAUUUUGGGACGAUUACUCUUCUGCCUAAGAAGACGGACGCUGUUCGGAUCGAGCAGUUUCGACCCAUCUGUUUGCUAAAUGUGAGUUUCAAGAUCUUCACUAAGGUUGGCACAAAUAGGCUUACACAAAUAGCACACUCAGUAGUUCAGCCGUCUCAGACAGCUUUCAUGCCGGAUAGAAACAUCCUGGAAGGGGUUGUUGUCUUGCAUGAAACACUCCACGAAAUCCACUCCAAAAAACUGGAUGGUGUAGUUUUUAAAGUGGAUUUUGAGAAAGCAUAUGAUAAAGUCAAAUGGCCUUUCCUGCAACAAGCGUUACGUAUGAAAGGUUUUCAUCCGGCAUGGAGAAACCAAAUUAACUCUUUAACGCAAAAAGGGAGUGUGGGGAUUAAGGUGAAUGAUGACGUUGGUCACUAUUUUCAAACUCACAAGGGCCUACGGCAAGGAGACCCUAUGUCACCGAUUCUAUUUAACAUAGUGGCCGACAUGCUGACUAUUUUAAUAGGUCGGGCAAAGGAUGCAGGACAGGUAGGUGGCCUGGUUCCGCAUCUAGUAGACGGCGGGCUAUCUAUUCUCCAAUAUGCUGAUGAUACUAUCAUAUUUAUGGAGCAUGACAUGGCGAAAGCUAGGAACAUGAAGCUGCUGCUAUGCUUAUUUGAACAAUUGUCCGGGCUUAAAAUCAACUUCCACAAGAGCGAAUUAUUUUGCUUUGGAAGAGCUAAUGAUGACCGGGAAUCGUAUCAACAAUUGUUCAGAUGUGAAUUGGGUUCCUUACCUUUCUCGUACUUAGGUAUACCCAUUCAUCAUCGUAAGCUAACCAAUGCUGAGUGGAAAUGUUUGGAGGAUCGGUUUGAAAAGAAACUGAGCUGUUGGAAAGGAAAGCUCAUGUCAUAUGGAGGGCGAUUAAUUCUGAUUAAUUCGGUCCUUACUAGUAUGCCGAUGUUCCUGCUAUCCUUUUUCUUGGUUCCGGUUGGAGUUAGGAAAAGGUUAGAUUUCUACCGAUCUCGAUUCUUUUGGCAAAUUGACGAGCUUAAGCGGAAGUAUAGACUUGCGAAGUGGGAUAUUAUUUGCAGACCUAAAGACCAGGGUGGCUUAGGUAUUGAGAAUUUGGAAAUCAAAAAUAUAUGUCUCCUUAGCAAGUGGCUUUUUAAGUUAUCAUCUGAGACGGAGGCCACUUGGGCACAACUUUUACGCAAUAAGUAUCUCUAUGCUAAAACCUUGGCCCAAGUGUCGGUGAGACCUUCAGAUUCGCCUUUCUGGAAGGGGCUAAUGAGAGUUAAACAAUUAUUUUUCAACAAGACUAAAUUCAUUGUUGGGAAUGGUACCACGACGAGGUUUUGGGAGGAUACAUGGCUUGGGGAGACUCCACUAGCACUUCAAUAUCCUUCUUUGUAUAACAUAGUCCAACGUAGAGAUGCCUAUGUGGCUACUGUUUUACAGUCUGUUCCCCUCAAUAUCAGCUUUAGGCGGACGCUUGUUGGUAAUCGUUGGGAGGCCUGGCUCCAUCUGGUUCGACGUCUGAUGGAUGUCAGAUUGUCCGCGCACCCUGAUCAGCUGCAUUGGAAGCUUACUAAGAACGGUGUGUUCUCGGUCAAAUCAAUGUAUCAGGAUGUCAUUAACUCUUCGGUCAUACCUACCUCCUUACAUGUCUGGAAAGUUAAGGUACCCUUACGUAUCAAAGUGUUUAUGUGGUUCGUGCAUAAACAGGUUAUAUUGACUAAGGAUAAUCUUGCAAAACGUAAUUGGGUAGGUCCGUCUCGGUGUAGCUUCUGUGAUCAUUCUGAAAACAUUAAACACCUCUUUCUCGAUUGUCCGUUGGCUAAGAUUCUGUGGCGGUCGGUUCAUAUUGCUUUCAAUAUCAGUCAGCCUACCUCUAUUAGUAUGUUAUUUGGAACAUGGCUAGAUGGGGUGGAGUAUGACAUUGCGAGACACAUUCGUGUUGGCGCUUGUGCUCUUUUGUGGGCAAUAUGGAAAUGCAGAAAUGACUUAGUCUUUAACAGAUCAACAAACUUUCACUUUUUGCAGGUUGUUUUCAGAGCCACAGCGUUCAUCCGUAUGUGGUCGCUACUCACUCCGACGGAGGCCAGGGAGCGUUUGGUUACUGCGUCUACCCGAUGGGAGAUGGUAGCUCGGGAUAUUUUCAACCGGUUUGGAUGGCGGUCAUGUAAUAGGAUAGAGUGAUCCUAUAGUUUUGCCAGCCGGUUGUGGCUUUCAGCUUUUCUUACUUGCAGAUUUUGUUUUAAUUUGCACUAUGACCUUUCUGUACUUUUGAGAUUGGUUUCGUAUUAUUAAUAAUAUGAGCCGUAUGCAUCAUUCUGAUGCAGAGGCUGGGGCGCGGCCCCUUUUCCAAAAAAAAAAUCAUUACUGAUGCUCAACUAGUCCACUUGACAAGGCCCUACCUCUUAGCAGUAUUCCUCCGUUGAGUCUUUUUAGAGAUUUCAGUACAGACUAUAUACGGAUGUAUAUAAACAUAUUUUAAAAUGUAGAUUCACUCAUUUUUCUCAGUCCAUACUAGAAUCUCUAAAUUAGGAACGGAGGGAGCAUAUAACAACAUGAUAAACCAGGGAUUUGAGAUCAUUAGGAACAUUAAAGAAUUAGUAGUAAAGUUCACUGCGCACUUGAUAGAGGCAAGGACACAUGCAUUAUUUGGUUCUAAUAGGACUACAUUGUCCAGAUUCUUGACAGGAAAAACCAGGGCGUGGGCGUGACAAUAUUACUAGUAUUGUCUGAAUAAAUUGUUUAUAUAUAAUUUAUAUCAAACUGCAGCCAUAUAUGGAUUUAGGCGCGUAUUCGUUUGAGAAAAAGUCCUUGAUAAAGCUAGGCAGAAGUACAUUUCUGUAUAUACAUUCAAGAGAAAGAGAUUCUACCAUGCACAAGGCAUCCUGCGCAUUAUUUGCCAUGCAGUGAGUUGGAUGUUCACACCUCCAUCAAUGUAUAUAUUCACUAUAUAGUGCGGAAAUUACCAAUGGUACUCGGGUACCUUGGUGCCCGUUUCCAAAAAACCAUUUUCUACGACCUAAUUUUUUUAAACAUACAUAGACAUGUAUACUAUGUAUGUGCAAAUUUUCAUAACAUUUUACUAACACACUUGGCAUACAAAAAAUAGUCAAAUAUGUAUUUUCAAAUGGGCCACUUUUUGUGGUUGUUAGGCCAGAAUAUUGUUUUUUUUUUGUAUAGCCUACAAAUCACAUUUUCUUUUCAAAACAGAAUUUCAUGGAUCAAUAGUGAACACAUAAAAGUUUCCACACUUUUUUGAAACUUUUAAAUAUGGUUAUUUAUUUAUUUUUCAAAAAAAUGUCCUCCAUGGUGCUCGAGCACCAUAACUUCGCACUCCUAAAUAGUGUUGAUUUCACAUGACACCUUUUUCCAUCAUGCGUGGGAAUGUUUUCCCUAGAUUCCCUCCACCUCACUACUCCCUUGCCUCUCACACCGCACACACAUCUCAAGUACAUGGAUAUAUUUUCCUUCUUAUACUUGAAACAAUUAUACAUUGAAACAAAUCUCGGAUAAAUAUUACGCUUGAGCGUGUGUGGUUCUUUUGAUGAUAUCUGCAAAGCAAGCCUAAUAUCGAAUAUGCUUUUGACAAUUUUGAAACACGGCGAAACUUAUAGGAAAUGGCCCGAACCACAAGAAACACAAUGCAACAUUAUGAUACACACACACUGGAACAAAUUAGCACACAAGCAGAAAAGAAACAUUAUAAUGGCUCCAAAACACGACGAAAUCCAAAAACAUUCGGUGAAGCACAACGAAACAUUGUGGUGUGCAACUGAAGAAGUCAGAAAAAUAAGGCAACACACAAGUACAAAACCAAACAUUACAAUGCAGCACAAAAUACGGUGAAACCCAACAAAAUUGGUUAAAGCAUACCCAAAAGCAAUGAGACAUUGUGGUGCACACCAGAUUAAGGCAGCACACCGACACAAAAUAAAACAUUAUGGUGUGCUCUAAAACAUGACGAACCCCAACAGAAUUAGGUAAUUAUUACUCUUAUAUUAUUGGAAGUUGAAUUUGUGUGUUACAUGUUAGAUGGUGCACUAAAUACAGACCACUCCUCAUAUGAAUAGUAAAAACUAUAUUGCAUUUGUGUUGUGAAUAAAUUUUAAAAAAAUUGGUCCUGUUUUACAGAACUCUUCUGAAUAAGCAUAAUUGUUUGAACAAAAUGUGAAUCAAGGUUAGCUUUUGUUACGAAAGAUAUCAGGCAUCAAAUUUCCAAAUGAAACUCAACUAAUUGUGGCUACCUUGGAGAGAGAAUCUGGCUUGGUUGAUACUUGCUAGGGAAUAUAAUAGCACAUGGUAAGAUGUUAGGUGAGAGAAAUUACUAUGCAUAUCCCAAUGAAGCAUGCAUGCACGAACCAGUGUCUUCACCAUAUGCACAACAACGGUGGUGGGGCGCUUGCAUAUAUACUAUGAAUAUCCAAGCGACUGAAAAGAUAAGGAUGCUAAAUAGCUAGUGUUUUCUGGCACUCCUUAUAUCGCAUUUCAUGUUUCUAUUUUGGUGCAAUGGGACGAUCAGCACAUGAUGCCUGCUGUUGCUGUAGGCUAGGUAACAUGCAUCCAAAACAUUUUGGUGCAAUGGGACGAUCAUAACUCACACGCAUCCCGGCUACAUGUGUCAAACAAAAUGAGAAACAUGGACCAUGAGUCCAUGUCCAUGCAUGUCUCCAUGAUGAUGAUGAACAUCAGUGUUAAGAUCACAGUGUUGAUGAUAUCUUGAUGUCACAACUUUGUUCGUCCAACCCAAUAACAUGCAUCUGGGCGAACAAUUUCCUUGAUAUAAUUCUAACGUUGAAGAUAUUUGGUUGAAUCCAUCAUUACUGAUGCUCAACUAGUCCAUGUGACAAGGUCCUAACUAGUAGCCUUAAUAAUAUAUAACAACAUAAUAAACCGGGAAUUUCAGAUCAUUAGAAACAGAAUAGAAUUAAUAAAGUUCAUUGCACACUUGAUAGAGCCAAUAACACAUGCAUUCCUAGUUCUAACAUCACACUGAUAAAGAGUAGUGAUAUCAUCACCACAAACAGAAGGGGGGAAAACAGUGAAAUCAAGGUAGUAACAUGCAUGCUCUACAACCUUGAUAAGCAAGCUAAGCUCUCGCGGAGCCAUUAUUGACAGAUCGAGCUCGCAAUCUCAUACAUAGCAGUACCAAAUGUUUCUUGCAAUACAUCAUCGAACCCAAAUCUAGUGAUCGACUACUAAGUAGUAACUGCAGGGAGGGAUCCAUACUAUAGAGAGUCCCGUAGCAGCUCCGGGUUCCGGCUCAAGCCAUGCCUUCCUGCGCUGCAGGCUGCAGCUCCUCUAGCUAGGCACCGCAACCGCCACCGCACCCUCCGCCAC